AAUUACUAAUCGAGCGAGCUCGAACUUGCUCGAUUAGAUGUUCGAGUCGAGCUCGAUUGUCGUGUGCUCGAGCUCGACUCGGCUAGUUUAACAGCCAAGGUAACAUGCAUCAAAGCAGGCUUAUUCUCUUAGUACUUUUUUUUUUUUUCUUUUUAUAAAACACAGGUGCAUUAACGCACGACAGAAGCACCCUAUCAAUCUAAGAUCCCAGCUUGCUUGUAGCUUUCGAUAGAGUCAACAAGAGUUUCUUCCACUGGCCUAUACCUCCAGCCCAGCCUCUCCAAUUUUUCUGAGCUAAUAUUCCAUCGGCUUUGAUCCUUCACCUCUAUAAGUCUGCGAAGAAAUGAGUUAUAUCAAGAAAAUAUGCAGACAACAUAAAUGGUUCUUGUAGAGACUCGUAGAUGCCACACUUUUGGAAAUGGAAAUCAUGACGGACAUGAACAAACAAGAAAAUCAGGACAAACGGGGUGUCUGAAAAAUGAGACAAUUAAUUUCAAAGAUGGUAAUCCACCUCUUAGGGUACUUGUAGUUGGCAUAGUUUUUCCUCAGAGUUUCCACCAUAUCUUUUGUCGUGGUGACGUGAGGUGAACAUAUGUACCGGCCUUCAGCUUCAGGUCUCCCGUAAACCAAAAGCAGUGCCUCGGCCACAUCACGCACAUCUACUGUGUUGUAGAAUUUGUUUUCGGUUUCUUCACAUCCGUCUGUGCAGCCAAGGAGUGAAACAAAAGAGCAGUUUAAUCUCAAAAAAGGAGAUGUUAUCUGUGCUAAUCUCUGAGUUCUUUACUGCAUAUAUGAAACCUACAAUCCCUUUGACAAAUAGUACAGCAAUAAAUUCAUGGGACUUUUGAAUUGCAAAGGACCUACAGGUCACAAUGUUAACCUUUUAUAUCUUCAACAAUGCUCCAAAGCAAAUCAAGCAAACAGUUGAAAGAUGCAACCUCUUCAGAUGUUAUGCCUAUUGUCUGUCUCAUCUUCCAUUAGGUCAAACUCACACAAUUUUCACAUCAAUAAAAUUUGAAUCGCUUGUGCAUGUGUCUGGAAAGAUUACAUUAGCACAAUUUAGUAUUUUUGGCAGCACUGCUCGUUUAAAUUUCCCUGCCAUCAAGCAGAAAAUUUAAUUCCAUUCCAACAGUAAAAGCCAAACACCACAAUCUUAGUUUUUUUUAGAUAACUUUGCAAGUUUUUAGAGCAUUGCCAAAAUCAUAAAACUAUCAGAAUGGCAGAUAGCUUACAGGUUUAGAAUCUGAAAACCUCAGCUGGCUUGAAGAUUAAAUAAAAAUGCCAAAAGACGGCAAAGCAGUUAUCUCCAUGAAUGUAGUUUCAUUCCUAGAAGGUCAACCGCAACCAGAUAGACGGAUUUUGUGAAAUUUUAUUGGCAUCAAUUCAUUGUGUAUCAUGUAAAUAACACUGGAAGCCAGAAGCAUAAAAAUGAUGGGUUACUUGGAAAAUUAGCUGAUCAACCACAUGAAGAAAUUCAAUUGUUUGACCUUUCAAGUACAAAAAAAGGAAAAAAUUGCUAAGCUUUAGAGGUCAUCUGAGUUCUAGAGUGACAUCCAUGCUCACUUAGGCACAAACCAAUAUCAAGGAGAAAACUGUAUCAUUUACGACCACUUCCAUGCAGAAGGUGAAAGAAAGAAAAAUAAAAUAUAACAUAACGGAAUAAGUUCUCCAAUUGACUACAAAGCACUAAUAAAUCACCUUUCAACAGCUUUAUAAGAGCCAGACUGCUAGCAUUCACAUCAUGCUGAAGCAUGGGGCCGAGAACAAAGGAUGGGCAUACAGUUAAAACAUCAAGGCCAGUUUCUUUUGCAUAUUGUAAUGCCUCACUUUCAGCAACCGUCUUGGAGUAACAAUACCAGUUCUGGAGCAAUAUUAGUACUAGAUGGUCAGCCAGAAACAGAUAGUAGUUGCAAAAAUCUGAUUUCUCAGCAAUCUUAGAAACAGUACGAAUAAGACAGUGAAUUUUCUGCACAAUUACAACACCAAGGUGCAACUGCAAAAAGUCAAAUUAUGUUGAUGCAUACAUUUGUUGCCUUGCAGUAUUCGCCGUCUGACCAACACUUCUCAUCUAUGAUUUCACCUUCAGGCAGAUUAGGACUCAUUACAACAGCUGCAGUAGAGGAAACAACUACAACGCGCUUGACAUUUGCUUCAGAACAAGCCUUCAGUACAUUAAGGGUACCCUUUACAGCUGGCUCAACAAGUUCAACCUGCAACAAAUCAUCAUGUUGGCAGAGGUACUAGCACUCAACUCUUCAUGCUGAACUGCUUGUUUUUGCGUAAAAUAUAUCCAGAUAGACAGCUAAGUAGUGUCAGUUAACCUGACAUCUUUAGAGUGAAUGAGUACAUAGUUAAAAGACUCAUGACUGCUUAUGCCUGUGAUUUAACUUGGUUACCAGCAUAGGUUAUUAUUAUAUGCAUUUAUUCACUCAUUUCAACAUUUGAAAAAUCCUUCCACGAAAUGAUAGAAAGACAAAGAGCCCCAGUGACUUCAUAAGUUUGUACAAACGCUUUAACAAGGUUCUAUUUUAAACGAUACCCAACUUUAGCUCAUGUUUGGCAAAACGCAAUAAAAUAUUAUCUGUUAUGACAAAAGCUGUCUCAUAAACAAAAGAUAUGUUAAAAAUGUUAUUCUGGGGAAACCAAAAGGAAGAAAUAUCAUAGCAAUUGAAACGAUUGAAAAUGGUCUUGCCUCAGGAUUGGGAACAGAGCCUGAAGGAACAGGACUAGCUACAUGAAAUACGCCAUCACAACCCCUGAUGGCUGCAGAAAUGGAGUUGUAAUCCAGCAAAUCAGCCUUAAAGAGUUUCAAAUUCUCAGCUGCUUUGUCAAGUUUCUUCAGAUGAACAUAUUUCUCAUCGUCUACAAAACAUACACAGCAAUGCCCACAUCAUCAAGUAACGAAGCACACAAUUCACAGCAGGUGCUUUUAUAUAUUUCUUCAAUUAAACAUAUUUCUCACCCUUCACAAAACAUUUACAGCAAUUCCCACUACAUCAAAUAGGAAACAGCCAAUUGACAGCAGGCAAAAAAUCAAUUGCGGUAUUAAAGGGAAUGAAACAAUCAUACAAUACCCAAAACAAAAACAAAACAAAAAAACGAGUAGUAAAUCAGGAAGGAAGGGUUAUGAGGAUGAAAUACGUACUGGGAUUUCUGAGGGUGGCAUGAACACUAUAAUGGCGGGAAAGGAGUAGCUUGACUACCCAAGAUGCCAGGUAUCCCCCUGCUCCUGUAACACACACUGUCCUGUCCUUCUUAGCCUCCCACGCUGCCAUGUCUGAUUGCUUACCAGUAGCAGUAGCGGGAUUAGUAUUUUAGCACCAAAUUCACUAUAGACUGAUCAAGAAGGUGGGUGAAGUUCUAUUCUUUUCUUUUUUAUGAAUAUUAAUUCUUUUUUGGUUGGACAAGGCAGAGAUUUCGUCGAUUCUUAAAGAGGAGGACUGAAGAAGAGGGCGGUUGGAAGAGGAGGAGGAGGCGGAGGUGGUGGUGUUGGAAUUUUGAAUAGACGAGUCCUGUAUGUAUGAGCUAGCUGAUUCCAGCAGCCUCUGUCAAUACUAGGAGUAAUCAGCAGCUGGCAGGCUUGGGGGCUUAUAUAUAGCAGCAGACCAAUGGUCCUGUUGCGAUUUGCACGGCUCAUGGAAGACGUAUGGUUUCAACGCAGGGUUGGGCUGGGUUGGGUGGGGAAACGGUACUAAUGAUAAAUGUAUGUAUAAUGAAAUUUGAGAUAUUUCUAGCAAUCUGUUAGUAAAAUUUAUUUUUAUAAAAAAAAAGGAGUAAAGGAGCAUAAUAUUAUUAAGUUAUAGUAAAACUUGAUGCACAUAUCAAUAAAACAAGAUAUUCUGUGCAUUUGAAUACAAUAGUAUAAUAUGAUUUUACCAUUGUCGGAUGUUUAACAAAUUUAUUUAUUAAUGGAUAUUAAAGUGUUACAUUUUAUCUCAUAUUUUCCCAAUUUAUGACUCAGAUUUUAAAUUGAUUAACUCAUUAGAGAAUAAAAAACUCAUCCCGUUGCUAAAUUGGACAAGUGACAAAAACUCAUGUCCAUAAUGGGAUUUUGCUUCUGACUCAAAUCCUAUAAUGCGAACCAAACCCCAAAUCACUCCAUUAUAACGGAAACACAAACUAAACUAUUUAAUAUUCAAAUCAAGUUCCGCUCAAUAACAGUUUGUUCGAAUUUGAUUCGCAAACUAAUCUAAUCAAGUUAGAAUAACAUUUUAUUCAAAUCAAGUUCCGCUCAAUAACAGUUUGUUCGAAUUUGAUUCGCAAACUAAUCUAAUCAAGUUAGAAUAACAUUUUAUGUUUGAAAAAAAUUUUAACUGCAGCUCAAGCUUAGCUCAAUAAUCAUAAAAUUGGAUUUUAUAGAUAAAAAUUACUCGAACUCGACUCAAUAAAAAUUCUUUUGAACGUGACUUAGUAAAUAAAAAAGCCAAUCUUGAAUACUAUUUCAAAAUUCUUUAAAAUAAAUAACAAGAUAUUUGGUUUGAUUAGACACAUUCACACCCCUGUUUUUCAUAUGCUCGAUAACAUAUAUUUUUGCCAUUGAAUUUUGGGACAUGUUUAUCAUUUUUUAAAAUCUUUUUUUUUUAUUUCUGGCUUUUAUAGGAAAAAAAAAACUAAAGGAUGUGUUCGGAUAGGAGACCGAUAAACUUUUCUCUCCCCCUCGCGCCUAAUUGCAGGUUAAAAGCAGUGUUUUGAAAACCGGACCGGACGGCCGGUUCGACCGGUUGGACCGCCAACCGGCCAUGAUUCCGGUCCGAUUCUAUGCUAUAGUUGACCAGGUUAGAAAACCGGUUAAACCGUGAAAACCGCCGGACCGGAUUGAACCGGCGGUUCUCGGUUUUCGAGAUUUCCCUUUUUUUUCUUUUUUUUUCUUUUUUUUACGUUUUGCAAAAUGCAGUUAUCAAGAUUCGAACUCAAGACUUUUGUAAUAGAAGACCAAUGUAGUAACCAUAGUAACCAUUGCACCAUCACAUCUUAUUAGUUUUUUUUGAUAACUUGUUUAUAUAAAACAAAAACUCAUAUUUCUUUUUGUCAUUUUUUUUAUAAAAUCUAAUCCUCUCAUAGCUCUUUCUUUUUAAUCUUCAACACACACACACACACACUCUCUCCUCUUUUUUUUGUCACUCUCUUUUUAAUCAAACCACUUUAUUUUUAAUUUAUUGAUGUUUUCUUCCAUCUUUUAAUUUUAUUUUUGUCCAUUAAAUUGAAAAAGGUUAAAAAAGAAUUAUUUUUCUUUAACCCAAAUUAUUUAAUGCCACAACCACUCACUUUUAUCUCAUUUUUUAUUUCUUAUCAAGUUUGCAUUUCUAUUUUCGAUUCUCUUGACUUCUUUCGAGCUCCAAAAUUCCUUUUUUAAAUUGCAAUUUCUAAUCCCAAAACGUAAAUUAAAAUUUAAGUUCACAAAAUCUAAAUUCUCAUAGACAUGAAUUUUGUAUAAUUUUAAAAUAUUAUGAUAUUUUUGGGUUAGAUCUAAGAUUUUUUUGGUAGAUAUAAUUGAAAUUGAAAUGAAAUUUAUUUGUUUUAACUUAUAAUUUAAAAUUUUUAUUUUUAAAAAAUCAAGUUAUUCAAAAAUAGUAAACUUUUCAUCAUAUAAUGUAUUAAAUUAGUCCAUUACAUGUCUUAUUUUGUGCAUAAAUAUUUACAUAAAUUAUUUUUUAAAAACUUCAUUGAACCGAGGUUGAACCGGUCCGACCGGUUAAAUCUCGACCCUUUCACGUCACCGGUUCAAUUAACGGUCCGAUUUUUAAAACAUUGGUUAAAAGGAAUAUCCAGUUCUUAGAUAACUUUUCUAGGCACAACUCUAGUUGUCAGAAAACUGGUCUACUUUGACUGUGGGUUUUCCUUUAGUCAGGCCAUUUUGUCAUUAGUGAUGAUUGCUUCUUCUAAACCUUAGCUAACUGCACACGCCAUGCGCAUGAAACUUCUUCUAAACCUUAGCUAACUGCACACGCCAUGCGCAUGAAAAUCCAAACUUCAAAUAAAAUAAUUUGAACUCGUCAACUUGCAAAAUAAGAUAAUUUGGGUUUCGUCUGAUAUGAGUAGUAAGGGAAAAUUUAAUUACUAUAUUUAUGAUUCUUGACUAAUGUGAUUGCUCAUCUAUCACCACGCAUCAGUUUAAUACCUUAUCUUCAUUUAAAUGUGACGAUUGUAGAAUUGAUGGCUGAAACUGAAAGGAAACUGAAAAAGAAAUGUCAUGUGAGUGCAUAUGCAUGGUUAAAACAAUACUCCCACAAAUUAUAACCAAUUCGAUCCCUUGUUUUUAAGGUUUUGAUCGUUUUGGUUCCUUGGUAUCAUGACAAGCCAAUUUUGCCUCUUAAAUUUAAAAAUAUGGUUAAGGAGAUCCUUUUGAUGGAAAUUUGAGUUGCUAAUGAAGUGAAGAGACCAUUUAGUGCCUUUCGUGUCACAUCCGUCUCAACACUAUAUUAAAGUUUCAAAAAAUCUCAAAUAAGUCAUAAAACUCAUAAAACAAACCCCAAAACUCUUUAUCGUGAAGAAAAUAAAUUUUUAUAACUUUAAAAUAAAUCAAACACAAUACCUUAAACAUAAUUAUGGAAUUUGUGCCAUUUUCGAGUUGAAAUAUCAUGAAAAGGAGUACCAAAAGGUGAAAGAAAAAUGCAUAAACUUAUGUUUGACAUAGUAUUAAAAACUUUUAUUUCAUUAUAUUGAAGAGUUUUGGGUGAGUUUAGGCUUUUAGGAUUUUAUUUGAAUGCUUGGUGUUUUCUGCGAGAUGGCACGAAGUACCCUCUAAGGUCUCUUAACUCCAUUAACAACUCUAAAUUAGCCUUGACCAAAUUCUUCAAAUUUAAGAAAAAUUGGUUCGCCAUAAUACAAAGGGACUAUUUUGUUAAUACAUUGGAGAUAAGAAACCAGAUUAAUUAAUUUUUGUUGUUUGCGUAACUCAAGGGAUUUCUCCGUUAGCUUCCCACAAUUUUGCUACAUUAGUCUCUUUUGAUGGAGAUAGAGCACCAACUCACAGUUGUAUUAGAACUUCACUUACGCUAUAAUCGUUAGGAUUUUCUUAUAUUCAUCCGACUACUCAAUAAGUAUCCUAUUUUAUAAUAACUAUCCUACACCUCUUCAAAGCCUGAUAAGAUGAAGAAAAUCUCUUUACUAGCAUCUUAAUGCCUUAUAUCCAGUAUUGAGGGAAAAAAUUUAAUCACAUUACAGUCUGAGAAUUUGAAUCCAGCAAUUUCACGGUCUGAUGUAGUCACCCCAAGUAGGUUCUCCAGUAAAACAGGGUAGUGAGGCAAAAUGUACAUCAAAUAGGUCAAUUGUCGAGCCCCUCGGGGUUCGGUUCCGUGGUUGUAGCCCCAGUUGGGGGAGAGCCACGUCCAGGGAUCGAGUCCCCGUUCUACCGUGGCUGGUGAUGCUUGAGGUGGGCCGCUCCCAGCCCGCAGUGGAAUUAGUUGGGCCGUACGGUAACCAGUACAUGGGUCCAGAUACCCACUGUGAUGAAAAAAAAAAAAUAGGCCAAUUGUCGAUCUUUGAUUAUGUCUACACUUUCAAAAGAUAGGCUUAAUCAUAUUAGUGGAAAUAACUCAUAGUUCAUCAUAUAUUAAUUUGCUAUUCAAUUUAGUUUGAAUACAUGAUCAAUGUUAUUGUAUGCCAAAAAAGAUUGAGGAUACUUUUGACCUAGUUCUUUGCACUAACUUGAAAUCUUCCAAUUGUUCUUUCUUUGAUGCACUUGCAAAAUCUCCUGCAAAAGUAAAAUAACUCAGUUGGUGAAUUUUGGCUAACUGAGAGGCCCCAUCUUCUUUUUACUUCUUUAGCACAAGCGAAGAAUGAAUUUAUGCAUAAUAACCGUGUGAUUCUAAUGAGAUAUGAUUUUUUUGGUUUUGCAUGCUGGUUAAACAAUUGUUCAAGCUCUUAUCUUGGUUUUUGAUACUUCACCGGUAUGUGGAUGUUGCUGCUAAAGAAAUUUACAUUUGUCAUUAGAAGAAUUUUCUAUUUUAUGACUGGCAAGUGAUUUGGUAUCUUAGCAGUUCAUCGAUUUUGGUGCUUUGUUUACAAUUUAAUUGGCUUCAAUGGUCCAUACAUAUAGGAACUUGGAAUUUACCCUUUUAUUUCCUUUUGCAUGAGCAAAGAUUAGUAAUUUUUAAUCAUAAUUUUCGAUUCCUCUAUUCUGGCCAUAGUGAAGAAAUCUACCUUUUUGUACUUGUGUAUAUGCACACCAAACAUCAUUGGGCUGUCUACUUUUGACAUUAUUCUUGAAUUACUCAGUUUAGAAUGUGUAUUAGCUGCUGGAAGUAAAUGCAUCAUCGUUGGCAAUUACUAAACAGAAAAUAUGCAUGCCAUUACUAUUUUCACUGAAAUUAGCAUCUAACUUAUAAUGAUCUAAUUAAAGGUUAACCACAUUGGUUUUGACUAGAACUAAGAGAUCACUAGCCCUCUUAUUUUUGGAUUUGCAUUAAUCCAGUAUCAUCAAACUUCUUCAAAUGGGCUCUUUAGCUACUAACCCCUUCAAAAAUAAUUUAGGCUUACGGUUCUGUUGAUGUCGCAAUUGCAGGAGGUUCAGAAGAUAACGAAAGGCUCAUCUAAGAUUUCUUAAGGUGUUUGGCUUAUAUUGCUAGAUUUACUUAAUCUAUUUUCAUUCUUCUCCGAUGUCAUUAUUGUUAAAGUUCAAUUCAUAAGUUGGUUGUGUUAGAAAAUUGGCUUAAUUUCUUUUUAGAUAGGUUUUUGUUUUGUGCAAAAGUAACUAGUUUCCUAAUUGGUUUUAGUUACUCGGAAUAGUAGCCAAGAAAUUUCUUAUUUUGUUUAGAAUUAGAAGUUAUUUCUUAUUUUCUACAAGUCUAGGAAUUAGAAUUAAUUUCCUGUUGUUAUUUGGAUUUUUUGACCAAAUAAUAUUUUUAUAAAUAGGUGGGUUGGCAUACUAUAAAAGAGACACAUAAGGGCACACAAGGACGACAUGUAACCUUAUACAUGGGUGGUGAGAGAGAGUUCUUAGGAGAUGAGAAAUGGUAUACAAAGGUUGGACUUGAGUUCGAGUUGUAUUCUUGUAUAAGGUUUUUCUCUCAUAAUAAAUAACAAGUUUCUCUCCGUGGACGUAGGUUCAAUGGAGUCAAACUACGUUAAAUAUUGUGUGUUGUUUAUCUUUUAUACUUGUGGCUUGUUUCUCAUUAAAUUAUUGUGUACUUGAUAUCUUAAUAGUUAUUUAUUCUGCAUUUAGUUCCUAACAAAUGGUAUCAGAACUUGAUUGCGAGAUUGGGCUGCUCACAAGCACUUGGAUCCCAACAAACUGAAUAGUUGGAUCAAGAGUUUGGUUGUUCAAGGAUGGAUCCUAGUUAGCUAUUGAGAUCAAGUAGGUUGGUGACUGUUACCAAUUGAACAAUUUAAUGGGCGGUAUCCUUUUUUCAAGAGUUUGGCAAAAAAGCAUUGACGGUGAAUGAUGAAAAGUCGAAAAGCAUGGAGAUACUUGACGGUGAAUCUAGGCAGAUGAUUCAAGAGUCAAGGAAAAGGUGGAAUCCAAUAUCGAUUUUGGACGUGAAUCGGUGGAGACUUUCUCACAACUUCAACGGUUGAUACUUCAUCUCGGUGAUUUUUAGAUUUCGCUUAUGUUUUUUGAGUGGUACGGCACCUGACCCAAAAAAAUAAAGAGAUUUAAUUUCUAUGCGCUAGAAGACUCUGACAGUUACGAGUCUUUUGUUUCAGGUGAAUUUUUGGAAACCACACGUGGCGAGAUAGUCUUGAGGAAGGGAAGAAGUAUGAUGAUUUUAUCACUUGGUUGCCUCAAUGAUUAAGGUUAGAGCUCAUAGAAGGAGAUUUUGGGUUGCAAGUGGUGGUGAGAAGAAAUCCUGUAAAGAAAAAUGGUGAAUUGAGGCAUCUUCUCACGAAUCAACUGGAGGUUGUACUAGGUGUAAAUACACAUAUUCAUUUGGCAAUUAAAUUAAUUUGGUAUCAGAACUGUAUUGAUUCGGGUGUGUAGUUCGGUACCAUAUUAUUUGGUAGUUGAAAGUAAAUAAUUGUUAAAAGAAAUUUUCGCCAAGAUAGAGAUUUGUUAGGAAAUUGAUUUAAUUUCUUUUCAGACAGGUUUUUGUUUUGUGUAGGGAUUUAGUUACUUGAAAUAGUAGCCAAGGAAUUUCCUAUUUUGUUUAGGAUUAAAAAUUAUUUCCUAUUCUAUACAAGUCUAGAAAUUAGAAUUGGUUUCCUAUUAUUAUUUAAUUUUUUGGCCAAAUAAUAUUCUUUAUAAAUAGGUGGGUUGGCAUACUACAAAGAGACACACAAAAGCACACAAGAGACGACAUGUAGCCUUAUAUAUGGGUGGUGAGAGAGGAUUUUUAGGAGAUGAGAGAUGGUAUACAAAGGUUGAAUUGGGGUUCAAGUUGUGUUCUUGUAUAGAAUUUUUCUCUUAUAAUAAAGAACGAGUUUCUCUCUGUGGAUGUAGGUUCAAUGGUGGAGCCGAACCACAUUAGAAAAUAGUGUGUCAUUUAUUUUUCAUGUUUGUGGCUUGUUUCUCAUUAAAUUGUAGCGUACUUGAUAUCUCAAUAGUUGUUUAUUCCAUGUUUGGAUCCUAACAGAUUGCUAAACCAAGAUUGAUGUAAUUGCGUCCUAUAAGAGAGUUUGCAAUUCAAUUGAUUAAGGGAAGAACAGAGAAAAUCCCUGAAAAUGGGAAUUAAAGGAAACAAAGGAAACCCUAAAACUAGUUUCCAAGAACAAUUCUGUCGAAGACAGAAAACAAAGAAAAUAGUAUCAAAGGCUAUAUCGUUAUUUAGGAAACAAGAAGCACUUGAAGGUGAAUGUUGCAGAAAGUAGAAGAUCCCACUACAAUUUACUAAUUCAAGGAGCUGUAAUUAAGAAAGAAAGAAGACAACUCAGAGAAUUAGGGAUUGUUAUUAAUUGAUGAAUGAGUAGGAAGAAUGUAGAUGAAGAUGAUAAUCAAUUACAAGUAAUGGAAAUCGGAAAUCCUAGAACUGCCUUCAACUUACCACCCUCCUCUCUUUUAUUCGGCUACUACACUUGUCCAAGUCAGCUAAUUCAUUACAACCAACUGACAUACAAGAAUUAUAAGGAUUUAUUCAUUAAGUCCCUAUCAUACUCGCUUUAUUACAAAAAAAAAAAAACCCUAUCAAUAAAACUAAGGUAACAAAUACUUCCCCCUCAGAGAAUCCUUGUCCUCAAGGAUUAAAUUCAGGAAAUUGUUGUUUAAGGUCAAACCAGAAUUCCCAGAUAGCAUCUUCAAGAAAAGAAUUGCUUCACUAUGCCAAAACUUUUGUAGCAAGAGAGUUACCACAUUUCACCAAUUUCUGAUCAAGUAUGGCUAUAGGCUCCAUUAAUAAUUAUCCCUGUGUAUUGAUUGUGUAUUGAUUGCAAAAGGAAUGUGUGAGGUAACUAGUGAGUGCCCACUUUCUUCUUUAGAAGAGAUACAUAAAAAAUAGAGUGUAUUUUUGCCAUAUUAGGCAGCUAAAGCUGAUAUGCAACAGGGUGUACUCUUUUGAUCACUUGGAAAGGUCCAAAAAACUUAGAAGCUAACUUCUGACAAGAGUGUACCUUCAAAGAGUGUUGCCUCUACAGUUGUAGUUUCACAUAUACCCAAUCUCUUGCCGAGUACUGUCUAUCAGACCUGUGUUGGUCAGCUUGUUGCUCCAUCCUAUUUUGUGCCUUAUGAAGGUUGUACUUUAAGUGAUGCAAAACUAUCUCCCUUGCUGCCAAGAUUCUAUCCACCACUUCCACUACUGAAUUCCCAAGUAGACAAGGCAUAUGCAGAGAUGGUGCAUGACCAUACACCACCUCAAAUUGGAUAACCUUAGUGGCAGCAUGAAAUUUGGUAUUGGACCAAUAUUCAGCCAAGGGUAACUAGAUAGACCACUGCUUUGGAAAAUCUCCACACAUGCACCUCAAAUAUUACUCCAAACACCUGUUUACCACCUCAGUUUGACCAUCUGACUGAGGGUGGUAGGUAGAAGAGGUAUUAAUCUGCACUUUUAGUAACUUAAAAAGUUCUUGCCAAAAAGUGCUAAUGAAGACCACAUCCUUGUCACUAACAAUGCUCUGAGACAAGCCGUGAAGUCUACAGAUCUGAUCCAGGAAUAUGUGCAAAUAUAAAUGCUGAAUAAGCAUGUGACAAUGCCAAGAAGUGUGCAUACUUACCUAACUUGUCAACCACCACCAAGAUGGCUUGUUUACCAUGUGCAUUAGGUAAACCUUCCAUAAAGUCCAUGGAAAUUCACUCCAAACCUUUUGAGGCACACGUAAAAGUCGUAAUAAACCCAAAUAAGCAGUAUUGUCAUAUUUGUUGCACUGACAGACAUCACAUGCAGCCACAUAGUUGACUAUGUCUUGAUACAUUCUUCUCUAAUAAACCACUGACUUCAACUUCUUUUAGGCAGCAUAAACUCCUGAAUGCCUCCAACAGCACUAGAAUGCCACAAGUGAAUUAUAUUAUUCUUGAAUUGGCAGUCAUUUUCUACCACUAGUCUCCCCAUUCUCCUUAACUGCUAGUUGCUCCAUGUGUAAUAAGGUGAGACCUUAGAAAGAUCAAAUUGUAAUUGAGUGAUGAAGUUCUAUAGCCUUAUAUCUAUUUGCCAUCCCUUUUUAAUCACUAUCAAAGAUCACUGUUAACAAUGAUGAUGGCAAGAGCUUCUCUUGGUUCUGCUAGUUUUCUAAAGAGAGUAUCUCUCACCAUAUUAUAUGCUUCUUUCCUGUAGUGAAGCUCAUAAUAAAAUCUUACUAGCUUAGUCAUCCAUUUCUGCUGCAUAAGAGUAGGGCUGUCAAUGGUCUGGGUCUAGACCCGGACCCGGACCGGAUCCGUCAAAUUUAUCCGGGUAUGGGUAGGGAUUUAAUUCCGUUACCCGGACCCGGAUCCGGAUAUAAAUGGAUUACUAAUUUAAAAUAUAUAUAUUUAUUAAUAUAAUUUGAUUAGGAUGAUGUAUUUGAGUGAUCAAUAUAAUUGGACCCGGAUCCUAAUCAAUAUAAUUUGAUUAGGAUGAUGUAUUUGAGUAAGGUUAAUUUGAUUUCUUUUCUUAUUUGAUUUUUUUUGUAUUAGUUAGAAAUUAGUUUAUAAAUAUAUGUUUUUUCUCAUUUUUGUUAGAAAUUAUAAAUUUUGUUAGUUUUUUUUCGGGUAGACCCGGAUCCGGAUCCGAGACCCGUCGGAUCUGGAUCCGGAACAUAGAGUAAAGACCCAUCGGGUAAACGGGUCGGGUCCGGAUCCGAUAUAGUGUGCCGGGUCCGGGUCUGGAAUAAUGAAUUCCGGCCCGGACCCGGCCCGUUGACAAGCCUACAUAAGAGUGUUCAAUCUUUGUUCCAUCAUAUAUUCAAUGCUCUAAUGGUCAUUUUUAAUGAUAACGUACCUUCCAGGUAGAUAAGGUCUCCACUUCUAUACAGCAGCAACUAUGGCCAAUAUUUGCACUUUUCCAAUAUACUAUCAUAUGCUAUUCCCCCACACACCUAAAUCUUAUAUUGUCCCCAAUGUAAAAUAAAGAAUAAAAGAAAAGUAAUGGGGAUAACGAAACUUCCUUGAUAACUGAGGGGGCCGUCGACAGCUACAGGUGAGGGGCGAAUGACUGUGGAGCUCGACGUAUGUUGAUGGUUGGUGGCGGUGGAGUUCGGAUGGAGAAGGAUGGAAGAAAGAAAGAAAGAAGAAAGAAAAAGAAGAGAGAAAGAAAGAAAGAAAAAGAAAAGGAAAAAGAAAGGAAAAGGAAGAGAAAAGAAAAGGGAAAUACGAAUGGGAAUUGCUCCAAUCCGAGCUGGUUUUUUGUACUACUACUUUGCUUCUUGUACGAAGCUUGAAGAUGCAGCAAGCGCGGAAAUUUUUUUUUUUUUACAUCUGAUUUUGAUUUUUUUCUUUUUCUUUUUCCUUUUCUGUAUUUCCUUUUCUUUUCUUUCUAAUUUUUCUGCAAAAACAAUCAAAUAGAAAUCAAAUGAGAUGGAAUGAUUUUUUUUUAAAAAGGUAAAAAUAUAAAUAGAGAUAAAUAAAUAAUAAUAGUUAUUAACAAAUCAUAAAAUGAUUUAUGAAAUUUUUUUGGUGUCUACAUAUAUACACAUACUAAUAAUUUUUAUAUUUAUAUAUUUUUCCUAUUUAAUCUUACCUAUAAUUCUUUCUUAUUUUAUUUACUUUUUCUAAUUAAUUUUAUAUUUUUAAAAAUAUAACAUCUAAAAAUAUAUAUUAACGAAGAGGACAUCCGUUAGACAGGUCCUAUUUUAUGUAGCAUAUAUGUCUCUACAUGAAAAAAACUUUUUUAAUAGGUAUCCCGUUUUUUGACAUGAAAAAUACCUUUUGACUACAUUCUGACUAGCGCCAAAAGCUAUCCACUUUUGACAUGCUGCCCAUGCAGGCCUAAUUUUUUUUAGUACUGAAUUUGUUUUGGAUACGUUAGUAUUUCUUGAAUUUUAGAAAAUGCUUCUCUUUAAUAAAUGUAAGUUCAUUUUAAUCUUGAUUCGCAAGCUUUUUCUUGAAAAUGGUUUGCCAUUUCUUAUUAGUUGUUACAGUAAAUUUAGCAUGCAUAUAUGCUUUUUGUCAAAAUUCAAUCAUUUCAAAAUCUAGAAGGGAACUUCUAAAAUACCUGCAUCCUCCUUUUUCUUUUUUCUUUUUUAUUUUUCCCCCUCUUGGCUUUGUAUUCAGAAUCAGAUUGUGUUCAAUUAGUUGGAAUUUGGCUUUGGAGUUAAAAGGGAUUUCCAUUUUUUCCUAGGUAUUCCACAGCUUGCAUACCAAAAGCACAGAGGCGGAAGAAAACCUAUGAUUAAAUCAUACAACAGGCUUGUAAGAAAAUGCCCACUUUGAAAAAAUGAAAAGUUGAAUUUCCUAUUUUCAAAUUUACAUGCAAAAAAUGAAAAAUGACAUGCAAGAAAUAGUCUACUAUUUCGCCAUGUUUCAUAGUUUAUGAGAAAUAUAUUACAAAUAAAUCCACAUAAAUGGUGGGAAUAAUAACUCAAAUAUGGUGGGACAAAUAAACAUACAGGGUGACCCCUGCCAGCUGAGAUAACUAGCUGGUUUAUUUAAUUUAAUAGUUUGAAUACAAUAGUAAAUCAAUGCCAUAGCUCAGAUACUGACUAAAUUUUUCUCCCUGAAGAAUUCAACAGCAUCUUUUAGGCUGACCUCCAAAGGAGUGAAUUGAACUCCCAACCUUUUUGCCUUCUCAUUGGAGGCUCUGUAGUUUGGGCUGAUAAGGUUGGUAUUGUUUGACAUUCUGCUGUAUGCGGGACAAUACACAAUUAUGGCAAACAUAAAUAAAGCUUAGGUAAUGAAAAUGCAAAUGUAAAUUCAAAUGCUUGAAAAUCUACUGGACAAUUGCCUCAUAUCUACUGUAAAUUGUGCCUUUUUUACGAAGUUUCAAAAGACCUUUUAAAAGAUAACUUUAGUUGUGAUAUGAAUGAAAUUUAUUUUUCUCUAAAAAAAAGCCUAAAACGGAAUUUCUAUUUUGGAGACAAAGCCAAUUUGGUGAUAUAUCCUAGUCCAAAGAAGACCAUCUUCUAGAAAUCAACCUGAGAAAGAGCUCAUUUUUUAUGGAACAUGAGACCAAAAGAAAAAAAAAAAGAAGGCAGAAAAUUUAGGAUUUAGUGUCCUUUAAAAGAGAGUAUAAAAAUAUGUGAUACAUUUUGGACGUAUACAAGGCCAUCAGCAAAAGCCUGCAAAGACCUAAACAAGGAAAACAAGACUUACUUAUCAGGAAAUUGGUGAGUUGGGUAAUGCUCAUGCAAAAUCUUGAUGAUCUGAGAGGCAUUUGCACAUCUUUCAACCAGACAAUAUCUUCCACUUGCAGAAGGGGUUUCAAGGGCAAGAACAUGUGCAUUGGCAACAUCUCUAACAUCAACCCAGCUACAUGUUGCCUUAGGAAAUGGUUCAACCCCUGCAUUUGGCACCUAAGAUCUUUAAACACAUUUUUUUGCAGGCUCUUCAGCAAACAUAAGUGAAACCAAUUUGGUUUGUUUGGAUUGGCAUGAUUUCAGAUAAAAUAAUUUGCUUCACAAAUUCCAAUCACCUUUUUAUCUCACAUACAGCACAUCACAAAAAGUGUUACAGUAAUUAUCUCAAAUAAAUCAUCUAAAUAAACUUCUAUCCAAACAAAAUGUUGUUUGCCAUGAAAAGAGUCAAAUUUAGAGGCCAUGGCCUGCCUUCCAGAAGAAAUGUGUGGUAUGUACUACUUUGUUCUGUUUUAGUAUCAGCAAAGCCACAGAGGGGAGGGAGAUGUGAGGAAUGAACUAGUUGAGACAAUUCAGAUAAUUGGUGAAUAAUAAUAAAGAUUAAUCCCGACAAUCUUCUAGUUAAUCUGUCCCUGGAAUUUCUCAGAUUUAGAGUUAGGUUUCUCUUUCAAAGGAUAGUUUAUUUAUUUUCUUCCAAAAAGGAUCAAUUACUAGACAAAAGAAUAAACUACAGGCAUGAUAAUACUAGUUGUCUCGUACUUAAGAGUGUUAAAUGGUGAGAGCUGAAGAAACUUGUCCCUUCACUCUCAUCCAGAUAGAAAAACAGAAUUUAUUCCUGUUGUUUUGUUCCAGAGAGUGAAACAGUAAUCAAUUCCUGAAAUUUGUUUCUUGCCAUUGUUGUACAAAGUGGCUAUUUGGGUCGAAGGAGUCAUGGCGAAUUGAAAGAAUAAUAAACAAGCUUUAGCAAGUAAAGUUUGUACAACAUAAACAGUGACUACUCCUAACAAAUUUUUCCUCACAAUUACCACCCAAAAAUUUCUUUUCCUUCCUGUUAAUCACAUAGAACCUCAAUGUUGUUGAAAGGAAGAUGCACACAACGUGAAUUUCAGAUGAAAGAUUGUACUGCAAACCUUUAAAACAUCAUAAGCUGGUCAGAGUUUAUAGCUUGAUAUAUCAGUUCACAUUCUGACCUAUGUCUGUCAAUCAUGUGAUAAGCCAGCAGUGCCUUGAAAUGUUAUUAGUCAUAAGUUUUUUGUUCUACUGUAACAAAGAAAGUUGUGGUGCAUAAUAAAGCUAUAAGUAACAUAGAUGGAAGAGUCAGUUAGACAAUGAUUACUAAGGUGAUUCAAUAAAUUUUGAAACAAACCCUUUAAUAGGUUGAGGAACAAAACAGCGCUCGAAUUAACAGAUGGCUGCAAGAGAGGACCAAUGACCAAUCCUGGAUGAAUUGUAAUCACGUCAAUGCCAUGCUCCUUUGCAAAUUUCCAUGCAGCAUUCUCGGCCAUGGUUUUUGAAAGUUCAUACCAAGACUAUCAACACCGAAAAAUCAGUAAAUGUUGGUAAGAUGGUAGCAGAAAGUAAUUAGAUUUGUAAACUUUAAGAAGUAACAUUAUAAAUUUCUACAAAUUUGACAAAACCAGCAACUUACAUCAGUUGAAACUAUUAUUGCUGUAGCUACAAAGCACAGAGUGAAAGCAUCCACAUUUCCCAGGACAAGCUAUGCUAUAAGUGAAUAAGUAGAUUUCUCAAGGAUCCUAGGAAUGGUGUAAACUUUCUAUAUUCAAGGAAUGAUGCAAAGCACCAGUGUCGACAUAUCCUGAUCAUCUGAUCUCUUAAUCCACAAGCUAACAGCAAAACUACAAGGGACCUUGACACUUUAACACAAAUAGCCAUAUUCAUAAUAUUAUAGCAGAAGUUCCUUUCCAACUGACCGACCAAAUAUUGCUCAUCUAGGUGUGUAUUCUCAGACAAUAGUAUAGAAUUUGAUCAUGCAAGAGAUGCAUAAUUAAGUAGGAAAACUUUCAUAUUGCUCUUUCCCCGACUAUUCCACACUACAUUAUUAAUUUUUCAUUAAAGUUAAGUUGUUACUUAGAUAGAAGGAAAGAAAUGGACUGACCAUUCUGGUUACAAAAAUAUCCUUUUUUUUGCCUAUUAAAGUACCACCAAGUCAUGAAGAUCCUAACUUAAUUAUCUCCACAGCUGGGCUAACUCCUCAUAUGUGUUCCAACAACAAGUUAAAACUAAAGAAUUCCAGCAUUCCAUAUUAGAUUUUACUGGAAGAAGACAGAUAAUAUAUGUACCUUUUGCUCCUCACAGUAUGAUGGAUCGGAAAACCAACUUUCAUCAACUACCACAUCCUCCUUUAAUUCUCUGUUUUUUGAAACUGCAACCAUAGAGGAUGUUAUAACUACUCUUUUGACAGAAGAAGAAUUUGCACAUGACCGCAGCACAUUCAGUGUUCCGCUUACUGCAGGUUCCAGUAGUUCUGCCUAUGAAAUCAAACCAAGUAAAAAAGGAAGUCAUUACCAGUCAUAGGUAAGACUAUGCUUUUAACCUGCAAAAAACUUAUCAUUCUGGUAUUAUGUUUGAGAAUUUCACCACAAAUGCUGUAAACCUACAGCUUUAGUUACUUAGCUAAAGGAUGCAUAUUGUUGUCUUAUCUCCUCUUGCUGCUAAAAUAAGUUCUCAGGUCCUUUAUUGUUGUUUUUUCCCAAAUUUUUUCAGCUUUCACUGGGUGACAGGAACUUAAGACCAAUAGAGGAACAACUGAAAUAAGUCUCAGAUGUGGUCACCAAUUAAACCGUUUGCUACCAAAUAUCAACCGAUGAAAUUCUGUUCUGGCUUGAACAGGACAGACAGAAAAUAUAAAAGGUGUAGCUCCCAUGAAUCCUGCGAACAGAUUUUAGCGUGAACACAUAAUGCAUGUUGCAAUUUCUUUUAGUGUCUGUGAGUCAACCUUGUUCAUUGAAAUGACUAAAAUCAAAGUUCUACAAAGUUACUUAAAAAAAAUCCAUAAACACAAUUUGAGAAACAGACAAGGAUAGGUGUACUGCAUAAAAUUAAGGCACAAUCAUUAAUAGAAGUUAAUCAACUUACAAAUGAAGAUACAUAUAAUUUGCAGAUGCUUGAACAUAUAUUGUAGUUUCUAUAAGCUUCUUAUUCAUUCUGGUAUGGGCACGCAAAAGCCAUUGGCUCUACACUGGCUGAAUAAUUAGUUGGUCAAAGCAGGGAUUCAUUUGCUCCAGGACAAGCUUAUAGCUUGCUCUAUAACCUUACCCUGACUGACUUACCCAGGAAAAUAGUUAGUCGGACCCAAUCUACUGCCCAAUUGUGGACCAUUUGCUAUGUUUAUGGCUCUUAAUGUUUUUAUUUCACAACAUUACACCCUUUGAAUUGUUUCGCUGAAGUACCAAUUUCCAGAUCAUUUCAUAGAAACAUCAUGUAUACUGAUUAAAAAGAGACUAAAGCACAUAACACACGACAGUCUUUUUGUGAAUGACCUGCUGGAACAGAUUAGUUUUGUAUGUACCAAAUGUAAAGAAAUAUUCUUCAGGUGUUUGACCUGAUUGCUACAUUAAUCUCCUCCCUUUGGUUAAUAAAAGAAAAAGUAGAGCCAUAGAAUUGGAAACAUUUGAAUCUAACUCUCUUUUUUUUUUUGCCUUUACAGUUAUAACCUUGUCAUAAAUCACAUAUAGAGGAGUAGACUAUCACCCAAAAAAGCCAGUAAAAAUGCAACAGAGGAAGAUACUAAAAGAAGUCGUACAAUUAUAAAUCAGAAAAUAUGCUACGAUUCUCAAACUUCACUUGAUAAAUAGCAGAUUUUGCAGACAGUAGAGAAUUUUCAAUCUUGUAAAGCAAAUGUACCUCUGGAUUGCUAAAUGAAAGUUUGAUUGGAGAUGCAGUAUGGAAAACCCCUUCACAUCCCUCGACUAUUGCAUCAAACGAUCCCUCUUCCAGUAAGUUUGCCGAGUACAACUGAAGCCUUUCCUUAGCUCCAUCAAGUGAUGUCAAAUGUUGUGUCCUUUCCGGAUCAUCUGUGUCAUGAUUGUAUCAGUAGAAUGUUCAGACAGCUAUAAUCAAAACCUUGCCGCCUUGGUAAAGUGUACUAUGUUUUCACUAUGGUGAAACUCAAGAAGAAAUGGACAUAGAGUAAUAAUAAACGAAUCUCAAAGCAAUGAUAAAUUUGACUAGCUAAAGGCAAGCGGGGAAAAACGAAAAGAAAUUGACGGGCAACAUAAUAUGACCACAAUAAUAUCAUAGCCCUAUGAUUUCUGGUUUUGAGAUGCGUACAUUUGUAACUUUCUUGAUAACAAUUAAUUCUUGAGAUAAUUAUCAGAGGGACAAUUGUAUGCCAUCUACCACUAUUUUUAUAACAAACUCAGUCCUUCAGAAGAAGGAUAUAGAUUCGAUAGGCUAAAGAUUUUUUAUUAUAACUUGAUCGUUGUAUCUGGAGCAUGAAACAAUUAAGUUGGUCCACAUCAAAAAUAUAUAUAUAUUUUUUGCAUGUGAUUUUCUUUUGAGCAAACAGAACAUGGGGAGCAUUUAGCUGUUGCAAGAAUAUCAUCUGGAGCUACAAGACAAUUUCACACUGCAGAGUUGAAUAAAAAUAUUGGGCAAAUUACAUAUAAUCCUCCUGUGGCUUUGUCUGUUGCCACAUGACCCUUCUAACAUUUUAAAAUAUCCAAUUCACCCACUAUGAUUUUAUGUAAAGCGGAAACUUGAUGGAGAAUAGCCUAUAUAAUGUCGUUAAUUGAAAUACCAUUAGUACUUUUACUUAAAUGCUAAAUCAAUCGACGAUUUAAUUACCUUAUAUAAAAGUAUAAGGGGAUUAUAUGGAUAAAUAUAAAAAUCACAGGAGGGAUAAAGUGGACAAUUAUAUAUAAGAGAAUUACAUUGAAAUUAAGACUUUAUCACACACGCUUUUAGAGCGCGUUUGGUAUAAAUGCCGUAACUAAUUGUGCAUUCCAUCAUUUUCCGCUUUACAUAUAACUAUGGGGGGUAUGUGGCUAUUUUGAAAUCUUAGGGGACCAUCUAGCAUUAUAUAAAAUCACCCUAAAAUAUAGUUAUAAGUAAUUUACCCUAAAAUGUUAGAUUCCAGGAGCAAUUAAACAACAAUCAGAACAGGGCAUCAAAAACUGCACAAGCCACUAAGAUAGUUGAUCAAGAACAAAAACUGGACUUACAGGCAUCUCGAACUGAACCUUUAACAGUAUAACCGCGCUCGAGCAGCAGCUUCACCAGCCAUGAAGCUAUGUAACCCGAAGCUCCGGUCACACACACCAUUUUCCCUUCUCCUGCUCCACUCAUUUUGUUAAUAUUUUUGUGUGUGAACCUGUCACCUGUUUGCCUUACUUCUGGACUUAAUGGAGGGAGGCAUAUAUGGUGUAUAUAUAGCUAUGGUGAAGAAGACGAAAGAUUGGAUAUGAGAUUACUGGGAGACUGGGGAGAUCCAUAUGUAUUCUUGCAAUUUGCAUGCAUCAUCGCUGACAUACGUAUGGUAUAAUCGCGUCACAUCCCAUUUUAUCAAGGUCAAUUGAUCAGUGUAAAAUAGAAAUGAACAAUAAAUACAAUGGUAAAUUACCUUCUACACCCUAUGGUUUGAUGUUUUAUCACAUAACUCCCUAUAAUUUAAAAACCUAUAUAUGACCCUUUCGUAGUUUGGGUUAUUGUGUCACUUUAGCUUGUUCUGUUAAAACUAACGGUCAAUAGUAAAAAGUCAAAUUCAAACUACUAAAUUGACAAAUUCACCAUUUCACUACUUUUUUUUUCUUGUUUUCCUUUUCUUUCUUUCCUUUUUUUUUCUUGGAAAGAGAAGAGAUGACUUUGAAAACUUGUAUUUUGGCUUACAAAACCUUAAUUGUUUCCAAAUACAAAAGAGACAGAAGGGAAAUAAAAAUAAAUCAACAAGAAACAAAAAAUAUGGAAGGUAAAGAUAUAACAAAUAAAUAAGAAACAAAAAAACACCAAAUCUUUUUUACUAUGAAUAUCAUUAUAGGUUUUUAAACCAAAUCUUUAAUAGUAUUUUCUAGUUCUUAUUUAUCUAUUUUUUAUUCCAAUUUCUUCUUUUUGAUGUUUGGAGGAAAAAAAAAAACAAGUAAUGAAGGGAUAAAUUUGUCAAUUUAUUAGUUUGACUUUUUAAUAUUAACUGUUAGUUUUGACGAAAAAACUAAUAAUGACACAUUAACUCAAAUCAUGAGGGGGUUAUAUAUAGUUUUUAAACUAUGGGGGUUAUGUGAGAAAAUACCAAACUAUAGAGGUUAAAAUGCAAUUUAGCCUAAAUCCAAAAUUUGGCGGUUGCAUAUGAAAAAAUAACAAGGUUCUUGACUUUGCUCAAUACAAUUCCAAGUCUAGAGACACAAUUUUUAAAUUCACUACCAGGAUAAACCAUUCUCCUUUUUUUUUUCCAUUUUUUCGGGUUAAAAAGUACAAACUACUUGAACUAGAAACUAGUCCUGACAAAGUUUGUGGGUUUUUUGCAAGAGUUUUAGUUAAAUAUUGGUUACUUCGCCUAAUUUGCACCUAUUUUAUCAUGUAAAUGCAUGCACACUUUUAAAAAAUAAUGCAUGCACUUAUAUUAUUGCCUUUCUUACAUUUAAAUACUUUUUUCAAUUUAAUUUUACUUUUCUGGCAAAACUAAAUCUGAAGCCCAUUUCAAGAAAUAUCCACCGAAUACCAGGUCAACAAACCCCCUUCGUAAUAAAGAACGAAAAGAACCGCAGCGUUCUUAACACGCAGCGGUCUUUUUGCAUCUAAGAAAGCUUUUGAUUGGCUAGAAAUCCUUCUCUGAUUGAGAAAUGGGAAUUGACUUGAUGAUGGCAACUCCAUUUAGAAAACUGGUCCACACCCUUGAAUGUGGUUUAAAUUUAAUAACACCAUUUCAUCAUUUCUGACGACUGCUUCUUCUAUAUCCUAGCUCACUGCACACGCCAGUCGUGUGAAACUUGGCAAAAGAGUUGCACCCUCCGUCCUAAAAUUGUCUGUCGCAUUUCGAGAUCCAACUUUUUAAAAAUAGCAUGAUGAUGAUAUUUGUAGAUUUGUUUUAAAAAUUGUCAUCAAAAAUUCAAAUUUUAAAUUGAAUUUAGUAUGAAAUAUAGAUAAAGAUUGGAAUAACAUUGAAAAAAAGAGAUGAAAAGUUAUUUUGAUUUUGAUAAGAUGAUAAAUAUUUUAGAACGUUUCAAAAUAAAAAAAAUAUAUGACAUUUUCAAUGAAACAAAAGGAUGGAGAGAAUAUAUAUAAGAUACUGAAAACUAGCAUCCAUCAGAAGCAGUCAAAUCAAAGCCAACAUAUUACUUGUAGUUUGGUUAUAACAAUAUCUCAGCUUGCUGGUAGCCCAAAAAUUUAGCAAAAUAAAUUAGGAAACCAAGUGCGAUAGAGCAUAUUUCACCCAAAUAUAUUAAAAGUGAAAAAGAUUUAUUUUUAUUUAGUCAAUGUGAUUUUUUGUGUCCGCAUGCCCAUAAAGCUCAAGGACCAAAAAGCCAAACAUACGAAGUGAAAAUGUGAAGAGCAAUAAUUUGAAUAUAAAAAAAAAAACGGGUAGAUGGAUAGAAAACCAUGUCGAAGGUCUCUUCUCUCUCUUUUUUUUUUUUUUGGUUUGACCAUGCAUGGUGCAUAUGAUAUGAAGGAUAAUUGUAAAGCACCAUAUACUGCCCAAGGAAAGUAGAUUACACAGUGGGAACCAAAAAUAGAAGAAAAUAAAGCCUCAUAUGAACCGAAUCUUUCCCCUUGCUUUUUUUCUGGGAAUUUAAAGGUAUAAUGCAAGAAAUAACUCCUGGUCAUGCAAAAUUGCCAACAAAAAUGCGUCUUUGGUUUUAAAUUCCUUAAUAACAUACUAUCCAGCAUACUAUUUAGCAUAAUAACAUACUAUCUCAGAUGCAUCCACUCAAAUAUCCUGGCCGAGAUGGUAUGAGGCCAAUUUUCUAUCAAAAAUAUAGGUCUGUAGCAGGUAAUGACGUUACCUCACUACAACAAAAAUGGCCUUUAGCGGCAUUUAAAGGUGUCAGUAUAGAAAAUCUAACCUGACACUUUAUCUAUCCUGACACCCAUGGCGAGUGUUGUCCCUUCCAAUGUGGGGAUAGCCUCAAAUCUUUAGCAGCAUUCAAAUGUGUCAGGCAAACCAUGCUGCUAUAUCUUUACCUCUGCCAACAAAUCUUUUUUUUGUGAUAAUCGAAAGUGUCUGUAUAGCGUUAGGACAUCAGUAGGGAAUCAGUAGGAUAUCAAAUUUAUGAAGACAUCUUGAGUUGUCUUAAUAUAUGGCUUUAAGGACACGUAGCCAUGUGAAUUUACAAUGUGUUGGACGACAUGCCCAUUUGUUGUUAGUGUUUUUCGAAGCUACAUAAUUUUAUCAACCCAUAUGACAAGGGUUUAUUUUACGUAUUUUUAGUGUGUUUUAUUAGUUAAUUUUGGUUUGAUUAUUUAGUAUUAUAACUAAAAUAACUAAGGUUUUGGUAAAAAACUACAUUUUAUGUUAAAAUGGCUAAACAUUGCAUUUUAUGGAUUUUUAUGGUAAAAACUUCAUAUUUUGUAGGUUUAAUGAUUCAAUCAUCAAAUGAAGUGCAUUGAGAAGAUAUUUGGAUGAUUGAAGAUGGAUUAAAGUGAGGAAAAUAAAAUAUGAAGUGUAAAAGGAAGAAAUGCAAUUUGAGGACAAAAAUCAAGAAAAGUCAGCUUUGACAACUCAGACAUAUUUUCGUAUUUUGACUAUAUCAGGAGCUACAAUGAUCGGAUCAAGGUGAUCUUGGUACCAUUUUGAAGUUAAGAGAUAUAUCUACAUUUGGUAUGAAGACAUCAAAGUCCAGUUCAGCCGUUUUCAUAGUCCAAAAGUUGAAAUACCGAAAUUCAACUCAGCUGUCCAAAGUGGAAAACAGAGUUCCGACCAGUGUUUAGUAUUUUGAUCAUAUCUCAGUCUACAAAGCUCCGAUUUGGAUGAUUCUUGAAGCAUUGGAAAGCUAACUCAAAGAUAUACAACUUUGAUGUUUUGCACAAAAGCCAGUUCGGCCUGCAUCAUGGAGAAAAUCGCAGUUGAAGUAAGGACAAAGUGAAAACGCGAGUGCACAAAACGCGAGUUGUAGACGCGUUUUGUAAAGGCGCGUUUUCUGGCCGAAAUUCUGCAAUUUGCUCAGUCAAUUCUCUUGUGUUCAUACCACUUUCCAGCUAUAAGUUGCAAGAGAAUUCGGUGCACAUGCUUCAGAAGACAAAAGGGCAGACAAGGUGGCUUAUUUUCAAGUCAAAAACAUUUGUUAUUGACUAUCCUAACAAAGUUGAGAUUUGGGAAUCAAAACAUUUGUUAUUUUACUUGUAAAUUUUCUCCAUUUGCUGCCAUUAAGGUUUCCUUUGUUCUUUCACAAUAUUUAGUAGAAAUUAUUCCUUCUUUAAUACAACUUGAAUCAGCUCCACUAUCUAUUAAAGCUACAUAUAUUUCUUUGAAAUCUUCUACUGUAAUAGUUACUAAAGCAUACCAUUUUUGAAAUAUCAUUUUUUCUAUGGUAUUUAAAUAUUGAAUUUCAUCUGUUGGUCUUUCUGAUAUACUUAUUUCUUCUGUUUUAGAAUUGGAAGUUGAUGGUUGAUUUUCUAGUAAUGUUAUUUUUGCUUCUAUUUCUAAAUCUUUUGUUUUUAAUUCUAUGAUUUCUCUUUGUAAUUGUUUUACUUGUAUUUUAAGAUCAUUAAUUUCUGUUUGAAGAUCUUUAGUGGUUUCUUUUUUCAUUAUAUUUAUGUUUAGAUAUUUAUCUAUUAAUUUAGAAAUACUAAAAGGUUCUAUUAUUUUUGGCAUUUUGUCUUCUUGUAUAAUUAGACUUUUUAAUCUUUCUAAAUACUCUUUUUUAGCUACUGGAUCAUCAAUUUUUUCUAUUAUAUCUAAUAAAAAUUCUUUAUCUUCUUUUUUGGUUAUAACAUUUAUAUAUUUUGAAGUGUUAGAACAAUUACAAUUUUCUUCACUUUCUGUACUAGAUAUAUCAUUAUAAUAAUCAUCUUCAGAAUUUUGAUCUUUUUCAUUUAUUAAUAAAUUAAUUAAUUUAUUUUUAAUUUCUUCUUCUUUUGCACAAAUCUCUGUAAUUUUUUCUUUUAAUUUACAUUUGUUUGCUUUAUGUCCUAUUUUUUCACAUUUAUAACAAACAAUUUUUCUUUUAAUAAAUUUUCUCUUCUUUUCUGGUUUAUCUUCUUUAGAUCUUUUAUACUUUAUUUUCUUAUUAUAUUUUUUAACUUUUUUGUUAUAUGCAGAUGGUGAUUUAAUUCUUUAGUAGCAAAUUCUAAAGCUCUAUUAAUUGGUUUUAUUGUUCCUUGAUAUAUAUCAUGUCCUAAAAAUCUUAUUUUUGUUUGGAAUAAUUUCAUUUUUGGUGCUGAAACAACUAAUCCAUUUUUCUUAACUACUUUUAAAAAUAUAUUUAAAUGUUUGAAAUGCUGUUCUAUUGAUUCAGAAAAUAUUAAUACAUCAUCAAUAUAAACUAUGCUAAAUGAACUAUAAGGAUUGAAAAUAUCAUUCAUUAUAUUUUGAAAUUCUGAUGGUGCAUUUUUUAAUCCGAAUGGCAUUACGUUCCAUUCAUAAUGACCAAAAGGUGUUGUGAAUGCUGUUUUAUAUCUAUCUUUUGGUGUUAUUAAUAUUUGCCAAUAUCCUGAUUUUAGUUGUUUCAGCACCAAAAAUGAAAUUAUUUCAAACAAAAAUAAGAUUUUUAGGACAUGAUAUAUAUCAAGGAACAAUAAAACCAAUUAAUAGAGCUGUAGAAUUUGCUACUAAAUUUCCAGAUGAAAUAAAAGAUAAAAAUCAAUUACAAAGGUUUUUAGGAUGUUUAAAUUAUAUAGCAGAUUUCUUUCCUAAAUUAAGACAAGAAUGCUCUAUAUUAUUUAAUAGAUUAAAAAAGAACCAUUUCCACCAGUGAUUGAACCAGAUUGGGAAUUCUCUACUGCAACUUUUUUGAAUGUGAAGAACCAUGAAUGAUUGAAUGGUCUAUACAAAAAAAGCAAAAGUCUAAUUAUACAAGAAGACAAAAUGCCAAAAAUAAUAGAACCUUUUAGUAUUUCUAAAUUAAUAGAUAAAUAUCUAAACAUAAAUAUAAUGAAAAAAGAAACCACUAAAGAUCUUCAAACAGAAAUUAAUGAUCUUAAAAUACAAGUAAAACAAUUACAAAGAGAAAUCAUAAAAUUAAAAACAAAAGAUUUAGAAAUAGAAGCAAAAAUAACAUUACUAGAAAAUCAACCCUCAACUUCCAAUUCUAAAACAGAAGAAAUAAGUAUAUCAGAAAGACCAACAGAUGAAAUUCAAUAUUUAAAUACCAUAGAAAAAAUGAUAUUUCAAAAAUGGUAUGCUCUAGUAACUAUUACAGUAGAAGAUUUCAAAGAAACAUAUGUAGCUUUAAUAGAUAGUGGAGCUGAUUCAAGUUGUAUUAAAGAAGGAAUAAUUCCUACUAAAUAUUGUGAAAGAACAAAGGAAACCUUAAUGGCAGCAAAUGGAGAAAAUUUACAAUUAAAAUAUAAAUUUACAAAAGGAUCAAUAUGUAACAAUGAAUAUUGUAUUAGACAUAAUUUCAUAAUUGUAAAAAAUAUAAAUCAUGAUAUAAUAUUAGGAACACCUUUUUUAAUUCAAAUUUACCCAUUUUCAGUUAGUCAUGAAGGAAUUUCAAUAAAUAUAAUGGGAAAAACUGUUAUCUUUAGAUUUCUAACUCCAGUAAAACAAAGAGAAUUACAGACAUUACAAACAUCCUCUAUUUACAAAACAAUAAAUAGUAUUACUAAAGUACAACAACAAAUAAAUUAUAUAAAAGAAGAAAAAUCUUAUUUAAAAAUUGAAGAACAAUUAAAAGAAAGUAAAAUGCAAAAAAGAAUUUCAGAAUUAGAAGAAUUAUUACAAAAAGAAAUUUGUGCAGAUAUUCCUAAUGCUUUUUGGGAUAGAAAACAACAUAUGAUUGAAUUACCUUACGAAACAGGUUUUAAUGAGAAAAACAUUCCUACUAAAGCAAGACCAAUACAAAUAAUUCUAAUCUAUUAGAAUUUUGUAAAAAGGAAAUAAAAACAUUAAUAGACAAAAAAUUAAUAACACCUUCAAAAUCACCUUGGAGUUGUGCUGCAUUCUAUGUAAUGAAUCAAGCUGAAAAAGAAAGAGGAGUUCCAAGAUUAGUUAUAAAUUAUAAACCAUUAAAUAAAGUAUUACAAUGGAUUAGUGAAUAAUACAAUAAAUUUAUAAAUUUAGAAUUAAUAGAGGAUACAAUAAAUUAAAGUAACCAUUUUUAUAAAUUUAAUAGAGCUCAAAUGCAAAUAAUACAAUAAAUUUAGAAGACAUUAAAAAAGUUUAUCAACAAAAUAAUUAUACAAAUCAAAUCCUUCAUACAAUUUCUCAACAUAUGGAAGUAUUAAACACAAAAAUAGAUACUAUAAAGAAACCAGAAUUAAAAUUCCCUAAUAAUAUUUCAGCACCUCAUUUUCAACCUAGAAGUUUGACAAGAGAAAAAGAACAAGAUUUAGAUUCAAAAUCAGAAGACAAAGCAUCGGCGAAUUAGUGAGAAAAAGAGAACAAAACACUCUCAUGUAAAAAUCCUUAGACAAAUCUCUCAAUCCCUCUUUCCAACUACUCUUGUAUUCAAUUACUUUUGUUUCCUUCCUUCUCCAAAUAUAAUAAAGAUCAAGGAUUCAACCAUUCAUCAAGCUUCUGUUAUCAAAGGCCACUCUAAAUUUUCAGUAAGUCCAAUUUUUAUACUAAAUUUUCUAUGAACAUUUCAAUAGAAAGUAGCCUGGGUAGAAGUGGUAUCAGAGCCACUUAUCACAUUAUCUUUACAGUGUUAUUAAGGAAAGUAGAUUACACAGUGGGAACCAAAAAUAGAAGAAAAUAAAGCCUCAUAUGAACCGAAUCUUUCCCCUUGCUUUUUUUUCUUGGAAUUUAAAGGUAUAAUGCAAGAAAUAACUCCUGGUCAUGCAAAAUUGCCAACAAAAAUGCGUCUUUGGUUUUUAAUUCCUUAAUAACAUACUAUCCAGCAUACUAUUUAGCAUAAUAACAUACUAUCUCAGAUGCAUCCACUUAAAUAUCCUGGCCGAGAUGGUAUGAGGCCAAUUUUCUAUCAAAAAUAUAGGUCUGUAGCAGGUAAUGACGUUACCUCACUACAACAAAAAUGGCCUUUAGCGGCAUUUAAAGGUGUCAGUAUAGAAAAUCUAACCUGACACUUUAUCUAUCCUGACACCCAUGGCGAGUGUUGUCCCUUCCAAUGUGGGGAUAGCCUCAAAUCUUUAGCAGCAUUCAAAUGUGUCAGGCAAACCAUGCUGCUAUAUCUUUACCUCUGCCAACAAAUCCUUUUUUUGUGAUAAUCGAAAAUGUAUGUAUAGUGUUAGGACAUCAGUAGGGAAUCGGUAGGAUAUCAAAUUUAUGAAGGCAUCUUGAGUUGUCUUAAUAUAUGGUUUUAAGGACACGUAGCCAUGUGAAUUUACAAUGUGUUGGACGACAUGCCCAUUUGUUGUUAGUGUUUUUCGAAGCUAAGCUAUGCUGACACUUUUAAUUGCCAGGAGAAUUUUCCCUGGUUUUUUUUUAUAUGGAAGCAACCUGCAAUUAGUCCUCCUUGCUGUACAUUCCAUCAAUCAGAAUCCCAAGGGACUUGUAAAAUUAUCCCAAAGAGCAGAAUGCAUAUGGCAAUGUAAAAGAAGAAGUCGAUACUCAAAUAUAAUUCAUUGAAUUAAAAGUCGAUAACAAGUACAAACAUAGCAAAUACUAAAACGCAAACAAGUGCUAAAAGCAAGUACUAAAAUAUCAAACCAGUACCGAAAGAUUCUCAUUUACAAUAACUUAAAAGCUCUAUCGGAAGCACAAAAUAAAAGACUCCCAUCCCUAAUAAGUUGAAAGAAGUAGAAGUAGCUUCCAAACUUUCCAUUUUGUUGAGAGUCCUCAGGCAUAACCACGAAGUCCCCAUCAUUCUUCAGCUGGUUCCACCUGUGCACAAAGACCAAGGGGAUCAUUAGAUCAUCAUAACUAAAACUAAAAUUCCAGAAAAUCCGCAAUGUAUUUAAGUGCAUAUCUCACCAAAUGACAAGGCCAAGCAACUGGUGCACCAAGUGCAUCUUGAAUCGUUUGUUGUAAACCAUAUGGUCUAAUCAAUUGCUCACGUGGAGUCAUUGCAACUUGUAUCUGUAUUUCACACCAGUUUGGCCCAAGAGCUUGUCCCCCGACCUCAUCCAAAGGAUUCAGACUCCGUAAAUAUCCCUUUGCCACGAUUUUUGUUGGGUCAAACAAACUUUUUAGUGAAACCAUAUUCCCUACCUAGUAAACAUCCAACAAGUACAAGAAUCAAACUCAUGCCAAAUUCCAGAUUACAAAUGCAAAAGUUUAGAAGUUGUAAAUACUUACUCAAAUAGGUCGCGUGGCUCGCGAUGGAGCAUGGCUUGACACAUUGUUAGAUGAUGAUGAAGGAUGUCUCGGGCUGUCAAUUGGAGAACCCCUUCCAUGUUGAACUAAAACCAUUUUCUUCAAGCUGGCUAUUUCAUCAUCUUGUCGCUGAAGCCUUUCCUCCAAACGGACUAAUGUUGACUGUUGUUGAACACUUAUACGGUAGCAUGUGUUACGACUAGGAAUGUCUUCCCAUAAGUCCGUUGGAUUCACACCGUCACUAAGCAAGCGAACAUGACCAUGUUUGUCUUGCCCAACCACCUGGGCAAAUAUAUCAUCACGACCAACUGGAUCUUGCGAAUCCGAUGGAAGCUGAUUUUUCAGCUCAGUCAUUUUUUCCUACAUAAUAAAGGAAAACACUUGUUAUUGCAAAAGACUGUCUGAAAACAUCCAUGGUAGAAUUGAUAGGCUUGUGUUCUCGGAUCCUUACCAAAUUCUCAGCAACUAUGGUACUUGAUGGAGUUUGUUGACCUUGGUCGAUCAAUCCUUGGUUUUGAUGAUUAACAAACCAAAAUGUAGAUUUGGGCUAAUGUUUUUAUGUGAGCAAUUUGUUAGAACAGAUUCUUGUGGCACAAAAGAAGAAGCAAAAACAGGGCACUCAUGUGAGACGUCCGAAAGGAAGCUAUCGGACGUCCGAAAGGAUGAAGAACAUCAGGAAGGAUAUUCUGUCGGACGCUCGUGAGAAAGCAUCGGACGUCCGGAUGGAUCGGACACACUCUUCGGACGCACAUCGAUCGUGUCGGACGUCCUAAAAAUUUCACGAAGAUUUGAUAACUCUCUGGACGACGUUCGGACGCAGGGUUCGGACGUCCGACAGGUGGUUUGGACGCAGGGUUCGGACGUCCGACAGGUGGUUCGAACGUCCGACAGGCCAACGGCUAGUUUUGACAGCAUUUAAUAUUUGACCGUUGGAGAGCCUUUUGGAGCCAUUUCUCACAUUCUAUAAACACCCCAAAGCACAAGAAGACACGGGACUUUUGCCAACACAAUAUACAAGCUUACAAGUGAGAUUUUUGAGUAGAAAGAUUCUUUGUUGGUUGUAUAAGGGGUUGGGGAAGUUGGGUUGUGAGGUUGCUCAAGUGAAGGUUAUUCUCUAGGAGGAGUAAAACCUGGUGAAGGUGAACCUAUUCACUUGAAGUGGUAAAACCUUGGUGAAGGGUUGCCUCAUUUGUAUAAAAUAGUUCUUAAUUGGUGAGUGGGGAUCUUUCAAGUGUAGGUUGUUGAGGGUUAACUAGAAUUGUUGUAAAACUCUUGGCUCAACCAAAGUGUGUUUUGGCGUGAGGAAGGGAGGUGAGCCUUCACUUGUACAUCUUGGUUAGCAUCGCCAUCAUUGAAGAGGCUAUUGGUUUGAUAUUUGGUUUGCAUUUCUUAUCCUUUCUCUUUAAUUUAAGUUUUCCUUUAUUGUGCUUAAAUUUGAUAUAUCUUUGUGCAUCAUUGUGAAAUUUGUUUGUACUCAUUAGGUUGCACCGGGCACUUACAAUUGGUAUCAGAGCUUGGUCUCUUUUGAGAGCUUAAUCCGGCUUGGAGUAAAGAUCAAUGGCAACCAUAAAAGUUUCCUUUUUUAGAAGGGCAAUCUAUUGAAGACCACUAUGUUUAAUGGUUCUCAUUUUAGCAUGUGGAAACAAAGAAUGAUGAUUUUCUUACAAUCCAUUUAUAUUGAAUUUGGUAUGUGGUAGAAGAUGGUCCUUUAUGAAGCUAGAAUAGUUGACUCUACCAUCAAUUUGAGUAGAUUAAAGACUAGACAAGAAUUGAAUGGAAAAGACAAGAGAUACCUUUCUUUGAAUGCCAAGGCCAUGUGUAUAUUGUACAAUGCAUUAGAUGUAAAUGAAUCUAGUAGGAUUAAAGGUUGUAAAUCAGCUAAAGAUAUUUGGGAUAAAUUGUGUAAUUUCAUGAAGGUAACCAAGAUAUUAAAGAACAAAAGAAAUCUUUGCUUGUUUCUCAAUAUGAAUUUUUCAAAAUGAUCCUCUGAAAAUGUUGAUAAGAUGUUAGUAGAUUUGUGACAUUAUUAAGAUCUUAAAUUGCUUGCUAGAGAAUAUUCUUUGGUGAGAAAAUAGAAGAUUUUGAAUGCUUGCCAAAAGAAUGGGAAAACAAAAUAAAUGCUAUAGAAGAGCAAAGGAUUUAAAUUCUAUGUCCAUUGAAUCUCUUGUGAAUUCCCUAACUUCUUAUGAAUUAAAGCUGCAAUUCAAAGUGCAAGAGAAAGAAAAUGCAAGAAUGUUAUAAGAGAGGCAUAGCUUUUAAAGCAUCUCAAGUGGGGGAUAACCCAUCUUUCAUGGGUAAUGAAAACAUGGAAGUGGACAAUGAUAUAACUCCUCACAUCAAAAGUUUCAAGAAGAUCUUCAACAAGAGAAGUUCAAGAGGAGAUUGCAAAAUUACAUGGGAUGAAUACUAAUUCAAAAAGAGAAAAAGAAGAGUUGGCACAAAUGGCACUAAUGGCCUUUGGAGAAGAUGAGGUAAAUUCUUAUCACUCUUCUUGUGAUGAAGAUAAUGAAGAUGAUGAUGUGAAAAUUCUUAUGAUUAAAAUGCAUAAAAGUUUGAGAAAAUCUUAUGCUAAAAAUAAAGAUUUGAAAACAAAAAUAAAUGAUUUGUUGGAAGAAAACUCCAAACUUUUUCAGGAAAACAAAUGUUUGAGAAUGGAAAAUGAUGAUUUAAAAAAUCAAAAAAAUGUUUUUGAUUGCAAAAAUAAUUUGAAAAGGAAGUUGGAAGAGAAAACAAAGUUUUAUGGAAAAAUGUUGGAUGAACAAAAUUUGUUAAAGAAAAGAAUUAAUGACUUGAACGAGUUUCUCCAAAAUGAAAAACAAAAGUUUUCUCAAACAAAAGAAAGCAAAUCUUUUCAAGGCACAAAUACGUUUGCUAUGAUAAGAAGUAAGAAAAUUAGUUGCAUUAAAUCCACUUAUGUGCAAAAUACUUCUAUCAUGUGUCACUUUUGUUGUCAAUUUGGACAUAUGCAAAAUGAUUGCUAUGUAAAGAAAAAUAUGAGAAAAGGUAUGAAAUCCAUGUGGAUUGCUAGAUCAUGUUGUACUAACUCCCAAGAACCCUAUAAAAACUUACAAUUGGUAUCAUGAAAGUUUUGUCAUUCUAUAUGGUCUUGAUUUGGAAAAUAAAGGGGGAGUUUACUUUUUGAUUGAUGUCAAAAGAGGGAGUAGGAUUUAUUGAAAUUUCUUUGUAUGUUGGCAUUUUCUAAGGGAGAGUUUUAUUUGAACUUAUUUGAUCAAAGAAAUCUUCAUUUUGUUUGUCAUCAUCAAAAAGGGGGAGAUUUUUGACCUUGGUCGAUCAAUCCUUGGUUUUGAUGAUUAACAAACCAAAAUGUAGAUUUGGGCUAAUGUUUUUAUGUGAGCAAUUUGUUAGAACAGAUUCUUGUGGCACAAAAGAAGAAGCAAAAACAGGGCACUCAUGUGGGACGUCCGAAAGGAAGCUAUCGGACGUCCGAAAGGAUGAAGAACAUCAGGAAGGAUAUUCUGUCGGACGCUCGUGAGGAAGCAUCGGACGUCUGGAUGGAUCGGACACACUCUUCGGACGCACAUCGAUCGUGUCGGACGUCCUAAAAAUUCCACGAAGAUUUGAUAACUCUCUGGACGAUGUUCGGACGCAGGGUUCGGACGUCCGACAGGUGGUUUGGACGCAGGGUUCGGACGUCCGACAGGUGGUUCGAACGUCGACAGGCCAACGGCUAGUUUUGACAGCAUUUAAUAUUUGACCGUUGGAGAGUCUUUUGGAGCUAUUUCUCACCUUCUAUAAACACCCCAAAGCACAAGAAGACACGGGACUUUUUGCCAACACAAAUAUACAAGCUUACAAGUGAGAUUUUUGAGUAGAAAGAUUCUUUGUUGGUUGUAUAAGGGGUUGGGAAGUUGGGUUGUGAGGUUGCUCAAGUGAAGGUUAUUCUCUAGGAGGAGUAAAACCUUGGUGAAGGUGAACGCUAUCACUUGAAGUGGUAAAACCUUGGUGAAGGUUGCCUCAUUUGUAUAAAAUAGUUCUUAAUUGGGUGAGUGAUCUUUCAAGUGUAGGUUGUUGAGGGUUAACUAGAAUUGUUGUAAAACUCCUUGGCUCAACCAAAGUGUGUUUGGGGUGAGGAAGGAGUGAGCCUUCAGCUUGUACAUUCUGGUUAGCAUCGCCAUCAAUUGAAGAGGCUAUUGGUUGAUAGUUGGUUUGCAUUUCUUAUCCUUUCUCUUUAAUUAAGUUUUCUUUAUUGUGCUUAAAUUUGAUAUAUCUUUGUGCAUCAUUGUGAAUUUAUUUGUACUCAUUGGGUUGCACCGGGCACUUACAGAGUUCCAUCGGCAUGGGUAUAAAACUUAUUGAACAUUUCUACUCUAGUAGGAGGUCUUCCCAACUGUUUGGCCUAUAAGAAAUUGAAUCGUUUUAAUUAUAGUUUUAGCAUUUAGCAUAUAAUUAAAAAACAAGCUAACAUAAUGAAACAUGUACGAGCAAAAAAAAUUAGCAACUAAAAAGUGGAUGAGGUAUCACCAAGUGGUUCCGAAGAUGAGCAAAUUACUUUUUUCUGGUUGUGUGGUUCAUCUUCUUCUCCCCUCUAGCUUUCUUGUUCCUCUCACUUAGUUUCUAAAUUUCAAAAUGAAAAGCAAGAUUACAGCAUUGAAUGAACACAACUUUAUGAAGAAUGUUGUAGCUGAUUUGUACCUUUGCUUCUUCACUUUUCCAAUAAGCCCAAAGUUUGAUCCAUUGCUCUUCCCGUACCCUUAUGUCCUUUUGAAACCGAGCUUCAGCAUUUGGCACGGCAGAAUCAAAAUAGUUAGCCUUUAAAUCUGCCUUCCAGCUUCUCCAUUUUUUGCCAAUAGAUCUUAAGGUCCAAGCUUCCAGUCCCAUAGGCAAAGCAAACCUUUCCUGAAACGUAGUUAGCAACAAGAAAAUCAACACAACUUCACAGUAAUUUUUGUACAAAGCAUACAUAAUACAAAAGCUGCCAUUACCUUUAUCACUUCUAACAUGUCCAUUUUAAGUUUCCUUGGCAUCUUAAGCCAUGUUUCAACAUCUAUUGGACAAUACAUACCAUUCCUAGCCAAACUGCCCAAGAAUUCAGAGAAAGAGUUUUUCUCACUUAUUGGGAUCCCAUUGUCAUCGAGUUUAAUCUCAAUCCGUGGAAGUUCCUUAGGCCGACCCCAAAUUUCUUUCAUAAAUAUAGGGCCUCGGGUUUUAUGAUUUACUUCACUUGAAUCAUUUGUAGUUUCUUUUCCUGUUUAAAAUAAGAAAAAGGUGCAAGUUAUGAACAUAACAAAAUGCACUUCUGGAAUUGGUUCAAAACAGUUAGUAAUACCUGCAUUGUCCGAGUUGCAUGACAUGAAGGUGGUGUCACUGGAAUGUGGACCUCGAGAAUCCUGAUUUGGACUUUCUUCGGUUGCUUCAUGCCUUGUUCCAAGUGGAGAUUGUUGAAUUGGAGAGUUCUGGCACUGCUCAUGCGACUUGGAACCUCCAUCAGCUUGUUGAGUAACUUGGUCACCUGAUUCAUGCAUUAUUCCCAAUGUAGAAUUCUGAAUUGCAGAUUGAGGUGCCCGAGCAGCUUCUCCUUGCACUUGUUCAAUUACAUUUUCAUGGCUUGUUCCAAGUGGAGGCUGCUGCCUUGUUUCAUAACAUGAGGGAGGUUGCUCAAUUGGUUCAUCUCUCAAUCCAUUUGCAGCGCGCUUACAUUUUCGACCUCUACGGGCCAUACCUGCAUAAUAUUUGAGUGAAGAAAGGGACAAAUGUAAAUGUUUAAAAUUUAUUGAAGCACACUCUCUACCUAUAGUUUCUUUAACUUACAAAUGCUAUUAUAAAGAAGUACUACUUGAACAAUAAACUGGCAUGACAAGUAACAAAUGGCAUUCUGCAAGAAUAAACCAGGGGAAGACUAUGGAGCUGUCAACAGAACAGAGAAACAAAUGGAGAAUAUAUGAUUCAAUGCAGCAACUAAUUGGAAAUGAAAUGAAAGCUACAUGCUUAAGUGACUGCAAGAAUAUACAUGGGAAAUGCUUUGAUCUACAUCCUUUCAGCAUGAAAGAUAUGCAGAAUUUACUACCGCUAGACACGAAACUUUUUCCAUAUUGUUUUGAGAAUGAUGCCUAUGAUCAAAAGUUGGUAUGCUUAUGCUCAAUGAGGGUGUAAGUAGAAGAGUCCACGUAAUUUUAACUUCAGUAAUGGAGCAAACUAAUAAAUGAUUGUCUUGAAUUAACGAAAUAUACUUGGCCAUGUGAUAACCAAAAAUUGCAGAGGAUAAUGUAUUCUACCAACAAAUACAAGUCUUGGUUUUGUAUGUUUAGGGUGGCAAUCGGGUCGGUUAUGAAGCUCUACUGAAUACUUUUAUUUCCAGAUUCUGACAUGGUUCUGCAUUUAUCAAGAACUUGUCUCAUCUAAACAAGAGCUCAAGCUUUACGUAGCAUUGACGAUUCCAAACCAAAUUACUUCUCUUUUUGCCAGAGCCACAUCCACAGUUAUGGGUUGACACUUAACAGUAAAUGCACAAACACUUUGUCCAAUACAAUUGUAGCAGUACAAACAAUACAGUUGUAGAACAGGAAGGAGACGAAGAGCAUCACGGUGAAAGACUGAAAACGAGAACCCAUCACCAAAAAUAGAUGGUUGAAAUUGUACAUUCAGUUCACAGUAGCAGUCUCCAUUCGACCAGGCUCACCUAGAAAUGUGCUUCUCAGAAAUGUGCUUUUCACACCGCCACCACCCCAAAAGCUUUUCACACCACCACCACCCCCCAAAGCAAACAUUCUACCUAGAAAUGUGCUUCUCAGAAACGGAGAAGGUGCUUGUCAGAGAUGGGAAUCGAAUAGCCUAAAAACUAAAUCUACCAAGCAAUGCAAGAACAUGUCUACCAUGCAAUGCAGAAUUAGACACAAAAUACUGAAAUUACCUCAAACUAUGGCUUGAAUCCCUAAUUUCUCGGUUUCCCAAGCUUUGAAGCCCUAAUUUCUGAUUUCUUCCCACCAAGCCAACACAACAGCCGAAUUAGGGAUUUGCCUGGUGCGAGCUCAACCAAGUUACCCAAAAGGGUGCGAGUUCAUGGACGGCAAUUGACUCAAAUUGGUUGUGCGAGCUUGAAAGAGAGAGAGAGGACAAAGGCAGAGGACAACGAGAGAGGGAGAAGAUGUCUGAAAUAAAGGCGGUACUAAUGACGCCAAAGUAAAUUAGUCAAGCCUCUUGAAUUUUUCAAUUUGCCGCGCUACUAAUGACAAUUUUUGUGUGUUUGGGCAAAAUUUUGUUAAAGCUAGAUAACAACUAAAAAUUUGGUUAAAGCUAUAUACAAUAUAAUAUAACAACUAAAAAUAUAAAGGCUAAAAAUCUUGUUAAAGCUAUAUAACAACUAAAAAUAUAACAAAUAAAAAUUUUGCAAGAGCUAUAUACAAUAUAAUAUAACAAUCAAAAAUUUUGUUACAGCUAUAUAACAACUAAAAAUAUAACAAAUAAAAAUUUUGUUAAAGCUAUAUACAAUGUAAUAUAAUAACUAAAAAUAUAAAAAUAAUUAAAAAUUUUGAGAAGCUAACAAAAAACAUUCUUUUAAUCAAAAUGUUUUCGGUUACUCAAUUUAUUUUAUGCUGCGAGCAAUUAUGUACGGCUUGUAGUCUAACAAGCCAUUGGAAGGAUCGAAUUAGUUUAUGAAACAAGAAAAUUAACUUGUGAAUGCAUGAACUUUCCAUUGAUAAACAUUGGGAUUAGAAUUGACUGAACAUAAACAAUGAAUAUAUAUAUAUAUAUAUUCAAUGUUUUCAAUUCCAAAGCAAUUGCCAUUGAACUUUGUGUUAAUUAGAAACUUACUAUCACUUACAAGAUCUUACUAUUGAACUUUUCAAUGAUUAACCUUAGGCUUACACUUACAACGCAUUAAUUGAACAUAAACAUAUAUAUAUAUAUAUAUAUAUAUAUAUAUAUAUAGGGUAAAAAACAAAAAGGCCCCCUGUAGUUAACCUAAUACACAGAAAAGCUCCCCAUGGUUUCAAAAUAUACAACACGAUCCCUCAUGCUUUGAACUAAAUUGUAAAGGUGACGGAAUCCGUUAAACUUAACGGAAAUGGACGAAAUGACCAAAAUGCACUGAUAUAAUUAAGCAAAAGACAGCUCAAAAAAAUCAUUUGUUUCAUUCUCUAAGUAGAGAGAAUUGAGGGUUAAGGGGUAGAAUAUGCAUAUUUGAUAAAAAAUAGGCAUAAAAAUUUUUUUUUAGGUUCCAAUAAGUCAUUUCCGUUAAGUUUAACGGAUUCCGUCACCUUUAUAAUUUAGUUCAAAACAUGAGGUGUCGUAUUGUAUAUUUUGAAACCAUAGGGGAUUUUUCUGUGUAUUAGGCUUACCACAGGGGGUUUUUUUGUUUUUUACCCAUAUAUAUAUAUAUAUAUAUAUUCAUUGUUAAAAAUUCCAAAGCAAUUGCCACUGAACUUUGUGUUAAUUAGAAACUUACUAUCACUUACAAGAUCUUACUAUUGAACUUUUCAAUGAUUAACCUCAGGCUUACACUUACAACGCAUUAAUUGAACAUAAACAUAUAUAUAUAUAUAUAUAUUCAAUGUUUUCAAUUCCAAAGCAAUUGCCAUUGAACUUUGUGUUAAUUAGAAGCUUACUAUCACUUACAAGAUCUUAAUAUUGAACUUUUCAAUGAUUAACCUUAGGCUUACACUUACAACGCAUUGAUUGAAGGAUAAUCUAAAAUUGCGACUAAACCGAUUAAAUUCGAUCAAAGAUCAGUUGGACUAGAAAGCUCUAUCGGAAUUAACUUUUUGUAUUGUUAUUGGUUUAAAAAAUAAUUUUUUCAUGGUAUUAAAAAAUUAUUUAAGAAAUUUAUAGAUUAAAGUUUCAAAAUAUUUCUAUUGAUAAAAAAUUAGACCUUGGGUUAUUGGGAAAAAGAAUUGGCCAUAAUAUAAUGAUUCACAAAUGUAAUAUUACAGCUUACAAUUAAUGGAAUUGCUUAUAAAAUAAUGACCAGUAUUUAUGCAGCCCAUUGGGCUCUUAAAAUGAGUAAUGGGUUCCUUGGAAAGUUGGAUAGUUUUAUGUUUGGUCUGAAAUGAUUUGCACAUUCCGUACGUUGCCAAUUGUUCUCCCCAAACCAUAGAUGUCUGAGGAAGACAGACUCUACAUCUUCAUCCAUGGACUUCAACCGUGGGUACAGAUGGAGUUGCGGUGACAAAAUGUUCAGACCGUGUCUCAAGCACUUGCUACUGUCGAGAAGUUGAUAGACUUCAAGUCCAUAGGAUCCAAAAGUGAAAAAAAAAGAAGGGCAAGGCCUAGCAAUUGAAACAGAGAAGAAUAGGGCCAGCAAGCUUAGCAACUAUAAAAGAUACUAAAUCAGAUUAUAUUGGGACAAAUCAACUUCAAUCCCGAGUCCAUCCUCACGAACCCAACUAAUUUCCUCAUUUUCAUUCUCAACAACAGGAUUGCCAACAUCACUUUGCAAAUAUGUCUCAACAUCCAUGAUUGUUCCCAUGUUAUAUCCAGCUCUUGCAGUGGUAGAGAUAACAACUUGCCAAUCCUUAUCAGUUGGAUCUGCCACAUAAAAAACCUGUGAUGCUUGUGAAGCGAGUAUAAAUGGCUCAACAUGAGGCCUCACGUUUGCAAAAUUGACUAAAGUAAACCCAUCAGCAUCUUGUUUCAUUCUCGAACCAUUUGAUAUCCAAUCACAUUCGAAUAACACCACCCGAUGACCUCCGUAAAUUAAUUCAAUCAUAUUUUUCAAGACGCCGAAGUAAACUAGUUCACUCAAAACUGGAUUUUGAUCCCUUAUACUUGCAAAACUGGAUGUUGUUGCAUUGACUGUAACACCACUAUUCUGCGUUUUUCUUUUCUUCUCAACUUCUUUGGUGUGAAACCGAAAUCCAUUAACAACAUACCUGUCAUGUUGGAUUCCAACAACAUCUGGACCUUUAGCAAGGAACCUCAACUCUCUCAACACCGAAACAUUUUGAGGAAGUUCUAACUUGUCAAUCUGUAAAAAAUAAAUAAAUAAAUAAAUAAAUAAAAGAAGAUGAAACUAUAUUUGAAGUCCUACAAUUCAAAUUGUACUUAAUAUUCAGAAUUUUACUUACAUGUUCAGCAAACCAACACGCAAAAUUUUCGCAGUGCAAGCGCUCUUUUAGAUGCUGUGGAAUUUGAGGAUGUCCUUCUUCUAUCAAUCUACGAUGCUGCCUAGAAGUACAUGAGUCAAAAUUGUAAUCAUACAUUGAAUUCUACAAUAAAAUUUUAAUGCAUCAAGUUGUAGUUGAACUUACUCUAUGUAAGGUGUGACAGCAUCACAAUUAAAUAAAAUAUACUGAUGUGCUUUACUCAAGAUAUGAGCAUCAAAGACUGUUGGCUUGCCCCUCCCCAAAGGAUGUCCUGAUUCAGAGAAUAUAUCUAAACCAUCUUCAAUUUCCUUAUGUACUUCUUCAUUUCUGCUUGGACGAUUGAAUUUUGUCUCAACAUAGUCCGCAAGAUACAAUGAGCAAAAGUUAAUGCAUUCUUCUGCCAAGUAGCCUUGAGCAAUCGAACCUUCAGGCCUACUUUUAUUUCGAACAUAAGAUUUUAAUGUUCCUAAGUACCUAAAGUAUCAUCAUUCCAACCUCUCUAAUUACUUCCACAAAUCAAAGAAAGCAAAAAAGGAAUAAACAUUUAAGGCAUAAUGAGAAUUACAAGCAGUACCUCUGUAUAGGAUACAUCCAACGAUAAUACACCGGCCCACCUAAUUUCACUUCAGUUGCCAAAUGAACAACUAAAUGCACCAUGACAUCGAAGAAGGUUGGUGGGAAGCAUUUCUCAAGAUCGCAGAGUAUGACGGCAAUUUCACUUUCCAAACGAACCACAUCUUGAGGACAAAUAACUUUAGAACAAAGCUGCCUGAAGUAUCUACUCAAUCGAAUCAAAGGAUAGCGCACUGAUUUUGGCAAAGUCUUUCUCAAAGCUAUAGGCAUCAAUUGCUGCAUUAGGAUAUGAUUAUCAUGACUUUUAAGCCCUGAAAUUCUUGGUGGUUUUACUCGAACGCAUCUUGAGACAUUAGCUGCAUAACCAUCUGGAACUUUCACUUUUUUUAGCACAUUGCAAAACAUAGUUUUCUGUUUUUUAUCCAUUGCAAAGGAAGAUGGAGGUAAGUACACCUUUCCAGGUUCUGUCUCAAUGGGAUGCAGCUCUUUUCUUAUUCCCAUUUCUCUCAAAUCACGGCGGGAAUUAUAAUGGUCCUUUGCUUUAUCCUCAAUAUCCAGCAAUGUCCCCCAAAUAUUUUCACAAACAUUCUUCUCAAUGUGCAUGAAGUCAAGAUUGUGUCUUAAGACAUUAUCUUUCCAAUAUGGCAAGUCAAAGAAAAUACUCCUCUUUUUCCAAUUGAAAGGCAGCUUCGGAUUACCUUUCACAAGUUUUCCAAAUUUAAUUUGCAAGUCUCCCAAUUCACUCACAAUCAUAUCCCCGGUUUGCAAAGGUGGUCGCUUUCCAUGUUCUUCGGUGCCAUCAAAGAAUUGGGCUUGCUUUCUAAAUUUAUGCUUACUAUCUAAGAAUCUCCGAUGACCUAUGUAGCAAUAUUUGAAACUAUGAGUCAACCGUCGUGCAUGAGUGAACUUGUGACAAACAGGACAAGCAUAUUCACCUUUAGUGCUCCACCCAGAUAACAUUGCAUAUCCAGGGAAAUCACUAAUGGUCCACAACAGAGCCGCAUGCAGUUGAAAAUUUUCUUUUUGGGAUGCAUCAUAAGUUUGAAUGCCAAAAUCCCACAAUUCGGUCAGUUCUUUAACUAGAGGCUGUAGAUAAACAUCAAUAUUAUUCCUAGGAGAGGAUGGUCCGGGUAUUAACAAAGACAACAUGAAGUACGGUUGCUUCAUACACAUCCACAGAGGUAAGUUAUAUGGUAUUAAAACUACAGGCCAAGUACUGUGUGUAGAACUCAUGUUGUUGAAUGGAUUAAACCCGUCAGAUGCCAACCCCAAUCUAACAUUUCGACAAUCCUUAGCAAAUUCUGGAUGUAGAUGGUCAAAAGUUUGCCAAGCUGGAGAAUCAGCUGGAUGUCUCAUACAACCAUCUUUUGUACGUUUUGCCUCAUGCCAUCUCAUUUGAGAUGCAAUUUUAGAAGACAUAAAUAGUCUUUGUAAUCUAGGUUUUAAGGGAAAAUGCCGCAACACUUUUUGAGGAAUUUUCCUUUUUUCCCCAGUUGGAUCAUUUUCUGAAGCAACCCACCUAAGCUCGUUACAUGUUUCGCAUGAAGUUCUUUUUUCAGCACUACCCCUAUAAAGAGAACAAUCAUUAGGACAUGCAUCAAUCUUUUCAUAACCCAGCCCCAAUGUAUUCAUCAAUUUCUCAGCCUCAUAGUAAGAAGACGGCAAAUUAGUCAUGGCCUCCGGAAAUGCUUCUCUCAACAGCUCAACAAGCAUAUUAAAAAUCUUGUUACUCAUCUUACCCAGGCAUUUUAGGUGAAGCAAACGAAUAAUGAAAGACAAUUUCGAGAAAUUUUUGCAACCAUUGUACAAAUUCUGUUGAGAAUCAUCAAUCAAUUUGUAAAAUUUUUUCAGCCUCUGAAACAGGAAUGUCCCCUUCUCUAUUCAAUUCAUUUGUUCCAUGUGGUAUCCCAAAUACAUCAUGGACCAAGUCUUGCAUGUCAUUAGUCCCAUUUGAAAACCCAAUUGAUGUAUUUUCAGAAUUAGAUGUGGCUUCAUUGUAGUUUGAAAGUUCUCCAUGUGCUGUCCAAUUAUUAUAACCCUUGAUAAAUCCUACCACUUUCAAAUGAUCAUAUGCUUCCAUUUUUGUCACACAAACACCCAUGCCACAAUCUUUGCAAGGACACAAAAUCUUUCCGUCACAACUUGAUCUAGAAAAUGCGAAGUUUAGAAACAUUUGAAGUCCUGUCUCGUACUUUUCACUUGUUCUUGGAAAAUCCAUCCAUCUUUUAUCCAUACUUUUAAUAUAAAUAAAUGUCCUCCAACGAGCUUCCAAUAGCCUACUUUUUAAACUCAGGUCGUGGCUUACAAGUCCCUAAUUUCAAGUUCAAGAAUUUCUCAACAAAAAGGAAUUUAUCAAGCAGCCAGCAAAUAAAGGAAAUCAACAAAAUGCAAAAUUUCUCAACAAUCUAUAAAAACAGAAUUUGCAAGUAAGCGGAUAGAAAUUUUAUUUACCUAAUAACAGAAAAAAACCCUUCGUACCAACUCCUGCGCUCACGUCUUCGCAAAAUUCCUAAGUUCAAUCUGAAAUGUCAAUGGUUAAACAAACACAUGAGCAUGAAAACUAAAGGUGAAAUUCAAGAAUUUUACUAAAUUUUCAUCAAAGUAUACAUACAUCUUUGGUGUGUAGUGAUUAAUUUUAUAAGUCAUCUCUUUAGAAAGGCAUGCAAUUGACGGCAUAGGUAAUUGGAAAAAGAAUGACAGAAAAGUCCCCUAGCUUCUAAUCAUGCCUAUGAAGAUCCUUAUGAACAUGUCAAAAUACUUUGACCCAACUACAUCAAUGUCUCUGUCUUAUUAAUCUAAAAGUCCCCUUUUUUGGGCUCAAAAUUUGCACUAUAAUAGACUGAUCAAGUGCAGAAGACACUUAGUACAAGCGUUAUACUAUAUAUUUCAAGCAACUCACGUACUGAUUAGACAUACAAUUUAAAACAGAAAAAUGAUGUAAAGAUGCAAGUACUACAUAGAAUUUAACAUAGAAAAAAGCAAUAGUGAUAUAAGUGAUACCAUUGGGUGAAAUAUGCACUUAGCCGGAGGACCACCUUUGUGGCAAAAGCCAAAAGGCAGCAAAGGUUACCAUUGUUAUGCAAAUUUUGUGCCUCACAUUGGCGGUCCAUUAUCUGCAUCUUAAUUGUCUUUGGGCUUAUAUAGUCACGGUUUCCCAAUUCUGUCACCAGAAUAAUUUCCUGCUAGGCAUAUAUAGACCAUGGUCCUUGUUUCAUUUAUUUAUAUCGAACUUGUUGCUGAGUGUUCAUGAUUACGAUAAGCAAUGCAAUUUGGUUGAAGCUCUCUAUUCACAGUUUUGCUUAACCGUCCCCAUCCCCAAACAGAACUAGCUGCCUAAACAAACUUCAAUUACAGCUAGGUUUCAUAGAAAAAAAUGAAAAACAGGGGGAAUUGACUUUUUAUCGAACAGGUUUUGGGCAACAUACUAAUCACCCGUGGACACUUUAUUAGCUAGCCUAUGUACAAUUAUGGCAUGACGAUAGAACAAAUGUAACAUGGACAUAAAGAUCGAUCUCCUCAAAAAAUACGCAAUCCAAUUGAACAAAUUUCCUCAAGUUUUCAUCUCCAUUGCAGCUAAAGAAAAAGCAUCCAACACCGAGUUGCUAUUAAUGCUACAAUUAGAUAGAUAUCAUAUUUAAAUCUUUCAACAAUCUUAAAUGAGGACAAUAUAACUCAACUAGCGACAGCUCAGGCCAAGAAUCUUUACUUCUCAGAAAAAAAUUUCCAAGUUGCAGGUAAUUUCUUGACAACGAAAUCAAACAUAAGAGCUUCAUUGUGUUUACCACUUCGAUUUUGGAACAACAUUUGCGCGCCUGAAGUAUCUUCCAGCUUUCCCAAUGUACAGCUCCGAUCUUCUAAUUUUACUCCCUGCCUGCCCUUCCAGAUGUCUUAGCCGAAGGAUUUAAAGUUGAGGUUAGAAAAGAUGAAGAUGGUUGUUUGCGGAGACAGCUUGACCAACAUUCUGGAUUGGCUGAGAUAGAUUGUAUGCGGAGAGGUGAGAGAGAUGAGAAGAAGAAAAUUUUCACCAAGUCCUUUUGCCGGCAAAAUGAAACUUCAGAGUACUUUACCAAGUGUCUGGAGCCAAAUUAAAACGAUGUCAUUUUCUGUCUUUUUUUUUUCUCACAUUUUCCCAAGUGUCAUGAUAGGUAGUCUAAAGACACAUUAUUAUUUUAUAUCAUGAUAAAAUAAAAAAAUUAUAGUACAGAUUAUUGAGUUGGUUAAUAAGUGUCAUGAUACGUUUGGUAUAACGACACAAACCAACAAGUGUCCUUAUAAACAUGUCAGAAAAGGCCAUUUUUGUUGUAGUGCCUGUUGCGUUUUGAAUUUCUUAAAUAAAGGUCUUCUCUUACCCCCAAGCUAAAUUUCACACACGUUGCUCUUAUUCCUAAAUAUUUAGAGCCCAAGCAAGCAAAUAUCUCAAUUCCGUCCACUAAGUUUAUGUAAUGUAGUGUACAAAUUAGCGUCUAAAGCCAUCUCUAAUCGAGUCCGUGUUCUUUUACCGAAUAUUAUUUCUGAUCUCAAUCGGCUUUUAUUCCUGGCCAAUUAAUCACCAGUAAUGUCCUUGUUGCUUAUGAAGUCCAUCAUUAUCUUAAAUGUAAAAAUGCAGGCAAGGAGGAACUCAGGUCGAUUAAAAUGGAUACGAGCAAAGCGUAUGAUCGAGUUGAGUGGAUAUUUCUCUUAAAAAUAUUACUAGCUUUAGGUUUCAAUUCUAAAUUUAUUUUCUUAAUUUUCAAAAGUAUUUCAACAGUUUCUUAUUCUUUUUUGCUCAUCGGUUUGGGAUUUGGCCACUUAAAACCUAGUUGGGGUAUUAGACAAGGAGACCCACUUUCCGCAUAUCUAUUUAUAUUGUGUGCAGAAGCUUUUUACAUUUUAUCUCAGAAGCUAGUCUUUGUGGAAAGUUGGGAGGCAUUGCUGUUGCGCCUGGUGCUUCAUCCAUUUCUCAUUUGUUUUUUGCCAGAUGAUACUCUUUUAUUUGGAAAGCUACAGGGGAGGAGGCUUCAAAUUUUAUGCAGGUUAUCAAUCUUUAUGAAGGUGCAUCAGGCCAGCCGAUUAAUGUGGAGAAGUCAGUGGUGGUAUUUAGCAAGAAUACUCCAGAAGCUGAUUAAUUGGCAAUUGAAUGUUCUCUUCGAAUGCCGCCUGUGGAAUCACAUGAAAAGCACCUCUGGGGUUGCCUACUAUCGUUGAGAGAUCUAAAGGUGAGGUCUUUAAUUCUAUCAAACAAAGGGUUUUUAAACGGAUUAAUGGAGCAGCAGUUAUCUCGAGCAGGAGAAGAAAUUUUAUUGAAUGUCCCUUGUAAAGUUAAGCAUUAUCUCUGGAGAAUUUGCUGUGAUUUCUUGCCUACUAAAGUAAAUCUGCUCCGGAGAAGAGCUUCAGUGGAGCUCAACUGUCUGUCUUGUGGUUUUGAUAUUGAGGAUCUUAUUCAUGCAAUUUCUUUCUGGGCGUUAAGCUGCCUUAAAGGGCAAGUACGUAAGUGGCAGCAAUCAAUUCCCAAAGAGUGGGCUCUGGAGUUGUUAGUUACGUUGAAAAAUCGUGAAGCAGAGUUGUUUGAGAUGUUAUGUUGGGCUAUUUGGCUUGGGAGGAACCAAAAGCUGCAUGAAGAUAAACGAGUGGACCCUUUUGAGUUUAGUUAGCUUUGCUUCGGGUGCGCUCCAAUAAUUCCAAGAAGCUAAUGUUACUCAGAAAUGUCCAGGCGAUGGCAAGUUAAAGUUUAAUUUUGACGGUGUGGUGUUUAAGGAAACUCAAUCUAUUGGUUUAGAUGACGGUGCGGUGUUGAUUUAUCUAGUUUAGACCCUCCAAUUUUUGACAUUACGAGGGACUUAACUAGUUUAGAGAUGUCUAGUAUUUCAGGAAUGAGUAGGAAUCAUAAUAAAAUCACUCAUAUAUUAGCUAAGAUCGCAGAAUUCAUAUGUGAUCAUGUCUUUUGGUGGAGAGAUCCUCCAGAGUUUGUUGUGCCAUUUCUAAUGGCGGAUUUGUUAGAAAGUUAAUGAAAGUUCAAUACAGGUUAUGUUGAGUAAGACGUUGGAUUGAAAAUUCAAGAUUUUGAACUGAAAUUUCAAGAUUUUGAGAUGAAAAUAAAAGAUCACGCUAAACUUAAUGGAUUCAAAUCUUAAUAUGUGCAAAUGCGUUUGAUAACCAAAAUUGGACAUCUGAAUUAAUUAAGUGCUAGUGAAUUUUCUAAACGAAAUUUGUUCUAAAAAAUAAGUGAUAAACUAUGCAUUUAUUACUGAAUGUGAUAUACACUUAAAUAUACUUGAUUUAAUACUUAACAAUCUAAUAAAUUAAUGGACUCAGAUUUUAGAUUUCAAUUUUAUCAAAGUAACCUAAAAAUAUAGACUAUAGAUAAAAUAACUGCAGAUAAUGAUUUAUGUUGAGUAAGCUUUCAAAGCUACGUUUCCCAAAACAAACUUUAGAUAAUCAUUCUCUAAUUUUUGCUUUCACUCUAGAAGAUGCGUACAAUAAUGGGUGUAUACAAAAAUGGAAGUUAAAUUGAUAACACUAAGCUCGCCAAUUCUCAUAAAAAAAAUGAUGACAUUGCCUGCAUUAAUUCUAGUAACGGACUGAAGACAAUAAUUAAUAGGUGACUAUAUGGUGCCUAAGGCACACAAUAAAAUGUGGACUUGGUACCAUUAUUUAUUUUUGUGAAAGGAUAAACCUAUUUUGUAAGGUGUCGCAAUUCAUCAUCAUGAAAUGAGUGGUAAUUUUAAAGCAUUAAUAGUGAAUUCACCUUCAUUUUUAACGUUCAUAUCGCAAAGCCUAUUAAAAAAUUUCCACCAGCACAAAUUCCACUUUUAAUAGGUUCGAAAAUUCACUCACAAAUUUAUCCACAAAUCCCAUUAACAAAAAAAAAAAAAGAAAAUGCAGAAAGUUAUCAACGGAACUUCUAUAGUGCGUUGACGCGCGACACGUGUUGGUUGGAGAUUACUAGAUGGGAGUGGGGUUAAUCAAAGGUGGUAUUUUAGUAUUAAGCCCAAAAACCACCGGUAACAAUGGUAUUGACCCAAUUUCUAGAGGAAUUGACCCACAUAAACUGUGAAAGAUUAUUUUCUCUGUCAUUUAAGGCAAUUUCUGAACAAGAUUUAGGCGUAUAAUAAAGAAAUUAUCAACCCCAACCCCCAAUAUUAUGCUAAUAUGCAAUUGGAAAAAAUUAAAUGAAUAUUUACUUGAAGUUAAGAAGUGGAUACCAAUCGGUAGAAAGUGUUUAUAACAUACUCCGAAAUGCCAAAGGACUUCCCAAAAAGUGGGAAGCAGGACAACAUCUGAAAUAUAGUCCAAGUUUGAAGUGCUUUAUGUCAAACAUAUUUCAAUAUAGAAAAAAAAAAAAUUACUGGUUAGCAUAUGUUUGUGCGCAGUAUUUGUUGAUUGGGAGACGGUUCUAAGGAGGCGGUUUUGCAACAAAUAAGUAAACGGGAUGUCGAUUACUUGGAGUUGUAUCUUAUGCUGGAAAAAUAAUUAGACAUGUCAGUUAAGUAAUAUUUCAAUUUAAAUAAAGUUAGUUAGGAACUAGAACUCGUAACAUGGUUGGAUAUGGUUAGUGAAUAGGAUAUGAAUGUUGGGGGAUAGAAUACAACUAGAAUUACUAAGACAAAUUAAGCGUGACACUUUGAAUUCAAAUUUUACUAACAUUGCAUAAUAACACCUUUGACUGAUAAUUUUUUUUGAUACGGAAACUGGAAAAAUUUUAUUAAGAAGAGGAUAGAUCCGUAUUAAUUGCGAAAGAAAGAAAAAAUGGUGGAGAAAAUCUCCAACUAUAAAUACCUGAAAUAGAACUAGCAUUACUAUCUAAGAAAUGAGCAGGCACAAUUAGAUUCCUAGGAAUCCAAUCAGCCUCCCAAGUAAUGAAAUUCUGUAAACUAACAAAGAUAUCAUCUAACAGCACUCCAUAAGCUGAAUCAUCGGAUUCCAUAUUUUUAAGCAUGUUGAUGAUCUUCAAAGAGUCACCCUCUAAAACAAUCUUAGAACCUUCAACUGAAGUAACGAGGAAAUUGCAGAUAUUGCAGCAUAAGUUUCAGUUACUUCAGGAGAAAAGAUACCUAAGAUUUUGUGAAAAAUACUAGCAACAAAUUUGCCCCAUUCAUUCCUCACAACAAUUCCAACUCUAAAGUUGUCGUCUUCAUAGAAUAUUGCACCAUCGAAGUUUGCACUGCACCAUCGAAGUUUGCCUUUAGAAAUCUUGCAGAGGGCUUUAUCCAAUGAAGUUGAGCAGUGGAAGAGCAUAUUGGAAUGUUUGGAAAUGUGUUUAUUUCAUGGUAUUUCUAUAAGAAAUUGAUAGAGAGGGAGAGACCAAACUGAAAGGAUCACGAUAGAACCAUCAAAUAAUGCAUCAUUUCGGUUAAACCGUAGAUUCCAAAGAAUUAUGGCUACCAAUUCCAUGUCCUGCUUUUUCAAAAGAUGAAGGCCAGACAACCGAGACGAAACUUGAUCGGUAGAGUCUAAUCUUAUCUUUAGUGUAAGAAAGCUAAGGGCCCAAGGUUGAAUUGCUACUGGACAGCACAAGAAAAGAUGAUUAACAUCAUCAAUAGGGGCCUUACAUAAAGAACAAGUAGGAUCAAAAUAGACUCCGCGACUAUUCAACUUGGAAGUUAUAGGUAGAAUGUCUUUGCAAAUUCACCACAAGAAUAUUUUAACUUUACUUGGUAUGUUGAGUUUCCACAAGCAGGGCCAAAUAUCAUCCAUAGAACCAUUACUACAUGAAGCUACAUCUUGUCAAUUUGUAGAUUAUAUUUUGAUAAGAUGAUAGGCAAUUUUCAUUGUGAAGGAGCCAUUUUUAGAAUAGUGCCAAAUGAGCUUAUCUUGAUUUCGUCUAUCACCCAAUGGAAUACUCAUAAUCAACUCAAUCACAUCUAAGGAUAGCAACGGGGGCAGUGCCCGGGGGGGCUAUUGGGGCAGAGGUUGGGGCGGGGGUGGGGCUGGAGCGGGGGGAAUUUUUCCCCCCAUUUAGAAACGGGGCAGGGGGCCCACCCAUUUGGAAAAAAAAGAGAGAUAUAUAUAUGUACAUAAUUAUAUAUAUAAUAGUAUUAUCAAUUAUACAUGUCUAUUAAUAAAAAUUAUUAAUUAUUUAUACUAAAUUUAUUAAUACAUUUAUAUUAAAUUCCUAACUACACUUAAUACAAUAACACUUUUUUUCUAAAAAAAACACAAUAAUAAUUUAGUGAUUGUAUUUGUAUCAAAAGUAAAAACAAUUAUUUUAGUUAUAUUUGUUUUAUCAUAUUAGAUCGUAUUCAAAUAACUUUUGUUUAAUUAUUUUUAUGAGUUUCAAUUGUGAAGUUAUAAUGAAUAAUAAUUUGGUGAUAUGUUGAUAUUUUAGUACUUGAUUACUUGCUCAAAUUUAAUUAUAAUAAAAUUAUAUAAUAAUUUUUUUAACCCCGCGGGGGAAGCGGGGCGGGGGCGGAGGACGGGACGGGGACGGGGGGGAAUUAAUAGGCAACGGGGCGGGGGUGGGGGAGGGGCCACCCCUAAUCACAUCCUGCCAAAAAAGCUCUUGAAGCAAAUCAUAUUUCCAUUUCCUGCUAUUUUCAUCAAUUAAACAAUCUAUAGUGGACAUUUCUAGUAGCACAUCAAAACGAGAUAUAAUUUUGAAAUUAGAAAGACGUGGAAUCCACCUCUCUUUCCAAAUUUUGAUAUGAUUCCCGUGUCCAUCUCACCAUCUACUACCAAAAACACCUUUGAUUGAUAAUUAAAUAGUUAAAAAAAUAUAUCUACUUAAUUUGUUUACUCAAUAGUUAUGUGAACUAAAACAUAAAAAAGAAGGUCAAUUAUUAUAUUAGUGUUAUAUUUGUAAUAUUAGUUCCCUAUAUAGUAGGUUGCCGAGUUGGGCAUAUUUAUAUUCUACCAAGUAAAUGCCCUAUCUUUUCGAAACGUGGCAAAAAAAUUGUGUUUGUUUUUUUUGGUAGAUUUCAUUCUUUUUCUUUUUUGGUAACAAUUAAUUUACUAUUCAUUUUCACUUCAUUAUUUAUAGUAAAUUUCAAUCAAUUAUCAAUUACUUACCUUAUAUGCAUUUUUAUUAAUUAUACCUUUAUUUUUUUUAAUCAACUUAUAGCUUUCCUUUUUAAUUAGGCACUCGUUAAUAUAUGUCUUAGGUGUUAAAUUUUUAGAAAUAUAAGAUGAAUUAGGGAGAGCAUAUAAAUGUAAGGGAAUUAAUUAGAAAAAUAUAUAAAUAAAAGAAAAAGUAGUAAUAGUUGCGUAUAUAUAUGGCAGGUUAGGUGGAAUGCAGGUGUGUUAACGAUUACCCAUAGGGCACCCAUUAGAAAUACUCAUCAAAAUUUGGAUUAAUUUUUUUUCCUUUCAUUGCAAUCAUUACUACCAUUUUUCCUAUCAUUUAUUACUAUACCUUCAUGUUUCUAAAUACCAAUAAAUGUAUUACUCUCUUACUUUUUAUUUGAUUGUGCUAAUUAUAGCUUUCCUUUUACUUAAUCAAUUAGUCAAUCGAUCAAUCAACCAAUGAUUUUAAUUCUCUUUUCAAUCGCACGAUCUUUCUUUUAUCCAUCAUUAGGGAGAUUUACAAUUUAGUCACAUAUUUGUUAUGUGUACAAUAAUUAUGCAAUCAUAAGCACAAACUAAUGCAAUUCUAAUAAUUUUGCAUAUAUGCAUUCAUAUUGUAUUGCAACACCUUUAAUAAUUCAUUAUAUGGUUACAAAAGCCAAAAAAAAUCUAGUAUUACCUAGACCUUAGAUAGUCCCCAAUGUAUACACUGAUACUGUAUAAAAUGAUUUUAAACCCGUUAAUAUAUAUACUGAUUGCAUAUGAAGAUUCAUCCCUAAUUUAGACCUCUUAGAUAGUUUGCAUGCAUUAUAUUCCCUUUUUUUAAUUUCUUAUUUAGUUUACCUUAUUACCAUUUAUGAUUUUUUUUUAAUUUAAGCAACAUCUUCCAAUAUUUUAUCACCAUUUUAAGUUAGUUCAUUUUUAGGAGAUAGUAGUAUAAGUGUGGUAGUUUGUCCAAAUAACUUUGAAUAUGCAUAUACAACCCAAAAAUAAAAUGAUAGUUGUUUAUAUUCUUAUCACUCAACGAUGAUAGUGUUAUGUAAUUUAAAUGAUUGAGAUCUAUUGCCAUCCAAAUAUAAAUUUAAUAUGAGGGUAUGAUAACUAAAAAUGACUAUAGAAUCUCCCUAAAUACUAAAUAAUGCGAAUAGAGAUAUUCCCUCAAAAACUUGUAAAGUACUUAAUGUGUAUACGGGUAAAUUCUUGCAAUAGUGAAAGGAAAAUAUCUUACUAGCCUUGAAAUUUUGGCCCGUGUAUUGACUUUUGUUAGCUAAAUUAAACUAUCUUGGAGUGAAGACAUAAAAUCUGCGGCAAAAUUUGAGAGAGUUGUGAACAUAGCUUAUCUAGCGUACACAUUUUUUUCCGAGUUUGAAUUCUCUCACUUACACGACAAAAAGAAAAAACUAUCGUACAUUUAACUUCCAACUAACAAUGAUGUAUAGGUAAUAAAUUAUAUGCAUGGGAUAUUCUCAUAAAUAAAUGAAAUAUAUUUACACGACAAAGAGUAAAUUCUUAAAUUAAGAAGAAAUAAUAUUAUAGUAGCUGUCAAUUUGUUUAUAUGACUUUUUGGUUUGUCUUUACUCAUGACAACCAAUUAUGUUAUUUUGAUGUAAAAAUAUCCAAAAACGGUUGAAUACAAUGUGGGACAUUAUUAUUAUUACUCGGAUACCUCAAUAUUUAUAAAAUUGAUUAAAUUGGAAUCCAUCUGGAUUUAACAGUAUUUUGAAAAAACUAUUUUUGUUGUUCAAGUCUAUAGUAAUAAACUUUAAAAAUAACCUCAAAAAUAAUUUAAAAAAUACAACAUAUCUCAAAUACAUUAAAAAAUAAUUAAAAAAUUUCCCUAAUUCUUCUUCCCCACACUACCCACUACAACCACCACCACUACCCAUCACUGUCCACUACCACCACCAUCAUCCCCACACCCAUGACCCGUCUUCCUCUCUCCUCUCUCUCUUUCUCCUCUCUCUCUCCUCCCUCCUCCCUCCUUUCUCUUAUUCUCCUUCUCCUUUCUCCUUCCUCCUCUGCCUUGUCUUUCCUCCCUUCUCCCUUCUCUUUCCCCAUCCCCUAAUCCCCCCUUCCCUCUACUGACUGUGGCCUUCUUGGUCUUGACCAGAAAGGUUGCAGCCAGAAGCCGCGACUAGUGGCUUCUGGUUGCAACCAAGGUCACAGAUGGAGUCGCGGUUACCAUCCACGAUUGGGAGAGGUUUGAGGGUCAGAAACGAGAGGGACGGGGGAGAGAAGGAGAAGAAAGAGGAGGGAGAAGGAAGAGGAAGGAGAGAAAGAGAGGGAAAACAGAGGGAGAGACAAGAGAGGAGAAAGGGGGUAACGGCGUUGAGUGGUGGUGGUGGCUGGCGUAAAAUUUUUUAAAAAUACCCCAAAAAAGUUGUAAAUUAUAAAAAUAUCCCAAAAAUGUAUUUUAAAAAGCCCUAAAAAUACCUUUAAAAAAUCCCCCAAAAACAUCUAUAGUACAAGUUAUUUAUAUAUAUAGUUACCGUAAAGUUUUUAAAAGAUACCCUAAAAACAGUUAGUCCAAAUGGAGUCUUGAGUUUUGAGGUUAAGGUUCAAUGAUUGACCACAAUUUAGGUCAAAGUAAAACUUGGCCGAAAGUUUAGUGGGUAAAAUAUAAUUUUAAAAAUUAAUCAUCUUCCCUGAUCCUCACAGUUGCAAUGGUGAACUGUCAGCCCCUUAGGACGUGUUCCAGACGGAACACGCGCAACCGUGGUAGAUUUCGGUCACUCAUGGUCAACUUGGAAGGCUGAAGGUGAACUGGUUGGGAAAAACUUGGACACAUGUUUGAUGAUGUAUUCCAUGCCUAUGUAUGGGUUUGGAAAAGUUUCAGGGCUAGGAAAAUGUCUCUAAAUUAGUGGGGAAAUGAGGGGUGGCUUUACUAGCGGUCCGAAAUUUUUAGCUAGGACUACUAUAGAGAGAGAUAACUAUAACUAAGCCAAGUCAAUGCCAAGGGCUGGGGGCUAAGGCUUUAUGGGUUAUUUUGGAUGGUUCCAAGCAUUUGGAGCUGUGGUGCCUAAGUUGCUAAGUGUUGGGCCAAGUUGGGCACGGAACUAAGCAAAUGGCAAGAAGCUGGGUGUGCGAAACUGUGUGACCAUUGCAUGUGCGCUCCAAAGACGAACGUUGGGACUGUCUGGCAGUUGCUAGUCGUUUGCUGGAGUUGCGGACGAUUAUCAGUCAACUCAGACACGUUCUUAUCGGUUUCCUGACUUCAUGUACAUUCGGGUCGGACCAACGGUUGGGUCUUGUCAACUAUAACAAUGCAUAUAAAUAAAUGGCUAGGUAGGGAGUAAAGGCAGAUAGUGAGAAACACCCUUAGAUGUUCUGCAUGCUAAAUGUUUGUAGAAUUGUCCUUGUAAUCUCUAUAGUGAAAUACAAGGUUGGCCGUUUGAUUGUAACUUGUGCGUGUUGUUCCUUUGUUUUUGCCUAAGUAUUCUAUGUUGAAUACUUGUAUGCAAGUGUCAGUGUAAGGGCUGACUGGAAGCGCGGCUUAUCAAUGCCAUUACAUGCUUGUUAGGCUAGUGAGCGUAAACACCUCGUAAUAGUUUGGUAUCAAAGCACGGCUUUGAUCUAUUAGACUGUGCUUCUGUUAUGUGUUUUGUUGGUUAAUGAUGGUUGGACACAGGAAUUCUGUUGCAAUGCUUGGAAUGGUUGCAAUGUUAGGAACUUGCAUUCGAGGACUUGAUGCAGUGUCUAGGAGAUGGCCUAGAAGGCUUCAAUGUCAUAGAAGUUCUAUUGCAGACUAGAGAGAUGAUCAACACCCUGACUGCACAGAUGGACGAAACCAGGCAGACAGUUUCUUCUGUUGGGGAUGUUGAGAUGCUAAGGAAUGAAAUGAUUGCAUCCCAUGCAAAGAUCGUGGCUUUACAAUCGAAGAUCAAUGUGUUAAAAAAGGCAGUCGGCUCUUGUAACACACAGACCUUUCAAAAAUCUUCGAAGAGGAAAGUGAAAGUCCUAGAUCCGAAACCAUACCAAGGUAGUAGGAGUUCGAAGUAUUUGGAAAACUUUUUGUGGGAUUGUCGAGUAGUACUUCAAGGCUAUUGACAUUCCUGAAGUAGAGAAGGUGUCAAUUGCAUCAAUGUGUCUUAGUGGUGAUGUAAAGUUAUGGUGGAGAACAGUGCAAUCAGACCUACCAAACCCAAGAUCGGUACUUGAGAAGUACUGAAGGAGGAAUUGAAGAAGCAAUUCCUUUCCACGAAUGUUUAAUGAAAAGUUAGAGGUGUAUUGUGAAACUUAAAGGAGAAUAAGAAAGUACAGAGUACGUUACAGAGUUCCAAGCCUUGAUGUUAGAUGUAAGGGAAAUGUCUGAGGAAGACAGACUCUACAUCUUCAUCCAUGGACUUCAACCGUGGGUACAGAUGGAGUUGCGGUGAUAAAAUGUUCAGACCAUGUCUCAAGCACUUGAUACUGUCGAGAAGUUGAUAGACUUCAAGUCCAUAGGAUCCAAAAGUGAAAAAAAAAAAGAAGGGCAAGGAUAAGGCUAAGGGCUCGAAAGGUGGUCAAUUCUCAAAAAAGAAUAAAAAGAAGCAGACAGUAACAACGACCGAAACUAGCGGUGCUUCCUCUUCUAAGAAGAAGCAAACAUCCAACCCUAAAAAGGAUGGCUGCUAUACCUGUGGAAGACCACACUUAACCUGCAAUUGCCUCAAUAAGAAGGACCAGAACGUUAGUGCCUUAGUGGCAGAAGACAAUAGUGACCAGUUGGAGGUCCAGGAUGCACGGGUCAACCCCAUGUAAUUCUUGAACGCCAUCACCGAUACUAAUGUCUGUACUCUUUACAAUGGUUUGAUGUAUGUGCAGGUUACAUUGAAUGGUAACCAUAUAUUGACGAUGGUUGAAACGGGAGCAUCAUAUAGUUCUAUGAUGGAAAAAGUAAUGAGUCGGUUCCGGUUACAGUUGAAAGACUUGGGUUUCAAAAUUGAAGGCUGUAAACUCUGAAACCAAACCAGUGCUAGGCAUGGCGACCGUAGAUUUAGAGUUGGAGCCAUGGAAGGGUUGGUGCAAUUUCAUGGCAAGUCAAAUGGAUGAUUUUGACUUGAUUCUAGACAAAGAUUUCAUAGUUGCAAAUAGGAUCUAUCCAAUUCCGCACUUGGAUGGCGUCAUGGUGAAUGAUGGCUAGAGUCCAGGCUUUGUUCUUGUAGUAAAGUUGCAGAAACAAAAGAACAAUCAACAAAAGAACAUGGUAUCAACGAUAGAGAUUGAGUCAUAUCUUCUGAGGCGCGGUGAAGUUGUGUAUAUUGCUGCAUUGGUGGAAACCAAACCUAACAUGUACCAAGAAGUACCUAACGCCAUGGCCCACGUUCUAGAGAAGUUUACAAAUAUCAUGCCUACAAAGUUUUCGAGAUAGCUUCCUCCAUCCUGUGCCGUGGAACACAAGAUCGAGUAGGUUCCAAGAGCCCAACCACCUGCCCAAACUCCUUAUCGCAUGUCCCCGAUAAAGUUGGCUGAGAAAGAUAUAGUACGCAUGAGAAAGAAAUGACAGUUGUUGUACAUUGUCUCAAGAUAUGGAAGCACUAUCUAUUAGAAACCAAGUUUGUGGUGGUGACUAAUAACAUGGACAAUACUUACUUCAAGACACAGAGAGAGUUGACCCCGAAGCAAGCUCGUUGACAAGAGUUUCUGGCUGAAUUUGACUUUGACUGGAUUCAUAAGUUAGGAAGGGAGAAUGCAGUGGUCGACAUACUUAGUAGAAAGUAUGUCGAAGAAUACAUUGUUGUGCUUAGCACUGUUGAGACGGACUUCAGGGACAAGAUCAAGUGGGAGUCCCCGAGUGACCCAAUUUAUCAAAACUUGGUGUUCGUGAAGUCAAAGUUCGUCGUUAUUGGCUGGAGGAUGACUUACUAUUUUGCCAAUAGUGGUCAAGCAUAUGUUCCAGCAGGAGGGGGACUUAGGCGACAGUUACUACGAGAAACUCACAAUGCUUCUUGGAUUGGUCAUUCUGAAGUUGAACGAAUGCGGGCAUUAUUGUCGCGUAGCUUCUAUUGGCCAAAGAUGGAAGAGGAUAUUGAAGCAUACGUGAAAACUUAUCUUGUUUGUCAACAUGACAAGAUGAGAGGAAGAAGGAGCCAGGCUUGUUGCAGCCUUUGCCGAUCUCUGAUCGACCAUGGCAAUCAGUUUCUAUGGACUUCAUUUCGAGAUUCUCUAAGGUCGAUGGUAUGGCUUUUGUCUUUGUAAUUAUUGACAGAUUUUCUAAGUAUGCUGUGUUUGUUGGUGCACCAAAGGAGUGCUCGGUUGAUGUUGUCGUUGAGUUAUUUUUCAGACAUGUUAUGAUGUAUUUCAGAUUACCCAAAGAUAUCAUAAGUGACAGGGACAUGAGAUUCAUAGGUAGAUUUUGAACCGUGAUGUUCGGGUUGCUAGGUUUCGAACUGAAGUUCUCAACUGUCGCAUACUCUUAGACCGAUGGACAAACGGAGAGGAUCAAUAUCUUGCUAGAAGAAUACUUAAGGCAUUACGUGACGACAAGUUAGAAAAAUUGGCUGGAGUUGCUGGAUACUGCAUAGUUUUACUACAACCUGCACAAGUUAUUCGUAACUAAGUUGAGUCCAUUUGAGUUAAUGAACAGGCAACAACCUCUGACUUCACCUGAAGUUGCUCUUCAAGAGUUAGUUUGUUGAUGACACAACAACGCAUGAAGAAGUACGCAGACCAACAUAGAUCGGACUUAGAGUUCCAACUGACUCCCUAGAUUUGAAAAAAAGUAAAUAACAAGACAGUCCAUCGUGGGAUCAUCCAUGAGUACAAUAGACCAUUUGAGGUAAUCAAGAAGGUGGGUCAUAUAGCUUAUCGUUUGAAACCACUUGACAAACUCAAGAUCCACCUGACCUUCCAUGUGAGUUUUCUGAAACCCUUUUACCAAGACGAGAUGGAUGGAGGACGGAGGGAAGCAAAGUGUGCCUCGCCAGUGAUCCACAAGCAAUUCCAGAAUGAUGUGAAGGCUUUGCUGGAUUACAGAAUGAUGGGACAAAGAAAAAAGAAUAGAUGGACAAACUAUCUGAUCCAUUGGAACGGUGAAACAAAAUUAGAUGCUACUUGGGAACGAGAUGUUACCUAGUGACAGUUUCAAGAUAAGAUUGUUGAGUACUUGAAGAACGUGCGAAAGCAAACCAAGUUGACGAGGGCGUCAACCUCUUCAGGUGGGGUGGUUUAUCAGCCCCUUAGGGUGCGGUCCAAACGAAAAGUGCACGACCGUGGCAGAUUUCGGCCGAUCAUGGUCAAGUUGGAAGGCCGAAGAUAAACGGGUCGAGAAAAGUUUGGACACAUGUUUGAUGAUGUUUUUCAUGCCUAUGUAUGGGUUUGGGAAAGUUUCAGGGAUAGGAGAUGUCUCUAAGUUAGUGGGGGAAUGAGGGGUGUCUCUACUAACGGUCCGAAGUUUUUAGCCAGGAAUACUAUGUAGAGGAAUAACUGUGACUAAACCAAGUCAAGACCAAGGGCCGGGGGCCGGGGGCCAAGGGUGUGGUACGACUAGACUUUGUGGGUUAUUUCAGAUGGUUCCAAGCAUUUGGAACCGUGGUGUCUAAGUUGCUAGGUGUUGGAGCAAGUUGGGCACGAAACGUAGCAAAUGGUGGGAAGUUGGGCGCGCAAAAUCGUGCGACCGUUGCCUGUGCUUGCAAAGACGAACGUUGGGACUGUCUGACAGCUGCUAGCCGUUGUUGGAGUUGCGGAAGGUUACCAGCCAACUCAGACACGUUCUUAUCGAUUUCCUAACUCAUGUGCAUUUGGGUUGGACCAAUGGUUGGGUCUUGUCAACCGUAACAAUGCCUAUAAGUAAAUGGCUAGGCAGAGACUAAGGGCAGAUACUAAGAAACAUCCUUAGAUGUUCUGCACGCCAAGUGUUUGUAGAAUUGUCCUUGUAAUCUCUAUUGUGAAAUACAAGGUUGGCCGCUUGGCUUUAACUUGUGCGUGCUGUUCCUUUGUUUUGUCUGAGUGUUCUACGUUGAAUACUUGUGCACAAGUGUGAGUGUGAGGGCUGACUGGUAGUGCGACUUACCAGUGCCAUUACGUGCAUGUUUGGCUAGCAAGAGUAAACACCUCGUAACACGAACACUGGUCGCCCAUCUUCAACCACCAUCUAACACUUCUUUUCAAGAUCAAUUCUUGCCUAACACUCAUUUUAUUCGCUUGAGUCAUGAUUAUGGCAUCACUUUUCUUCAGUUUAAACCCUUUGACGAUACAAAAAUAAGGUCACAAUUGAAAUUCUGAUUCGAAAAUUUGAAACUUUCGGGAUUGCCUCCUGCUAUGGGCUUUUCUCAAACUCGAUCAUAUGCCCGAACAAAUUCAUCAACCAACACUCACUCUGCCCUUGGGGCACCCAAUUAACCCCUUUAAAACAAUUUUGAAGACACCCGAAACUAGGGUUGGGCAAAAAUACUUGUUAAUCCAAAAAUCUGACAUAUCCGAUUCGAUUCGAUUCAACAAAUAGGGUUCCGGUGUGUAUUAUUUGAUCGGGUCAAAAGAAAGUUGGAUAAUUACUUGUAUGCGGCGUUAGGUGGAGUCACCUGAUUAAGAAUCCGUGGGAACCCGACCCUUCCCACAUAUAUAUUUUUUAUUUUUACACACAUAUUACAAAAUAAUACUUUUGGAGCUAAAUAAGUAAUUUCAUUAAACAAAAUACAUUAUAAAUAUGAAAAAUAAAGUUUAUUUAUAAGAUUCAUUUAUAGAUGUCAUGAUUUCUUUUUUUUAAGGAAACAGUUUAAUUAAUAUAGAACAUAUAUUUGUAAAAAGGUACUAUUUAUUUGAAUUUUCAUUGAUUUUGAAUUCUUUUAAUUUUCUUUUCUCGUAUUCUCUUUGCAUGUUCAUUUUUUAUUGAGAAAAAAUCUUUAUUAAGUUUUAGAUGAAUAUUCAAAAUACAAAAUUAAAUUACUAUAAAUUAUUUUUUAAAACAAUUAAAUGAUAACCAGCGUGAUGCAAAUAUCUGUUAACUCAACCCUACUUUAAUGGAAACCCACUCAUAUACGGGAUGGUUAAAGGUCAAAAGAUAGCUGUCUUGCAAGGUACGGGUCUAGUCAGCCAAAUGAAGCAUAGAACGAGUACUACUUGACUUGUACCUACCCCUACCCAAAACAAAUCUUAAUAAUCAUAAAAUAGCAACCUGCACUUGCAAAAUCCAAUUUUCAAUUUUCUCCUCAGAAUUUAGCAUCAAAUUUUACAAAAAUUACACAAAAACAAUCCAAUCAACAAAUAAAUACUCAAGCAUUGAAUUGACAUUAUACUGUAUUUGUGCAGCACCGAAUUGACAUUAUCUGACUUGUAUGUAUGGCAAAAUAAAGGAACUAUGAAGAGGAUGGGAAGGAGGGAGAAGGAUGCUCAGAGUAAGGGAGGAGAUGAAUCGGAAAAUUUAGAUAUUUUUUCUUUUUAUUUUCUAUAUUUUCUAUUAACCGGAUUUAUAGGUAACUAGAGCUGUUAAUCGAACCGAAUAACUCGCGAGCCGAGCUCGACCCGGCUCGACAAGGGCUCGGCGCGGCUCGUUUACAGAGAGAAACAAUCCGAGCUCGAGCUCUACUCAGUAUUCGUUUAAUAUAUGCUCGGCUCGUUUAAGCUCAGUAGGCUCGAAGAGUAGGGGCAUUAACAUCAUUUUAUUGUGUAUGUGGUACUCUAACCUAAGUCAUUCUCCCGUUUGUAACCAUAAUUUUUCUUUCCUCUUUUGGUCUUACCUUCUCCCGUUCCACAGCCGUAGCCACAGUCGCACGCCCGCACCCUUCAUUUUUACCACCGUCACCGAGUCACCAUUCACCAAUUCAUCCAUCAUCUCACCUCCAUCAGGACCAUCACCUAUCCGUCCACUAUCUCACCGCCAGGCGCUAUCCCUAAUUUUUUCUUUCCUCUUUCGAUCUUUCCUUUUCCCGUUCCACAGCCGCAGCCGCACCCUUCAUUCUUACCACCGUCACUGACUCACCAAUCCAUUCAUCUCACCUCCAUCACCAAUCCGUCCACCAUCUCACUGCCAUCAUUCAAUCCACUUCUCGUGAAUCCGUGAGCAGCGCCAUACGGAGCCACCUUGAUAAAGCCAGGGGCCUCUACCAUAUCCCGAUUCCUUGCAUAAUCUGGUAACCAUUUCUUCUCAAUUUUUGCAAUUUAUUUUGGUUUUAAGAGGUUGUGUGGGUUUUGGUUAAUGGUGGAUAGCCCCGUAUCCCAUAUGGCUUCCCCGUAUCUCGUUGGCUUCCUGUGUUUUAUCCCGAAUUUCACCUGCACGGAUUGCUUAUGCAUCGCUUAGUCGAUUUUUGGUUUCAAAUAGCAUGUCUUUUACCCGUUAAAUAGCCUUUUUUUUUACCCAUUGUUCUGGAUUGUUGCAUAAGUGUCAAAUUUCGCCUGAAAUGCUCACAUAUUCUUCGAUGAGAUUACGUGUAUCACUACUGCGUUACCUUCCUUCGACACCUGAAGCUGGAGUUUGACGUUUCAUUUCGUUCAGACCAUGGAAUAGUUGCUGCGAUUAAACUUAUGUCUCUAAGAAAAUAAAGAAGGAAACAUCACUUUUUGUCUCUGUGCUCUUUGAUUUCUGCAUUUUCUAAUCCAUGUUAUAGAACUGACUGUUGAUGAUACCAAACAUUUUGUUAAAAGAAAGCCAAAGUAUUCAAUUCCCAUACAUUUAACUCUUCCUGGUUAAAAUGUAACUUCCUCUAUUGGUGUCCAUAAAUUUCCUCGAAAAAGCUUGCGAAUUGCAAAAGUUUCCACCAGUCGUCUUAAAAUGGCACUCUAAACCGUCUGCUAUGAUACUUCUGAUAAGCACAGUUAUACUGCCAGGAAGGGCAAGUAGGUAUGCAUCAUGGACCAUGAAAAUGCCAAUUUCCAGAAAUCAAUUACAGCUUUGACGAGUUGCAAACUUCUUGGACUAUGAAAAUGCCAGUUUCUAGCAAUGAAAUGAUAGCUUUCACGAUCUGCAACUUCUUAUUGAUUAAUGAAUACUGAAAAGUACGUAUCAGCCCAAUCUUGCCUCUCUUCGUAGUACCUGGAAAAGAUUUAACAGUCAACCAUAAGUGACAGAACUUUAACAGAGCUAGCCAUAUAACAAACAGUGGACAAAACUUUAACAAAGCUAGUCAUUUUCUUUUCUUUAGAAUGUGAUAUUUCUUCAUGUUUUGCACUUUUGUUUAAGCUUGACAGUGAAAACAUUUUUCAACCUAGAAAAUUCUGCAAGGCAAAACUUUCUUCAUUUUAGUUUCUUCAUUUCAGCAAAAUUAACUUUUUGUUUGGACUUCCAUUUUAAGAGUUUUUCACUGUUAUUUCAUUAAUCUGAAUGUAAGCUUGAGAAUUGAGAUAGGAACAAGUUAAAGAAAUGUUAAAACUGGCUUGAAGUGGGCAUUAUUUCUUGGAAUCUGUUUUAUUACUUUUGUACCUUAUUUCUUAGAAAUGUCAUUCUAAAUAUCUAUUUUGGCUAAUCAGAAUCUGUAUUGGUUAUUAAAUGUGUUUUGAUUAAGGAAUGUACAGCUCUCCAUUCAACUCAUUUCAAGGUUCAUCAUCAAGUCCUGUGAUGGAGCAAAAUAAUGAAGACGUGAACAAUUGAACUACAACGAAAAAAGAGCUGAUGAGAUGAGUGAAAAAGAGAUAGAAAUGAUAAAAAAUGAGGGCAAUGAAGAACGACAGCAAGAGAUGGAGAUGAAGGAGCUGGUCCUUUUGAGAAAAAACAUAGGAAGAAGAAAUCUAGCAUAUGGGAUGAAAUGACAACAAUAGUGCUAGAUAAUGGGAUGGUCAAAGUGAAAUGCAACAAUUGCAAGGAACUUUUUGUCAAGAGUGCAACCGAAGCCAUAUCUCAGCACAAGAGACACUUGAAUUCUUGCCUACAAAGAAAGAUAGCCAUUGGAAAGCAAAGCAAACAAAAGCAACAAGUGUUGUCAUUCAUCGAAGGCCAAAGUAAUGGUAUCACUUCCAUCACAAAUUUCUUGUAUGAUCAUGCCAAGGUAAGAGAGCUUGCAUCACACAUGAGUACCCCUUUUCUAUGAUAGAUCAUGUAGUUUUCAACAAAUUCAUGAAAGCGGCUUCUCCAUUUUAUAAUUGUUAAGAAAGAUUGCAUUAGUACUUAUACAAUUGAAAAAAGGAACCUGAAAUCAUUGUUGAAAGGUGCUGGUAGGAUUAGUAUUACCACAGAUUUGUGGACAUCUGGUCAAAAAAAUUCAAUAUAUGGUUGUGACUAAUCAUUUUGUUGAUUUUGAUUGGGUGCUACAAAAACGUGUGUUGAAUUUUUGCAAUGCUCCUCCUCCUCAUACUGGAGUUAUUAUAGCUGAUACUCUAAGUAAGUGCUUUAUUGAUUGGGGGAUUGAGAAUAAGGUUUCUAACAUAACUGUUGAUAAUGCUUCAUACAAUGAUGUGUGCAUUAGGAGACUUAGAGAGGAUUUUUCUCCAAAAAAGAGAUUAAGUAUUGGAGGAAAAAUUUUCAUGUUAGAUGUUGUGCACAUAUACUUAAUCUCUUAGUGCAAGAUGGUCUUGGUCAACUUGGUGGUGUGAUUGAUGUUGUUAGAGAAUGGAUAAAGUACUUGAACAAUUCUGAAUCUAGGCUUCUUGAAUUUGCCAAAAUUAAAAAACAGCUUCAAUUGCCCUCUAGAAAGCUAAUUUUGGACUGUCCAACAAGAUGGAAUAGCACCUAUUUGAUGUUAGCUUCAGGUUUAGAGUUCAAGGAUGUUUUUUCAAGAUAUGCAGACAUUGACCCCGGAUUUCACUAUGUUUUUACUGAUUUUGAGUGGAUGAAAGUGAAAGAAGUGUGCAAAUUUCUAGGAAUAUUUUAUGAAAUCACUGAUAUGAUUUCCGGGUCCGAGUAUCCAACGGCUAACAUUUUCUUGUGGAGCUCUAUAGGAUUAAAGAGCUUUUAAAUGAUAAAGCUCUUGACCCUUUUUAGCAUCUUCGGGUUAUGGCUGGAACUAAAUUUGAUAAGUAUUGGGGGGAAAGUAAUGUACUGCUAUCUUUGGGUGCAAUUUUGGAUCCGAGAUACAAAAUAUUUCUUAUUAAUCAUACUUUUCCGGUGAUUUAUGGUGAGGAUGCAGCUCCUAGAUUCGUGGCUGAAAUUAGAGACACUCUUUAUGAGCUUUACAAUGAAUAUGUUGAUUGUCACAUAGUUUCCCAUUCUGAACAAUAACAGAGGCAGGUUGUAAAAGGGAGACAAAAUGAAGGUUCUAGUUCUUCUAGUAAGAAACAGAAAAUGACUGGACCUGCCGUUUUAACUAGUAAAGAAAAGUUGCACAUGCAUGUGAGUGAAAUUAACAGGGCUCCACCACAAAAAUCAGAUUUAGAUGUUUAUUUAGAGGAAAGUAGGUAUUGUGACGCCCCCACUUCUCCUUAAGGUGAACCAAAGAGUAUCCACGGGACGCCUGCCCAACUCUUACCAGGACUCGGUACAAUUUCCGUUCAACCUUAUUACAAUACUAGCUAUCACGACAAGAUGAAGUAAAAAAGAUAAAGUCGCUUCUAUAAAUAAUAUUCAAACUUACACCACGAGUUCCAAAAUACAUCAAAUUUCCAAAAUAUACAACUGCCAAAAGUCUAGUCGAUUACAUUUGGAACCCUAAUACAAAAGUACAACAAAAGGAUUUCUCCGAGUUUCACUCCAUAUCUAUGCCUGUUAAGGAAAACAAAUCUACGGGGUGAUCAAUUGCUCGUGAGGCCAAAAAACACACAUACAAGCACGUUGUCCAAUUAACAAGAAAACGAUAAUAUUCGAGUAAUUAACAAUUCAAGCGGAAUGUAAACAGAAACAAUUCAAGGAUAUGGGAGCUCUCAGGAGCUAUUGUCCACUGGCACGAUCAAGAACCUCCACGAGUUGACACUCCGUCAAUCGGGUAGGUCAUAGUCCGUAGAAGCUUCACUUACGCGUUCCCCGUCCACCAUACAUACCGCACCGGGCCCGAACAUCAUUUACAAGGUGAUACUCCACGAGUAUGUCAAGCGAGAUCUUUCAAAUAGAUCAAACUUAUCAUGUUAUUCUCAUGACUCAUCGAGAUUCCCGACCAAACCCAUGCCGGCUCGAGUUCCAAGGUCGACCUAUGAGUUUGGACCCCCAUGUAACAUUUGUGAGUGGAAGAGAUUCACUCCAACGAUGUAUGCAGUCAUAGCAUACUAUUUCAUGUCAUUCAAGCAUUCGAUACAUUCAAUCAUUCAUUUCAUCCCAUUCAAGCCAUUCAUGAUCCAUUCAUUUCAUUUCAAUUAAUUCAAUCAUGAGUCAUUCAUUUCAAAUGAGAACGGGUGCGGUAAAAUACACACUCGACUCCAUUUUCAAAAUCUCCAAUCAUUAAUAACAGUUAAGCAUGUAUCAAGUUCCCAUACACUUGACACUCACCAAGUAAUUCAAGAAGUAAAGCACAAGCGGUUGUUUAGGCGUCUCCUGUGAGAUCCUCUUGAAGGUCCUCUUGAGUGCCUGAGUAAUAAUAAUGAACUAUUACACACUAUCAUUUAAAACCCCUACUUAUCGAGAAAGAUUGCACUCGUGUACAAUUUAAGAAGAUAUUAUGAGGAUGAGCCUUAAUUACUCGUAAAUCGAGGCUCAAAAGUGGGGUUUUAAUAAUACAAGGAAAUUCGAUUUUCAUCUUUGAAAUCAAAUGUAAAACGAUCAAGCAAUAUCGAGGGAAAAUGGUGAGUUCUAAAAACUCAAUUUUCUUUAAGUUCGGAAAUUUCAGAUUUGAUAAGCAAUUUUUGAAAAAUCGUAUCUCAUUCUCUAUAGGUCCAAAAUUGGAAAACUUGGUACCGUUGGAAACUACUUCCAAAGUACUAAAAGUUCUUAGAAGACAUUUUUCCAUGAUUCCAAAUGGAUGACAUUCAAAAUUCGGUUCAAAGUUGCUGUUUUGGGCUACCAAGACAAUUUCGGCAAAAUUCGGCAAAAUGUGAACUAGCCUCUGCAAUUUGGAAUUCAAUUAUAGUUACAAACAAAGUUUGAAACGCAAGAAACAGAACAAGAAUCGGAGUUUUGAGUGCCAAGAUAUAGCAGCUCAAAUUUGCUGAAAUUUUCUCACUAAAUAAGGAUUUUCCAGAUUUGAAACAUGAAAUUUGGGAUUUCAGUUGAGUAUCGAAAUGGACUUGGAAUGGCACCAAAUUUGGUAGUAUUACCCUACCAUAGAAGGGCUAUUCCUCUGUCAAAUUUCAUACAAAAAUUCUUAUGGAAGGUCAGUUAACAAAGCCGCUAAAGUUCCAAGAAUUUCCAAGGCAAAUCUGCCUUGUACUUCCGUUUUACUUUUUCAAGCAUUUGGCCAAUGAAAUCUUCUCAAACAUGGUUCAUUUAUAAAGACAAGAUCUAAGAAACAUCCAAAAUGUGUUUGGUAGGUGAUUAAUACCAAGAGUUCCAAAAUAAUGACUCCCAAUUCGAGUUAAGGCAUUCAACUAGCCAAGAUUAGGGUUUCCUUUCACUGACACAGGUCUGGAAUUUGGCCACAACUCACUCAAUUCAACUUGGAAUUAGACAUGAUCAGUGGCGUUGGAAACUAAAUUCAUAGGGCUAUAAUUUCUCAGAAAAAAUCAUUUUGAAAUUCUGUCCAUAACUAGUUCAUAUUCUAGCAACAAGUUGCAGCACACAACAGGUUUUCUAACACAGACGAGAAACAGGGCAGGUGACUUUGAAAGGCUGGUACGGUUCACUCAAGUGGAAUCAGGGGAUGCAUUUUAUACUGUUAGAAAACUGGAAGUAUCUAGUUUCUAAUUCCGCAAAUGGAACUCGAUUUUGAUGUCGGAGAAAGAGUUAUUGUCGUUUGAAAUUCGCUGCCAGAGCAACUCUGGACAUGUUUUCCAACCAUGAAGAAAUUUCGAAAUCCAAACAUUUACCCAACCAAAUCAAGUGAUUUUUGGUGGAAACUUUUCACACAACCUAUAAAACAUAUAUACACCGAAAUCAAGUCAAUUAGAUCACAAAAAAUUGCACCAAGAGGCGCGGCAAUGACAGGGCAGAUCUGGCCCUUCUUCCAUUUCAACUUCCUUUGAGUUUCUUUCCACUCUUUCAACUUAAAUCCACUAGAUUAACACUUAAUCAACAUAAAUAACACUCAAAAUCAUCAAAUCAGAUGAUCAAGUCCAUUGUGGGAUUUCAUAGAGCCUACUCACAUGAUUUUCAACAAUCCAAAGCUACCCACAUGAAGCUACAAGCUUCUAAGUGAAAUCUAACUUACAAAAGCUAAGAUUUAAAGGGUGGAUGAUCAUUACCUCUUAGAUGUUGCUAGAGCAGAAAUUUUGGUCCUUAGAGCUCCAAGAAAACCGUGAGAAUGAAGCUCUUCUCCUAGCUGAAGAUGAUCUCCAAGUUAUUUGCAAGGUGUGGUAUGAAUUUGAGAGGAUUUGGUGCAAGAUUGAGAGACGAAAUGGUGAAAAAACUUGGUCUUCUUCUCCUUGGUGUUGCACGGCUGCUUGAGGGAGAGAAAGAGAGAGUUGUGGCUGAUGGAAAGCUUCUCUUGGAAGCUUAAGAGUUUGUGGCCAAAAUUACUCCAAAAGUCAACUAAGAAUAGUGCAUGUACGCGCGCGUUUCGUGCUCGUUUCCUCUUGGAUUUGUUUCACUUGUGCACUAAACCUCUAAUGCACUUCCAUUCAUACUAUUAUUAUUCACUUUUAAUAGUCUAAAAAUAAAGGUCUAAAGUCCCUCAAUUAAUCGCGCGCGCGAAAACACGUACUUCCGUUUUGUGCGCGAUAGAGUAAAAUUUCUAAGAAAUUCUUACAAUGAUAUUAUAACUGACUAGUACUUGAGUACUUAAACAUAAAAAUACCUAUUUUGAAACUAAUGUAUGAGUCUUCAAUCUCCAAACUCACUGUACCCUCAAAUCGAUUAUUGUCUCCAAACGCACAUUCACUAUUCUCACUAAACGAGUUUCUAAAAAUUAAAUUUUUGCAACAAGUCAUUUUAAAUAUAUAUAUAAGUCAUAAUUCCAUGUAAUUGAGUCUAAAAAGGUUGGAAUAAAAUAUUCGGAGCAAACAGACAAUUAAAUAUUUAAAUAAGCUAGUAAUAGAAAUUUAAAAUAAGUAAAUUUGCGGGUCCUUACAGGUAUGCUUGUGAUGCAAAUGCAAAUUUGGAUGUUUUGGGUUGGUAGAAAUAGGAAAGAUUGAGAUUUCCUAUCUUGUCGAGGAUGGCUGCCGAUAUACUCUCCGUUCCUGUUACAACUGUGGCUUCAGAAUCUACCUUCAGCGCCGGAGGUAGAGUAAUUGAUGAUCGACGAGCUUCUAUGUCAAUUGAGACGGUGCAAAUAUUGCUUUGCGGCAACGAUUGGAUCCGCAGUCUUCAUGGCCUAAAGAAUAAGUCUCGCGUUAAGUAAUUGAUUAGAUGUUUUUGUUGUUGUUACAGUUUCUUUAUAUCUGAUUUUAAAGAAUUUUAUAACUUUCAUACUUUUGUUUUGUAGGAAUCACUUGAUGCGACCGAAUCAAUCACAUUUGAGGAAGUUAAACUUCCCGAAUCAUUCACAACCUGAUUUGGUGGCUGUUGAUGUUGCUUGGUGCAAACUGAUUCAUUCACAUGUUGAUUUCGUUGAAGACCUAAAGAAUAAGUCUCGCGUUAAGUAAUUGAUUAGAUGUUUUUGUUGUUGUUACAGUUUCUUUAUUUUAAAGAAUUUUAUAACUUUCAUACUUUUGUUUUGUAGGAAUCACUUGAUGCGACCGAAUCAAUCACAUUUGAGGAAGUUAAACUUUCCGAAUCAUUCACAACCUGAUUUGGUGGCUGUUGAUGUUGCUUGGUGCAAACUGAUUCAUUCACAUGUUGAUUUUGUUCAAAAGCUGCAUCGUUCACAACUUGUUUUCACCCAAGAAAGUUAUUUUUAACUCUUGGUCUAGAGUGUGGACAUUUUAGAAACUGCUUAAAACGUAUUGAUGGCUGAUCUUUAAUUGUUUGGACUCUUUUAUGUAAUUUUUCAUUUUGUAAUCUGAUCUGGUCUGCUGCCGAGUUUGGACAUUUUAUUCCUCCAUUUGAUAGUUUGAGCUGCAAUUUUAACUUCUUUUUUGCUACUCGUGCUUAUGAUGCUUCUGUUUUGCGUUGUCGAAUUGAGUGGAUGAUAUAUUAGGGAAUGUGUUGUUCUCUUUUUGUCAAACUAAAUAUGAGUGUAGAAGAAGCUGAUAUGCUAUCUUACGUAAACGACUUAUGAAGCUCGAAUUACUAAUCGAGCGAGCUCGAACUAGCUCGAUUAGAUGUUCGAGUCGAGCUCGAUUGUCGUGUGCUCGAGCUCGACUCGGCUAGUUUAACAGCUAAGGUAACAUGCAUCAAAGCAGGCUUAUUCUCUUAGUACUUUUUUUUUUUUUCUUUUUAUAAAACACAGGUGCAUUAACGCACGACAGAAGCACCCUAUCAAUCUAAGAUCCCAGCUUGCUUGUAGCUUUCGAUAGAGUCAACAAGAGUUUCUUCCACUGGCCUAUACCUCCAGCCCAGCCUCUCCAAUUUUUCUGAGCUAAUAUUCCAUCGGCUUUGAUCCUUCACCUCUAUAAGUCUGCGAAGAAAUGAGUUAUAUCAAAAAAAUAUGCAGACAACAUAAAUGGUUCUUGUAGAGACUCGUAGAUGCCACACUUUUGGAAAUGGAAAUCAUGACGGACAUGAACAAACAAGAAAAUCAGGACAAACGGGGUGUCUGAAAAAUGAGACAAUUAAUUUCAAAGAUGGUAAUCCACCUCUUAGGGUACUUGUAGUUGGCAUAGUUUUUCCUCAGAGUUUCCACCAUAUCUUUUGUCGUGGUGACGUGAGGUGAACAUAUGUACCGGCCUUCAGCUUCAGGUCUCCCGUAAACCAAAAGCAGUGCCUCGGCCACAUCACGCACAUCUACUGUGUUGUAGAAUUUGUUUUCUGUUUCUUCACAUCCGUCUGUGCAGCCAAGGAGUGAAACAAAAGAGCAGUUUAAUCUCAAAAAAGGAGAUGUUAUCUGUGCUAAUCUCUGAGUUCUUUACUGCAUAUAUGAAACCUACAAUCCCUUUGACAAAUAGUACAGCAAUAAAUUCAUGGGACUUUUGAAUUGCAAAGGACCUACAGGUCACAAUGUUAACCUUUUAUAUCUUCAACAAUGCUCCAAAGCAAAUCAAGCAAACAGUUGAAAGAUGCAACCUCUUCAGAUGUUAUGCCUAUUGUCUGUCUCAUCUUCCAUUAGGUCAAACUCACACAAUUUUCACAUCAAUAAAAUUUGAAUCGCUUGUGCAUGUGUCUGGAAAGAUUACAUUAGCACAAUUUAGUAUUUUUGGCAGCACUGCUCGUUUAAAUUUCCCUGCCAUCAAGCAGAAAAUUUAAUUCCAUUCCAACAGUAAAAGCCAAACACCACAAUCUUAGUUUUUUUUAGAUAACUUUGCAAGUUUUUAGAGCAUUGCCAAAAUCAUAAAACUAUCAGAAUGGCAGAUAGCUUACAGGUUUAGAAUCUGAAAACCUCAGCUGGCUUGAAGAUUAAAUAAAAAUGCCAAAAGACGGCAAAGCAGUUAUCUCCAUGAAUGUAGUUUCAUUCCUAGAAGGUCAACCGCAACCAGAUAGACGGAUUUUGUGAAAUUUUAUUGGCAUCAAUUCAUUGUGUAUCAUGUAAAUAACACUGGAAGCCAGAAGCAUAAAAAUGAUGGGUUACUUGGAAAAUUAGCUGAUCAACCACAUGAAGAAAUUCAAUUGUUUGACCUUUCAAGUACAAAAAAAGGAAAAAAUUGCUAAGCUUUAGAGGUCAUCUGAGUUCUAGAGUGACAUCCAUGCUCACUUAGGCACAAACCAAUAUCAAGGAGAAAACUGUAUCAUUUACGACCACUUCCAUGCAGAAGGUGAAAGAAAGAAAAAUAAAAUAUAACAUAACGGAAUAAGUUCUCCAAUUGACUACAAAGCACUAAUAAAUCACCUUUCAACAGCUUUAUAAGAGCCACACUGCUAGCAUUCACAUCAUGCUGAAGCAUGGGGCCGAGAACAAAGGAUGGGCAUACAGUUAAAACAUCAAGGCCAGUUUCUUUUGCAUAUUGUAAUGCCUCACUUUCAGCAACCGUCUUGGAGUAACAAUACCAGUUCUGGAGCAAUAUUAGUACUAGAUGGUCAGCCAGAAACAGAUAGUAGUUGCAAAAAUCUGAUUUCUCAGCAAUCUUAGAAACAGUAUGAAUAAGACAGUGAAUUUUCUGCACAAUUACAACACCAAGGUGCAACUGCAAAAAGUCAAAUUAUGUUGAUGCAUACAUUUGUUGCCUUGCAGUAUUCGCCGUCUGACCAACACUUCUCAUCUAUGAUUUCACCUUCAGGCAGAUUAGGACUCAUUACAACAGCUGCAGUAGAGGAAACAACUACAACGCGCUUGACAUUUGCUUCAGAACAAGCCUUCAGUACAUUAAGGGUACCCUUUACAGCUGGCUCAACAAGUUCAACCUGCAACAAAUCAUCAUGUUGGCAGAGGUACUAGCACUCAACUCUGCAUGCUAAACUGCUUGUUUUUGCGUAAAAUAUAUCCAGAUAGACAGCUAAGUAGUGUCAGUUAACCUGACAUCUUUAGAGUGAAUGAGUACAUAGUUAAAAGACUCAUGACUGCUUAUGCCUGUGAUUUAACUUGGUUACCAGCAUAGGUUAUUAUUAUAUGCAUUUAUUCACUCAUUUCAACAUUUGAAAAAUCCUUCCACGAAAUGAUAGAAAGACAAAGAGCCCCAGUGACUUCAUAAGUUUGUACAAACGCUUUAACAAGGUUCUAUUUUAAACGAUACCCAACUUUAGCUCAUGUUUGGCAAAACGCAAUAAAAUAUUAUCUGUUAUGACAAAAGCUGUCUCAUAAACAAAAGAUAUGUUAAAAAUGUUAUUCUGGGGAAACCAAAAGGAAGAAAUAUCAUAGCAAUUGAAACGAUUGAAAAUGGUCUUGCCUCAGGAUUGGGAACAGAGCCUGAAGGAACAGGACUAGCUACAUGAAAUACGCCAUCACAACCCCUGAUGGCUGCAGAAAUGGAGUUGUAAUCCAGCAAAUCAGCCUUAAAGAGUUUCAAAUUCUCAGCUGCUUUGUCAAGUUUCUUCAGAUGAACAUAUUUCUCAUCGUCUACAAAACAUACACAGCAAUGCCCACAUCAUCAAGUAACGAAGCACACAAUUCACAGCAGGUGCUUUUAUAUAUUUCUUCAAUUAAACAUAUUUCUCACCCUUCACAAAACAUUUACUGCAAUUCCCACUACAUCAAAUAGGAAACAGCCAAUUGACAGCAGGCAAAAAAUCAAUUGCGGUAUUAAAGGGAAUGAAACAAUCAUACAAUACCCAAAACAAAAACAAAAAAAAAAUGAGUAGUAAAUCAGGAAGGAAGGGUUAUGAGGAUGAAAUACGUACUGGGAUUUCUGAGGGUGGCAUGAACAGUAUAAUGGCGGGAAAGGAGUAGCUUGACUACCCAAGAUGCCAGGUAUCCCCCUGCUCCUGUAACACACACUGUCCUGUCCUUCUUAGCCUCCCACGCUGCCAUGUCUGAUUGCUUACCAGUAGCAGUAGCGGGAUUAGUAUUUUAGCACCAAAUUCACUAUAGACUGAUCAAGAAGGUGGGUGAAGUUCUAUUCUUUUCUUUUUUAUGAAUAUUAAUUCUUUUUUGGUUGGACAAGGCAGAGAUUUCGUCGAUUCUUAAAGAGGAGGACUGAAGAAGAGGGCGGUUGGAAGAGGAGGAGGAGGCGGAGGUGGUGGUGUUGGAAUUUUGAAUAGACGAGUCCUGUAUGUAUGAGCUAGCUGAUUCCAGCAGCCUCUGUCAAUACUAGGAGUAAUCAGCAGCUGGCAGGCUUGGGGGCUUAUAUAUAGCAGCAGACCAAUGGUCCUGUUGCGAUUUGCACGGCUCAUGGAAGACGUAUGGUUUCAACGCAGGGUUGGGCUGGGUUGGGUGGGGAAACGGUACUAAUGAUAAAUGUAUGUAUAAUGAAAUUUGAGAUAUUUCUAGCAAUCUGUUAGUAAAAUUUAUUUUUAUAAAAAAAAAGGAGUAAAGGAGCAUAAUAUUAUUAAGUUAUAGUAAAACUUGAUGCACAUAUCAAUAAAACAAGAUAUUCUGUGCAUUUGAAUACAAUAGUAUAAUAUGAUUUUACCAUUGUCGGAUGUUUAACAAAUUUAUUUAUUAAUGGAUAUUAAAGUGUUACAUUUUAUCUCAUAUUUUCCCAAUUUAUGACUCAGAUUUUAAAUUGAUUAACUCAUUAGAGAAUAAAAAACUCAUCCCGUUGCUAAAUUGGACAAGUGACAAAAACUCAUGUCCAUAAUGGGAUUUUACUUCUGACUCAAAUCCUAUAAUGCGAACCAAACCCCAAAUCACUCCAUUAUAACGGAAACACAAACUAAACUAUUUAAUAUUCAAAUCAAGUUCCGCUCAAUAACAGUUUGUUCGAAUUUGAUUCGCAAACUAAUCUAAUCAAGUUAGAAUAACAUUUUAUGUUUGAAAAAAUUUUUAACUGCAGCUCAAGCUUAGCUCAAUAAUCAUAAAAUUGGAUUUUAUAGAUAAAAAUUACUCGAACUCGACUCAAUAAAAAUUCUUUUGAACGUGACUUAGUAAAUAAAAAAGCCAAUCUUGAAUACUAUUUCAAAAUUCUUUAAAAUAAAUAACAAGAUACUUGGUUUGAUUAGACACAUUCACACCCCUGUUUUUCAUAUGCUCGAUAACAUAUAUUUUUGCCAUUGAAUUUUGGGACAUGUUUAUCAUUUUUUAAAAUCUUUUUUUUUUAUUUCUGGCUUUUAUAGGAAAAAAAAAACUAAAGGAUGUGUUCGGAUAGGAGACCGAUAAACUUUUCUCUCCCCCUCGCGCCUAAUUGCAGGUUAAAAGCAGUGUUUUGAAAACCGGACCGGACGGCCGGUUCGACCGGUUGGACCGCCAACCGGCCAUGAUUCCGGUCCGAUUCUAUGCUAUAGUUGACCAGGUUAGAAAACCGGUUAAACCGUGAAAACCGCCGGACCGGAUUGAACCGGCGGUUCUCGGUUUUCGAGAUUUCCCUUUUUUUUCUUUUUUUUUCUUUUUUUUACGUUUUGCAAAAUGCAGUUAUCAAGAUUCGAACUCAAGACUUUUGUAAUAGAAGACCAAUGUAGUAACCAUAGUAACCAUUGCACCAUCACAUCUUAUUAGUUUUUUUUGAUAACUUGUUUAUAUAAAACAAAAACUCAUAUUUCUUUUUGUCAUUUUUUUUACAAAAUCUAAUCCUCUCAUAGCUCUUUCUUUUUAAUCUUCAACACACACACACACACUCUCUCUCUCUCUCACUCUCUCCUCUUUUUUUUGUCACUCUCUUUUUAAUCAAACCACUUUAUUUUUAAUUUAUUGAUGUUUUCUUCCAUCUUUUAAUUUUAUUUUUGUCCAUUAAAUUGAAAAAGGUUAAAAAAGAAUUAUUUUUCUUUAACCCAAAUUAUUUAAUGCCACAACCACUCACUUUUAUCUCAUUUUUUAUUUCUUAUCAAGUUUGCAUUUCUAUUUUCGAUUCUCUUGACUUCUUUCGAACUCCAAAAUUCCUUUUUUAAAUUGCAAUUUCUAAAUCCCAAAACGUAAAUUAAAAUUUAAGUUCACAAAAUCUAAAUUCUCAUAGACAUGAAUUUUGUAUAAUUUUAAAAUAUUAUGAUAUUUUUGGGUUAGAUCUAAGAUUUUUUUGGUAGAUAUAAUUGAAAUUGAAAUGAAAUUUAUUUGUUUUAACUUAUAAUUUAAAAUUUUUAUUUUUAAAAAAUCAAGUUAUUCAAAAAUAGUAAACUUUUCAUCAUAUAAUGUAUUAAAUUAGUCCAUUACAUGUCUUAUUUUGUGCAUAAAUAUUUACAUAAAUUAUUUUUUAAAAAAUUCAUUGAACCGAGGUUGAACCGGUCCGACCGGUUAAAUCUCGACCCUUUCACGUCACCGGUUCAAUUAACGGUCCGGUUUUUAAAACAUUGGUUAAAAGGAAUAUCCAGUUCUUAGAUAACUUUUCUAGGCACAACUCUAGUUGUCAGAAAACUGGUCUACUUUGACUGUGGGUUUUCCUUUAGUCAGGCCAUUUUGUCAUUAGUGAUGAUUGCUUCUUCUAAACCUUGGCUAACUGCACACGCCAUGCGCAUGAAACUUCUUCUAAACCUUAGCUAACUGCACACGCCAUGCGCAUGAAAAUCCAAACUUCAAAUAAAAUAAUUUGAACUCGUCAACUUGCAAAAUAAGAUAAUUUGGGUUUCGUCUGAUAUGAGUAGUAAGGGAAAAUUUAAUUACUAUAUUUAUGAUUCUUGACUAAUGUGAUUGCUCAUCUAUCACCACGCAUCAGUUUAAUACCUUAUCUUCAUUUAAAUGUGACGAUUGUAGAAUUGAUGGCUGAAACUGAAAGGAAACUGAAAAAGAAAUGUCAUGUGAGUGCAUAUGCAUGGUUAAAACAAUACUCCCACAAAUUAUAACCAAUUCGAUCCCUUGUUUUUAAGGUUUUGAUCGUUUUGGUUCCUUGGUAUCAUGACAAGCCAAUUUUGCCUCUUAAAUUUAAAAAUAUGGUUAAGGAGAUCCUUUUGAUGGAAAUUUGAGUUGCUAAUGAAGUGAAGAGACCAUUUAGUGCCUUUCGUGUCACAUCCGUCUCAACACUAUAUUAAAGUUUCAAAAAAUCUCAAAUAAGUCAUAAAACUCAUAAAACAAACCCCAAAACUCUUUAUCGUGAAGAAAAUAAAUUUUUAUAACUUUAAAAUAAAUCAAACACAAUACCUUAAACAUAAUUAUGGAAUUUGUGCCAUUUUCGAGUUGAAAUAUCAUGAAAAGGAGUACCAAAAGGUGAAAGAAAAAUGCAUAAACUUAUGUUUGACAUAGUAUUAAAAACUUUUAUUUCAUUAUAUUGAAGAGUUUUGGGUGAGUUUAGGCUUUUAGGAUUUUAUUUGAAUGCUUGGUGUUUUCUGCGAGAUGGCACGAAGUACCCUCUAAGGUCUCUUAACUCCAUUAACAACUCUAAAUUAGCCUUGACCAAAUUCUUCAAAUUUAAGAAAAAUUGGUUCGCCAUAAUACAAAGGGACUAUUUUGUUAAUACAUUGGAGAUAAGAAACCAGAUUAAUUAAUUUUUGUUGUUUGCGUAACUCAAGGGAUUUCUCCGUUAGCUUCCCACAAUUUUGCUACAUUAGUCUCUUUUGAUGGAGAUAGAGCACCAACUCACAGUUGUAUUAGAACUUCACUUACGCUAUAAUCGUUAGGAUUUUCUUAUAUUCAUCCGACUACUCAAUAAGUAUCCUAUUUUAUAAUAACUAUCCUACACCUCUUCAAAGCCUGAUAAGAUGAAGAAAAUCUCUUUACUAGCAUCUUAAUGCCUUAUAUCCAGUAUUGAGGGAAAAAAUUUAAUCACAUUACAGUCUGAGAAUUUGAAUCCAGCAAUUUCACGGUCUGAUGUAGUCACCCCAAGUAGGUUCUCCAGUAAAACAGGGUAGUGAGGCAAAAUGUACAUCAAAUAGGUCAAUUGUUGAGCCCCUCGGGGUUCGGUUCCGUGGUUGUAGCCCCAGUUGGGGGAGAGCCACGUCCAGGGAUCGAGUCCCCGUUCUACCGUGGCUGGUGAUGCUUGAGGCGGGCCGCUCCCAGCCCGCAGUGGGAUUAGUUGGGCCGUACGGUAACCAGUCCAUGGGUCCAGAUACCCACUGUGAUGAAAAAAAAAAAAUAGGCCAAUUGUCGAUCUUUGAUUAUGUCUACACUUUCAAAAGAUAGGCUUAAUCAUAUUAGUGGAAAUAACUCAUAGUUCAUCAUAUAUUAAUUUGCUAUUCAAUUUAGUUUGAAUACAUGAUCAAUGUUAUUGUAUGCCAAAAAAGAUUGAGGAUACUUUUGACCUAGUUCUUUGCACUAACUUGAAAUCUUCCAAUUGUUCUUUCUUUGAUGCACUUGCAAAAUCUCCUGCAAAAGUAAAAUAACUCAGUUGGUGAAUUUUGGCUAACUGAGAGGCCCCAUCUUCUUUUUACUUCUUUAGCACAAGCGAAGAAUGAAUUUAUGCAUAAUAACCGUGUGAUUCUAAUGAGAUAUGAUUUUUUUGGUUUUGCAUGCUGGUUAAACAAUUGUUCAAGCUCUUAUCUUGGUUUUUGAUACUUCACCGGUAUGUGGAUGUUACUGCUAAAGAAAUUUACAUUUGUCAUUAGAAGAAUUUUCUAUUUUAUGACUGGCAAGUGAUUUGGUAUCUUAGCAGUUCAUCGAUUUUGGUGCUUUGUUUACAAUUUAAUUGGCUUCAAUGGUCCAUACAUAUAGGAACUUGGAAUUUACCCUUUUAUUUCCUUUUGCAUGAGCAAAGAUUAGUAAUUUUUAAUCAUAAUUUUCGAUUCCUCUAUUCUGGCCAUAGUGAAGAAAUCUACCUUUUUGUACUUGUGUAUAUGCACACCAAACAUCAUUGGGCUGUCUACUUUUGACAUUAUUCUUGAAUUACUCAGUUUAGAAUGUGUAUUAGCUGCUGGAAGCAAAUGCAUCAUCGUUGGCAAUUACCAAACAGAAAAUAUGCAUGCCAUUACUAUUUUCACUGAAAUUAGCAUCUAACUUAUAAUGAUCUAAUUAAAGGUUAACCACAUUGGUUUUGACUAGAACUAAGAGAUCACUAGCCCUCUUAUUUUUGGAUUUGCAUUAAUCCAGUAUCAUCAAACUUCUUCAAAUGGGCUCUUUAGCUACUAACCCCUUCAAAAAUAAUUUAGGCUUACGGUUCUGUUGAUGUCGCAAUUGCAGGAGGUUCAGAAGAUAACGAAAGGCUCAUCUAAGAUUUCUUAAGGUGUUUGGCUUAUAUUGCUAGAUUUACUUAAUCUAUUUUCAUUCUUCUCCGAUGUCAUUAUUGUUAAAGUUCAAUUCAUAAGUUGGUUGUGUUAGAAAAUUGGCUUAAUUUCUUUUUAGAUAGGUUUUUGUUUUGUGCAAAAGUAACUAGUUUCCUAAUUGGUUUUAGUUACUCGGAAUAGUAGCCAAGAAAUUUCUUAUUUUGUUUAGAAUUAGAAGUUAUUUCUUAUUUUCUACAAGUCUAGGAAUUAGAAUUAAUUUCCUGUUGUUAUUUGGAUUUUUUGACCAAAUAAUAUUUUUAUAAAUAGGUGGGUUGGCAUACUAUAAAAGAGACACAUAAGGGCACACAAGGACGACAUGUAACCUUAUACAUGGGUGGUGAGAGAGAGUUCUUAGGAGAUGAGAAAUGGUAUACAAAGGUUGGACUUGAGUUCGAGUUGUAUUCCUGUAUAAGGUUUUUCUCUCAUAAUAAAUAACAAGUUUCUCUCCGUGGACGUAGGUUCAAUGGAGUCAAACUACGUUAAAUAUUGUGUGUUGUUUAUUUUUUAUACUUGUGGCUUGUUUCUCAUUAAAUUAUUGUGUACUUGAUAUCUUAAUAGUUAUUUAUUCUGCAUUUAGUUCCUAACAAAUGGUAUCAGAACUUGAUUGCGAGAUUGGGCUGCUCACAAGCACUUGGAUCCCAACAAACUGAAUAGUUGGAUCAAGAGUUUGGUUGUUCAAGGAUGGAUCCUAGUUAGCUAUUGAGAUCAAGUAGGUUGGUGACUGUUACCAAUUGAACAAUUUAAUGGGCGGUAUCCUUAUUUCAAGAGUUUGGCAAAAAAGCAUUGACGGUGAAUGAUGAAAAGUCGAAAAGCAUGGAGAUACUUGACGGUGAAUCUAGGCAGAUGAUUCAAGAGUCAAGGAAAAUGUGGAAUCCAAUAUCGAUUUUGGACGUGAAUCGGUGGAGACUUUCUUACAACUUCAACGGUUGAUACUUCAUCUCGGUGAUUUUUAGAUUUCGCUUAUGUUUUUUGAGUGGUACGGCACGUGUCCCAAAAAAAUAAAGAGAUUUAAUUUCUAUGCGCUAGAAGACUCUGACAGUUACGAGUCUUUUGUUUCAGGUGAAUUUUUGGAAACCACACGUGGCGAGAUAGUCUUGAGGAAGGGAAGAAGUAUGAUGAUUUUAUCACUUGGUUGCCUCAAUGAUUAAGGUUAGAGCUCAUACAAGGAGAUUUUGGGUUGCAAGUGGUGGUGAGAAGAAAUCCUGUAAAGAAAAAUGGUGAAUUGAGGCAUCUUCUCACGAAUCAACUGGAGGUUGUACUAGGUGUAAAUACACAUAUUCAUUUGGCAAUUAAAUCAAUUUGGUAUCAGAACUGUAUUGAUUCGGGUGUGUAGUUCGGUACCAUAUUAUUUGGUAGUUGAAAGUAAAUAAUUGUUAAAAGAAAUUUUCGCCAAGAUAGAGAUUUGUUAGGAAAUUGAUUUAAUUUCUUUUCAGACAGGUUUUUGUUUUGUGUAGAAGUAACUAGUUUCCUAAUUGGUUUUAGUUACUUGAAAUAGUAGCCAAGGAAUUUCCUAUUUUGUUUAGGAUUAAAAAUUAUUUCCUAUUCUAUACAAGUCUAGAAAUUAGAAUUGGUUUCCUAUUAUUAUUUAAUUUUUUGGCCAAAUAAUAUUCUUUAUAAAUAGGUGGGUUGGCAUACUACAAAGAGACACACAAAAGCACACAAGAGACGACAUGUAGCCUUAUACAUGGGUGGUGAGAGAGGAUUUUUAGGAGAUGAGAGAUGGUAUACAAAGGUUGAAUUGGGGUUCAAGUUGUGUUCUUGUAUAGAAUUUUUCUCUUAUAAUAAAGAACGAGUUUCUCUCUGUAGAUGUAGGUUCAAUGGUGGAGCCGAACCAUAUUAAAAAAUAGUGUGUCAUUUAUCUUUCAUGUUUGUGGCUUGUUUCUCAUUAAAUUGUAGCGUACUUGAUAUCUCAAUAGUUGUUUAUUCCAUGUUUGGAUCCUAACAGACUGCUAAACCAAGAUUGAUGUAAUUGCGUCCUGUAAGAGAGUUUGCAAUUCAAUUGAUUAAGGGAAGAACAGAGAAAAUCCCUGAAAAUGGGAAUUAAAGGAAACAAAGGAAACCCUAAAACUAGUUUCCAAGAACAAUUCUGUCGAAGACAGAAAACAAAGAAAAUAGUAUCAAAGGCUAUAUCGUUAUUUAGGAAACAAGAAGCACUUGAAGGUGAAUGUUGCAGAAAGUAGAAGAUCCCACUACAAUUUACUAAUUCAAGGAGCUGUAAUUAAGAAAGAAAGAAGACAACUCAGAGAAUUAGGGAUUGUUAUUAAUUGAUGAAUGAGUAGGAAGAAUGUAGAUGAAGAUGAUAAUCAAUUACAAGUAAUGGAAAUCGGAAAUCCAAGAACUGCCUUCAACUUACCACCCUCCUCUCUUUUAUUCGGCUACUACACUUGUCCAAGUCAGCUAAUUCAUUACAACCAACCGACAUACAAGAAUUAUAAGGAUUUAUUCAUUAAGUCCCUAUCAUACUCGCUUUAUUACAAAAAAAAAAAAAAAAAAAAACCCUAUCAAUAAAACUAAGGUAACAAACAAUGUUUUCAGAACCGGACCGGACCGGCUGGUUCGACCGGUUGGACCGCGAACCGGCCAUGUCACCGGUCCGGUCUAAUGCUAAAGCCGGAAGUUCAUGGAGAACCGUUGAAACCCGGACGAACCGGACGAACCGUGCGAACCGUUAAGAACCGUGAACCGGCGGUUUUUUAAAUUCUUCAACAAAAUAUCAAGAAUGGUGUAGCUAAGAUUCGAACCUGGGUCUCCAAGUUUGGAUAUGACAAUCUCACCGCUAGACUGUAGUUAAAUUUGUUGAGAAUUCUACUUGACUAAAAAAUAUAUUAAAACAUCAAGUUCUUCUCUUAUUUUUUUUUCAAUUUUUUCUUCUUAACCAUUUUUAACCCAAAUAUCCACAACAAGAUUUUCUCAAGUCUUCACCAUUAUUAUCAGGUUAUUAUCUUUAGCAAAUUGUAAACAAGUUGAAAAUUUCAACUUUUCUUGUUUUCCAACAUCUUAGUAAGUUUAAUUUUUUUCUUUUCAAGGUUUUUUUUUCUAUAUUAUUAUCUUUAGUUGAUUUUUUGCAUUUUCUUCUUUUUCCCCUCAAUUUUCAUAUGUUUCCCUCAUUUUUGUUUUAUUUUUAUUCGAUUAAUUAAGGAUGAAAUUUUUGCAAAAGUAGUGCACAUUCGUGUAGGAAUUGGGUAGGAAUUACAAAUAAUAACAUUGGGCUGGUCAAAAAUAUGGUAGUUGGCACAUAAUCGAAGCUAUUGAUAAUUGAAUUUAAAAUAAUUAAUGGUAUAGGAUCAUUGAAUUUAAUAUAACAUGUUAAUUAGUAAUGUUUAGUAGCAAUUAAUUUUUUAUGUGUUUAACUGUAUAUUUGUUUUUCAAAAAUUUUUAGUUUUUUUUAGUUUGAGCAAUUAGAUUUAUAUUUUUAUAAUAAAAUUUUAACUUUUUCAUCUUAAGUUGAUGAAAUUGUGAAGGUGGUGUGGUUGCUUAUCAGGCCACUGAUAAAAGUUUGCUAUUCAAAUAGUUUGUCUUAACUUGAACUCUUUUAUGGAUUUUUUUAAGGGUUGUAAAAGAAUUUCAAUAUUUAAUUUAUUUAUUUUUUGUGUUUUUAUUUGUGAUAAUUGGUGAACAUUUGGAUUGUAUCUAUUUAUGUUUAUAAUGAAUUUAUGAAAACUUAUGGUGAAUUAUGAUAUUUUAAUUAUAUUUAUCAUUCCAUGUUUUAUGUAUAAUUUUUAGAAAAUUUAUUAUUAUCAUAACUUAAAUUAAGUUAUGUUGGUAAAGUUCAAGUGUAGAAUGAAACCUACUUAGUACUUAACAAAAAAAAAAAAAAAAAAAAAAAAACAGUGAACCUUUGAACCGGCCGGUUGGACCGGUCGGACCGGUCGAACCGCGAACCGGCCACCUCUCCGGUUCACUGACCGGUCCGAGUUUAAAAACAUUGGUAACAAAUACUUCCCCCUCAGAGAAUCCUUGUCCUCAAGGAUUAAAUUCAGGAAAUUGUUGUUUAAGGUCAAACCAGAAUUCCCAGAUAGCAUCUUCAAGAAAAGAAUUGCUUCACUAUGCCAAAACUUUUGUAGCAAGAGAGUUACCACAUUUCACCAAUUUCUGAUCAAGUAUGGCUAUAGGCUCCAUUAAUAAUUAUCCCUGUGUAUUGAUUGUGUAUUGAUUGCAAAAGGAAUGUGUGAGGUAACUAGUGAGUGCCCACUUUCUUCUUUAGAAGAGAUACAUAAAAAAUAGAGUGUAUUUUUGCCAUAUUAGGCAGCUAAAGCUGAUAUGCAACAGGGUGUACUCUUUUGAUCACUUGGAAAGGUCCAAAAAACUUAGAAGCUAACUUCUGACAAGAGUGUACCUUCAAAGAGUGUUGCCUCUACAGUUGUAGUUUCACAUAUACCCAAUCUCUUGCUGAGUACUGUCUAUCAGACCUGUGUUGGUCAGCUUGUUGCUCCAUCCUAUUUUGUGCCUUAUGAAGGUUGUACUUUAAGUGAUGCAAAACUAUCUCCCUUGCUGCCAAGAUUCUAUCCACCACUUCCACUACUGAAUUCCCAAGUAGACAAGGCAUAUGCAGAGAUGGUGCAUGACCAUACACCACCUCAAAUUGGAUAACCUUAGUGGCAGCAUGAAAUUUGGUAUUGUACCAAUAUUCAGCCAAGGGUAACUAGAUAGACCACUGCUUUGGAAAAUCUCCACACAUGCACCUCAAAUAUUACUCCAAACACCUGUUUACCACCUCAGUUUGACCAUCUGACUGAGGGUGGUAGGUAGAAGAGGUAUUAAUCUGCACUUUUAGUAACUUAAAAAGUUCUUGCCAAAAAGUGCUAAUGAAGACCACAUCCUUGUCACUAACAAUGCUCUGAGACAAGCCGUGAAGUCUACAGAUCUGAUCCAGGAAUAUGUGCAAAUAUAAAUGCUGAAUAAGCAUGUGACAAUGCCAAGAAGUGUGCAUACUUACCUAACUUGUCAACCACCACCAAGAUGGCUUGUUUACCAUGUGCAUUAGGUAAACCUUCCAUAAAGUCCAUGGAAAUUCACUCCAAACCUUUUGAGGCACACGUAAAAGUCGUAAUAAACCCAAAUCAGCAGUAUUGUCAUAUUUGUUGCACUGACAGACAUCACAUGCAGCCACAUAGUUGACUAUGUCUUGAUACAUUCUUCUCUAAUAAACCACUGACUUCAACUUCUUUUAGGCAGCAUAAACUCCUGAAUGCCUCCAACAGCACUAGAAUGCCACAAGUGAAUUAUAUUAUUCUUGAAUUGGCAGUCAUUUUCUACCACUAGUCUCCCCAUCCUCCUUAACUGCAAGUUGCUCCAUGUGUAAUAAGGUGAGACCUUAGAAAGAUCAAAUUGUAAUUGAGUGAUGAAGUUCUAUAGCCUUAUAUCUAUUUGCCAUCCCUUUUUAAUCACUAUCAAAGAUCACUGUUAACAAUGAUGAUGGCAAGAGCUUCUCUUGGUUCUGCUAGUUUUCUAAAGAGAGUAUCUCUCACCAUAUUAUAUGCUUCUUUCCUGUAGUGAAGCUCAUAAUAAAAUCUUACUAGCUUAGCCAUCCAUUUCUGCUGCAUAAGAGUAGGGCUGUCAAUGGUCCGGGUCUAGACCCGGACCCGAACCGGAUCCGUCAAAUUUAUUCGGGUAUGGGUAGGGAUUUAAUUCCGUUACCCGGACCCGGAUCCGGAUCCAUUUUGCCAAACAAAAAAACGGGUCGGAUACGAAAUAUAGUAUUCCGACCCGUAUUGGACCCGGAUCCGGAUAUAAAUGGAUUACUAAUUUAAAAUAUAUAUAUUUAUUAAUAUAAUUUGAUUAGGAUGAUGUAUUUGAGUAAUCAAUAUAAUUGGACCCGGAUCCUAAUCAAUAUAAUUUGAUUAGGAUGAUGUAUUUGAGUAAGGUUAAUUUGAUUUCUUUUCUUAUUUGAUUUUUUUUGUAUUAGUUAGAAAUUAGUUUAUAAAUAUAUGUUUUUUCUCAUUUUUGUUAGAAAUUAUAAAUUUUGUUAGUUUUUUUUCGGGUAGACCCGGAUCCGGAUCCGGGACCCGUCGGAUCUGGAUCCGGAACAUAGAGUAAAGACUCAUCGGGUAAACGAGUCGGGUCCGGAUCCGAUAUAGUGUGCCGGGUCCGGGUCUGGAAUAAUGAAUUCCGGCCCGGACCCAGCCCGUUGACAAGCCUACAUAAGAGUGUUCAAUCUUUGUUCCAUCAUAUAUUCAAUGCUCUAAUGGUCAUUUUUAAUGAUAACGUACCUUCCAGGUAGAUAAGGUCUCCACUUCUAUACAGCAGCAACUAUGGCCAAUAUUUGCACUUUUCCAAUAUACUAUCAUAUGCUAUUCCCCCACACACCUAAAUCUUACAUUGUCCCCAAUGUAAAAUAAAGAAUAAAAGAAAAUUAAUGGGGAUAACGAAACUUCCUUGAUAACUGAGGGGGCCGUCGACAGCUACAGGUGAGGGGCGAAUGACUGUGGAGCUCGACGUAUGUUGAUGGUUGGCGGCGGUGGAGUUCGGAUGGAAGAAAGAAAGAAAGAAGAAAGAAAAAGAAGAGAGAAAGAAAGAAAGAAAAAGAAAAGGAAAAAGAAAGGAAAAGGAAGAGAAAAGAAAAGGGAAAUACGAAUGGGAAUUGCUCCAAUCCGAGCUGGUUUUUUGUACUAUUACUUUGCUUCUUGUACGAAGCUUGAAGAUGCAGCAAGCGCGGAAAUUUUUUUUUUUUUACAUCUGAUUUUGAUUUUUUUCUUUUUCCUUUUCUGUAUUUCCUUUUCUUUUCUUUCUAAUUUUUCUGCAAAAACAAUCAAAUAGAAAUCAAAUGAGAUGGAAUGAUUUUUUUUAAAAAAAAGGUAAAAAUAUAAAUAGAGAUAAAUAAAUAAUAAAUAAAUAAUAAUAGUUAUUAACAAAUCAUAAAAUGAUUUAUGAAAUUUUUUUGGUGUCUACAUAUAUACACAUACUAAUAAUUUUUAUAUUUAUAUAUUUUUCUUAUUUAAUCUUACCUAUAAUUCUUUCUUAUUUUAUUUACUUUCUCUAAUUAAUUUUAUAUUUUUAAAAAUAUAACAUCUAAAAAUAUAUAUUAACGAAGAGGACAUCCGUUAGACAGGUCCUAUUUUAUGUAGCAUAUAUGUCUCUACAUGAAAAAAACUUUUUUAAUAGGUAUCCCGUUUUUUGACAUGAAAAAUACCUUUUGACUACAUUCUGACUAGCGCCAAAAGCUAUCCACUUUUGACAUGCUGCCCAUGGAGGCCUAAUUUUUUUUAGUACUGAAUUUGUUUUGGAUACGUUAGUAUUUCUUGAAUUUUAGAAAAUGCUUCUCUUUAAUAAAUGUAAGUUCAUUUUAAUCUUGAUUCGCAAGCUUUUUCUCGUAAAUGGUUUGCCAUUUCUUAUUAGUUGUUACAGUAAAUUUAACAUGCAUAUAUGCUUUUUGUCAAAAUUCAAUCAUUUCAAAAUCUAGAAGGGAACUUCUAAAAUACCUGCAUCCUCCUUUUUCUUUUUUCUUUUUUAUUUUUCCCCCUCUUGGCUUUGUAUUCAGAAUCAGAUUGUGUUCAAUUAGUUGGAAUUUGGCUUUGGAGUUAGAAGGGAUUUCCAUUUUUUCCUAGGUAUUCCACAGCUUGCAUACCAAAAGCACAGAGGCGGAAGAAAACCUAUGAUUAAAUCAUACAACAGGCUUGUAAGAAAAUGCCCACUUUGAAAAAAAUGAAAAGUUGAAUUUCCUAUUUUCAAAUUUACAUGCAAAAAAUGAAAAAUGACAUGCAAGAAAUAGUCUACUAUUUCGCAAUGUUUCAUAGUUAUGAGAAAUAUAUUACAAAUAAAUCCACAUAAAUGGUGGGAAUAAUAACUCAAAUAUGGUGGGACAAAUAAACAUACAGGGUGACCCCUGCCAGCUGAGAUAACUAGCUGGUUUAUUUAAUUUAAUAGUUUGAAUACAAUAGUAAAUCAAUGCCAUAGCUCAGAUACUGACUAAAUUUUUCUCCCUGAAGAAUUCAACAGCAUCUUUUAGGCUGACCUCCAAAGGAGUGAAUCCAACUCCCAACCUUUUUGCCUUCUCAUUGGAGGCUCUGUAGUUUGGGCUGAUAAGGUUGGUAUUGUUUGACAUUCUGCUGUAUGCGGGACAAUACACAAUUAUGGCAAACAUAAAUAAAGCUUAGGUAAUGAAAAUGCAAAUGUAAAUUCAAAUGCUUGAAAAUCUACUGGACAAUUGCCUCAUAUCUACUGUAAAUUGUGCCUUUUUUACGAAGUUUCAAAAGACCUUUUAAAAGAUAACUUUAGUUGUGAUAUGAAUGAAAUUUAUUUUUCUCUAAAAAAAAGCCUAAAACGGAAUUUCUAUUUUGGAGACAAAGCCAAUUUGGUGAUAUAUCCUAGUCCAAAGAAGACCAUCUUCUAGAAAUCAACCUGAGAAAGAGCUCAUUUUUUAUGGAACAUGAGACCAAAAGAAAAAAAAAAGAAGGCAGAAAAUUUAGGAUUUAGUGUCCUUUAAAAGAGAGUAUAAAAAUAUGUGAUACAUUUUGGACGUAUACAAGGCCAUCAGCAAAAGCCUGCAAAGACCUAAACAAGGAAAACAAGACUUACUUAUCAGGAAAUUGGUGAGUUGGGUAAUGCUCAUGCAAAAUCUUGAUGAUCUGAGAGGCAUUUGCACAUCUUUCAACCAGACAAUAUCUUCCACUUGCAGAAGGGGUUUCAAGGGCAAGAACAUGUGCAUAGGCAACAUCUCUAACAUCAACCCAGCUACAUGUUGCCUUAGGAAAUGGUUCAACCCCUGCAUUUGGCACCUAAGAUCUUUAAACACAUUUUUUUGCAGGCUCUUCAGCAACAUAAGUGAAACUGUGCAUACAAUUAAAUACAAUGUUGUUUGCCAUGAAAAGAGUCAAAUUUAGAGGCCUUCCAGAAGAAAUGUGUUGUAUGUACUACUUUGUUCUGUUUUAGUAUCAGCAAAGCCACAGAGGGGAGGGAGAUGUGAGGAAUGAACUAGUUGAGACAAUUCAGAUAAUUGGUGAAUAAUAAGAAAGAUUAAUCCCAACAAUCUACUAGCUAAUCUGUCCCUGGAAUUUCUCAGAUUUAGAGUUAGGUUUCUCUUUCAAAGGAUAGUUUAUUUAUUUAUGUGAGGAAUAAACAAGCUUUAGCAAGUCUGAACAACAUAAACAGUGACUACUCCUAACAAAUUUUUCCUCACAAUUACCACCCAAAAAUUUCUUUUCCUUCCUGUUAAUCACAUAGAACCUCAAUGUUGUUGAAAGGAAGAUGCACACAACGUGAAUUUCAGAUGAAAGAUUGUCCUGCAAACCUUUAAAACAUCAUAAGCUGGUCAGAGUUUAUAGCUUGAUAUAUCAGUUCACAUUCUGACCUAUGUCUGUCAAUCAUGUGAUUAGCCAGCAGUGCCUUGAAAUGUUAUUAGUCAUAAGUUUUUUGUUCUACUGUAACAAAGAAAGUUGUGGUGCAUAAUAAAGCUAUAACUAACAUAGAUGGAAGAGUCAGUUAGACAAUGAUUACUAAGGUGAUUCAAUAAAUUUUGAAACAAACCCUUUAAUAGGUUGAGGAACAAAACAGCGCUCGAAUUAACAGAUGGCUGCAAGAGAGGACCAAUGACCAAUCCUGGAUGAAUUGUAAUCACGUCAAUGCCAUGAUCCUUUGCAAAUUUCCAUGCAGCAUUCUCGGCCAUGGUUUUUGAAAGUUCAUACCAAGACUAUCAACACCAAAAAAUCAGUAAAUGUUGGUAAGAUGGUAGCAGAAAGUAAUUAGAUUUGUAAACUUUAAGAAGUAACAUUAUAAAUUUAUACAAAUUUGACAAAACCAGCAGCUAACAUCAGUUGGAACUAUUAUUGCUGUAGCUACAGACCACAGAGUGAAAGUAUCCUCAUUUCCUAGGACAAGCUAUGCUCUAAGUGAAUAAGUAGAUUUCUCAAGGAUCCUAGCAAUGGUGUAAACUUUUUAUAUUCAAGGAAUGAUGCAAAGCACCAGAGUGUCGACAUAUCCUGAUCAUCUGAUCUCUUAAUCCACAAGUUAACAGCAAAACUACAAGGGACCUUGACACUUGAACACAUAGAGCCAUAUUCAUGAUAUUAUAGCAGAAGUUCCUUUUCAACUGACCAACCAAAUAUUCUAGGUGUGUAUUCUCAGACAAUAGUAUAGAGUUUGAUAAUGCAAGAGAUGCAUAAUUGAGUAGGAAAACUUUCAUAUUGCUCUUUCCUCGACUAUUCCACACUACAUUAUUAAUUUUUCAUUAAAGUUAAGUUGUUACUUAGAUAGAAGGAAAGAAAGGGACUGACCAUUCUGGUCACAAAAAUAUCCUUCUUUUUGCCUAUUAAAGUACCACCAAGUCAUGAAGAUCCUAACUUAAUUAUCUCCACAGCUGGGCUAACUCCUCAUAUGUGUCCCAAUAACAAGUUAAAACUAAAGAAUUCCAGCAUUCCAUAUUAGAUUUUACUGGAAGAAGACAGAUAAUAUGUGUACCUUUUGCUCCUCACAGUAUGAUGGAUCGGAAAACCAACUUUCAUCAACUACCACAUCCUCCUUUAAUUCUCUGUUUUCUGAAACUGCAACCAUAGAGGAUGUUAUAACUACUCUUUUGACAGAAGAAGAAUUUGCACAUGACCGCAGCACAUUCAGUGUUCCACUUACUGCAGGUUCCAGUAGUUCUGCCUAUGAAAUCAAACCAAGUAAAAAAGGAAGUCAUUACCAGUCAUAGGUAAGACUAUGCUUUUAACCUGCAAAAAACUUAUCAUUCUGGUAUUAUGUUUGAGAAUUUCACCACAAAUGCUGUAAACCUACAGCUUUAGUUACUUAGCUAAAGGAUGCAUAUAGUUGUCUUAUCUCCUCUUGCUGCUAAAAUAAGUUCUCAGGUCCUUUAUUGUUGUUUUUUCCCAUAUUAGUUACUUAAGACCGAUAGAGGAACAACUGAAAUAAGUCUCAGAUGUGGUCACCAAUUAAACCGUUUGGUACCAAAUAUCAACCGAUGAAAUUCUGUUCUGGCUUGAACAGGACAGACAGAAAAUAUAAAAGGUGUAGCUCCCAUGAAUCCUGCGAACAGAUUUUAGCGUGAACACAUAAUGCAUGUUGCAAUUUCUUUUAGUGUCUAUGAGUCAACCUUGUUCAUUGAAAUGACUAAAAUCAAAGUUCUACAAAGUUACUUAAAUAAAAAUCCAUAAACACAAUUUGAGAAACAGACAAUGAUAAGUGUACUGCAUAAAAUUUUAAGGCACAAUCAUUAAUAGAAGUUAAUCAACUUACAAAUGAAGAUACAUAUAAUUUGCAGAUGCUUGAACAUAUAUUGUAGUUUCUAUAAGCUUCUUAUUCAUUCUGGUAUGGGCACGCAAAAGCUAUUGGCUCUACACUGGCUGAAUAAUUAGUUGGUCAAAGCAGGGAUUCAUUUGCUCCAGGACAAGCUUAUAGCUUGCUCUAUAACCUUACCCUGACUGACUUACCCAGGAAAAUAGUUAGUCGGACCCAAUCUACUGCCCAAUUGUGGACCAUUUGCUAUGUUUAUGGCUCUUAAUGUUUUUAUUUCACAACAUUACACCCUUUGAAUUGUUUCUCUGAAGUACCAAUUUCCAGAUCAUUUCAUAGAAACAUCAUGUAUACUGAUUAAAAAGAGACUAAAGCACAUAACACACGACAGUCUUUUUUGUGAAUGACCUGCAGGAACAGAUUAGUUUUGUAUGUACCAAAUGUAAAGAAAUAUUCUUCAGGUGUUUGACCUGAUUGCUACAUUAAUCUCCUCCCUUUGGUUAAUAAAAGAAAACGUAGAGCCAUAGAAUUGGAAACAUGGUUCGCCAUCGCGGGUCGCGGUCGCGUCACGGUCUCAGUUGUUCCACAUCCGUCGCGAUAUAUCGGUUGAAUAUCGGGUGAUACGAACAAUAUAACACAUUAAAGUUUUCAAAAAUUUUGAAAAAAUUACUAAAAUUAGAAAAUACUAAAAAAGACACAAUUUAAAAAAAUAUCGGAGUCGACUCCGAGUUGACUCGGAUAUAUCGGCCGAUAUCAUGCAUCACGAAUUCGAAUCGAUCAAUAUCGGCCGAGUCAGAGCGAGUCAUCGCGGAUAUGGUGAUAUCCGCGAUUCGGGGAUCGGUAUCGUAUCGGUCUCUUCUGUUCCAGAUACGACUCGGCCGAUACGUAUCGGUAUCGGCCGAUAUGGCGAACCAUGAUUGGAAACAUUUGAGUCUAACUCUUUUUUUUUUUGCCUUUACAGUUAUAACCUUGUCAUAAAUCACAUAUAGAGGAGUAGACUAUCACCCAAAAAAGCCAGUAAAAAUGCAACAGAGGAAGAUACUAAAAGAAGUCGCACAAUUAUAAAUCAGAAAGUAUGCUACGAUUUUCAAACUUCAAGAGAUAAAUAGCAGAUUUUGUAGACAGUAGAGAAUUUCCAAUCUUGUAAAGCAAAUGUACCUCUGGAUUGCUGAAUGAAAGUUUGAUUGGAGAUGCAGUAUGGAAAACCCCUUCACAUCCCUCGACUAUUGCAUCAAACGAUCCCUCUUCUAGUAAGUUUGCCGAGUACAACUGAAGCCUUUCCUUAGCUCCAUCAAGUGAUGUCAAAUGUUGUGUCCUUUCCGGAUCAUCUGUGUCAUGAUUGCAUCAGUAGAAUGUUCAGACAGCUAUAGUCAAAACCAUGCCGCCUUGGUAAAGUGUACUAUGUUUUCACUAUGGCGCAACUCAAGAAGCAAUGGACUUAGAGCAAUAAUAAACGAACCUCAAAGCAAUGAUAAAUUUGACUAGCUAAAGGCAAGCGGGGAAAAACGAAAAGAAAUUGACGGGCAACAUAAUAUGACCACAAUAAUAUCAUAGCCCUAUGAUUUCUGGUUUUAAGAUGUGUACAUUUGUAACUUUCUUGAUAACAAUUAAUUCUUGAGAUAAUUAUCAGAGGGACAAUUGUAUGCCAUCUACCACUAUUUUUAUAACAAACUCAGUCCUUCAGAAGAAGGAUAUAGAUUCGAUAGGCUAAAGAUUUUUUAGUGUAACUUGAUCGUUGUAUCUGGAGCAUGAAACAUUACUGUUAAGGUAUACAUUAUAUAGUUUCAGCUACUCAAAUAUCAAUUAGGUUGGUCCACAUCAAUUUUUUUUUUUUGCAUGUGAUUUUCUUUUGAGCAAACAGAACAUGGGGAGCAUUUAGCCGUUGCAAGAAUAUCAUCUGGAGCUACAAAACAAUUUCACACUGCAGAGUUGAAUAAAAAUGUUGGGCAAAUUACAUAUAAUCCUCCUGUGGCUUUGUUUGUUGCCACAUGACCCUUCUAACAUUUUAAAAUAUCCAAUUCACCCACUAUGAUUUUAUGUAAAGCGGAAACUUGAUGGAGAAUAGCCUAUAUAAUGUCGUUAAUUGAAAUACCAUUAGUACUUUUACUUAAAUGCUAAAUCGACAAUUUAAUUACCUUCUAUAAAAGUAUAAGUGGAUUAUAUGGAUAAAUAUAAAAAUCACAGGAGGGAUAAAGUGGACAAUUAUAUAUAAGAGAAUUACAUUGAAAUUAAGACUUUAUCACACGCUUUUAGAGCGCGUUUGGUAUAAAUGCCGUAACUAAUUGUGCAUUCCAUCAUUUUCCGCUUUACAUAUAACUAUGGGGGUAUGUGGCUAUUUUGAAAUCUUAGGGGACCAACUAGCAUUAUAUAAAAUCACCCUAAAAUAUAGUUAUAAGUAAUUUACCCUAAAAUGUUAGAUUCCAGGAGCAAUUAAACAACAAUCAGAACAGGGCAUCAAAAACUGCACAAGCCACUAAGAUAGUUGAUCAAGAACAAAAACUGGACUUACAGGCAUCUCGAACUGAACCUUUAACAGUAUAACCGCGCUCGAGCAGCAGCUUCACCAGCCAUGAAGCUAUGUAACCCGAAGCUCCGGUCACACACACCAUUUUCCCUUCUCCUGCUCCACUCAUUUUGUUAAUAUUUUUGUGUGUGAACCUGUCACCUGUUUGCCUUACUUCUGGACUUAAUGGAGGGAGGCAUAUAUGGUGUAUAUAUAGCUAUGGUGAAGAAGACGAAAGAUUGGAUAUGAGAUUACUGGGAGACUGGGGAGAUCCAUAUGUAUUCUUGCAAUUUGCAUGCAUCAUCGCUGACAUACGUAUGGUAUAAUCGCGUCACAUCCCAUUUUAUCAAGGUCAAUUGAUCAGUGUAAAAUAGAAAUGAACAAUAAAUACAAUGGUAAAUUACCUUCUACACCCUAUGGUUUGAUGUUUUAUCACAUAACUCCCUAUAAUUUAAAAACCUAUAUAUGACCCUUUCGUAGUUUGGGUUAUUGUGUCACUUUAGCUUGUUCUGUUAAAACUAACGGUCAAUAGUAAAAAGUCAAAUUCAAACUACUAAAUUGACAAAUUCACCAUUUCACUACUUUUUUUUUCUUGUUUUCCUUUUCUUUCUUUCCUUUUUUUUUCUUGGAAAGAGAAGAGAUGACUUUGAAAACUUGUAUUUUGGCUUACAAAACCUUAAUUGUUUCCAAAUACAAAAGAGACAGAAGGGAAAUAAAAAUAAAUCAACAAGAAACAAAAAAUAUGGAAGGUAAAGAUAUAACAAAUAAAUAAGAAACAAAAAAACACCAAAUCUUUUUUACUAUGAAUAUCAUUAUAGGUUUUUAAACCAAAUCUUUAAUAGUAUUUUCUAGUUCUUAUUUAUCUAUUUUUUAUUCCAAUUUCUUCUUUUUGAUGUUUGGAGGAAAAAAAAAAACAAGUAAUGAAGGGAUAAAUUUGUCAAUUUAUUAGUUUGACUUUUUAAUAUUAACUGUUAGUUUUGACGAAAAAACUAAUAAUGACACAUUAACUCAAAUCAUGAGGGGGUUAUAUAUAGUUUUUAAACUAUGGGGGUUAUGUGAGAAAAUACCAAACUAUAGAGGUUAAAAUGCAAUUUAGCCUAAAUCCAAAAUUUGGCGGUUGCAUAUGAAAAAAUAACAAGGUUCUUGACUUUGCUCAAUACAAUUCCAAGUCUAGAGACACAAUUUUUAAAUUCACUACCAGGAUAAACCAUUCUCCUUUUUUUUUUCCAUUUUUUCGGGUUAAAAAGUACAAACUACUUGAACUAGAAACUAGUCCUGACAAAGUUUGUGGGUUUUUUGCAAGAGUUUUAGUUAAAUAUUGGUUACUUCGCCUAAUUUGCACCUAUUUUAUCAUGUAAAUGCAUGCACACUUUUAAAAAAUAAUGCAUGCACUUAUAUUAUUGCCUUUCUUACAUUUAAAUACUUUUUUCAAUUUAAUUUUACUUUUCUGGCAAAACUAAAUCUGAAGCCCAUUUCAAGAAAUAUCCACCGAAUACCAGGUCAACAAACCCCCUUCGUAAUAAAGAACGAAAAGGACCGCAGCGGUCUUUAACUUUUUUUUUUCUGACAUUUUCUUACUGAAGUAAGAAAACUGGUCCACACCCUUGAACACGCAGCGGUCUUUAACACGCAGCGGUCUUUUUGCAUCUAAGAAAGCUUUUGAUUGGCUAGAAAUCCUUCUCUGAUUGAGAAAUGGGAAUUGACUUGAUGAUGGCAACUCCAUUUAGAAAACUGGUCCACACCCUUGAAUGUGGUUUAAAUUUAAUAACACCAUUUCAUCAUUUCUGACGACUGCUUCUUCUAUAUCCUAGCUCACUGCACACGCCAGUCGUGUGAAACUUGGCAAAAGAGUUGCACCCUCCGUCCUAAAAUUGUCUGUCGCAUUUCGAGAUCCAACUUUUUAAAAAUAGCAUGAUGAUGAUAUUUGUAGAUUUGUUUUAAAAAUUGUCAUCAAAAAUUCAAAUUUUAAAUUGAAUUUAGUAUGAAAUAUAGAUAAAGAUUGGAAUAACAUUGAAAAAAAGAGAUGAAAAGUUAUUUUGAUUUUGAUAAGAUGAUAAAUAUUUUAGAACGUUUCAAAAUAAAAAAAAUAUAUGACAUUUUCAAUGAAACAAAAGGAUGGAGAGAAUAUAUAUAAGAUACUGAAAACUAGCAUCCAUCAGAAGCAGUCAAAUCAAAGCCAACAUAUUACUUGUAGUUUGGGUAGCCCAAAAAUUUAGCAAAAUAAAUUAGGAAAUCAAGUGCGAUAGAGAGCUCACUGCACACGCCAGUCGUGUGAAACUUGGCAAAAGAGUUACACCUCCAUCCUAAAAUUGUUUGUCGUAUUUCGAAACCCAACUUUUUAAAAAUAGCAGCUUGAUGAUGAUAUUUGUAGAUUUGUCUUAAAAAUUGUCAUCAAAAAUUCAAAUUUUAAAUUGAAUUUAGUAUGAAAUAUAGAUAAAGAUUGGAAUAACAUUGAAAAAAAGAGAUGAAAAGUUAUUUUGAUUUUGAUAAGAUGAUAAAUAUUUUAGAACGUUUCAAAAUAAAAAAAAUAUAUGACAUUUUCAAUGAAACUAGGAGAGAAUAUAUAUAAGAUACUGUAGUUUGGGCAGUCAAAUAGCCAACAUAAAUUAGUAGCAGAAACCAAGUGCGAUAGAGAGCUCACUGCACACGCCAGUCGUGUGAAACUUGGCAAAAGAGUUACACCUCCAUCCUAAAAUUGUUUGUUAUUUCGAAACCCAACUUUUUAAAAAUAGCAGCUUGAUGAUGAUAUUUGUAGAUUUAAAAAUUGUCAUCAAAAAUUCAAAUUUUAAAUUGAAUUUAGUAUGAAAUAUAGAUAAAGAUUGGAAUAACAUUGAAAAAAAGAGAUUCACGUUUCAAAAUAAAAAAAAUAUAUGACAUUCAAUGAAACUGAUACUGAAAACUAGCAUCCAUCAGAAGCAGUUCAAAGCCAACAUAUUACUUGUAGUUUGGGUAGCCCAAAAAUUUAGCAAAAUAAAUCAAGUGCGAUAGAGAGCUCACUGCACACGCCAGUCGUGUGAAACUUGGCAAAAGAGUUACACCUCCAUCCUAAAAUUGUUUGUCGUAUUUCGAAACCCAACUUUUUAAAAAUAGCAGCUUGAUGAUGAUAUUUGUAGAUUUGUCUUAAAAAUUGUCAUCAAAAAUUCAAAUUUUAAAUUGAAUUUAGUAUGAAAUAUAGAUAAAGAUUGGAAUAACAUUGAAAAAAAGAGAUUCAAAGUUAUUUUGAUUUUGAUAAGAUGAUAAAUAUUUUAGAACGUUUCAAAAUAAAAAAAAUAUAUGACAUUUUCAAUGAAACAAAAGGAUGGAGAGAAUAUAUAUAAGAUACUGAAAACUAGCAUCCAUCAGAAGCAGUCAAAUCAAAGCCAACAUAUUACUUGUAGUUUGGUUAUAACAAUAUCUCAGCUUGCUGGUAGCCCAAAAAUUUAGCAAAAUAAAUUAGGAAACCAAGUGCGAUAGAGCAUAUUUCACCCAAAUAUAUUAAAAGUGAAAAAGAUUUAUUUUUAUUUAGUCAAUGUGAUUUUUUGCGUCCACAUGCCCAUAAAGCUCAAGGACCAAAAAGCCAAACAUACGAAGUGAAAAUGUGAAGAGCAAUAAUUUGAAUGCAAAUAAAAAAACGGGUAGAUGGAUAGAAAACCAUGUCGAAGGUCUCUUCUCUUUUGAGUACGUAAGUGGCAGCAAUCAAUUCCCAAAGAGUGGGCUCUGGAGUUGUUAGUUACGUUGAAAAAUCAUGAAGCAGAGUUGUUCGAGAUGUUAUCUUGGGCUAUUUGGCUUGGGAGGAACCAAAAGCUGCAUGAAGAUAAACGAGUGGACCCUUUGAGUUUAGUUAGCUUUGCUUCGGGUGCGCUCCAACAAUUCCAAGAAGCUAAUGUUACUCAGAAAUGUCCAUCCUUAUCAAAUCAAUCUCACUUGUGGCAACCUCCAGGCGAUGGCAAGUUAAGGUUUAAUUUUGACGGUGUGGUGUUUAAGGAAACUCAAUCUAUUGGUUUAGAUGACGGUGCGGUGUUGAUUUAUCUAGUUUAGGCCCUCCAAUUGUGGACGUCACGAGGGACUUAACUAGUUUAGAGACGUCUAGUAUUUGAGGGAUGAGUAGGAAUCACAAUAAAAUCACUCAUAUAUUAGCUAAGAUCGCAAAAUUCAUAUGUGAUCAUGUCUUUUGGUGGAGAGAUCCUCCAGAGUUUGUUGUGCCAUUUCUAAUGGCGGAUUUGUUAGAAAGUUAAUGAAAGUUCAAUGUUAUAUAUAUAUAUAUAUAUAUAUAUAUAUAUAUAUAUAUAAGCAUAAAAAACAAGUUAUGUUGAGUAAGACGUUGGAUUGAAAAUUUAAGAUUUUUGGACUGAAAGUUCAAGAUUUUAUGAUGAAAAUAAAAGAUCACACUAAACUUAAUGGAUUUAGAUCUUAAUAUGUGCAAAUGCGUUUGAUAACUAAAAAUUGGGCAUCUGAAUUAAUUAAGUGCCACUGCAUUUUCUAAACAAAAAUUGCUCUAAAAAAAUAAGUGAUAAACUACGCAUUUAUUACUGAAUGUGAUAUACACUUAAAUAUACUUGAUCUAAUACUUAACAAUCUAAUAAUUUAAUGGAUUCAGAUUUUAGAUUUCAAUUUUAUCAAAGUACCCUAAAAAUAUAGACUAUAGAUAAAAUAACUGCAGAUCAUGAUUUAUGUUGAGUAAGCUUUCAAAGCUGCGUUUGCCAAAACAAACUUUAGAGAAUCAUUCUGUAAUUUUUGCUUUCACUCUAGAAGAUGCAUACAAUAAUGGGUGUAUACAAAAAUGGAAGUUAAAUUGAUAACACUAAGCUCGCCAAUUCUCAUAAAAAAAAAUGAUGACAUUGCCUGCAUUAAUUCUAGUAACGGACUGAAGACAAUAAUUAAUAGGUGACUAUAUGGUGCCUAAGGCACACAAUAAAAUGUGGACUUGGUACCAUUAUUUAUUUUUGUGAAAAGGGUAAACCUGUUUUGUAAGGUGUCGCAAUUCAUCAUCAUGAAAUGAGUGGUAAUUUAAAAGCAUUAAUAGUGAAUUCACCUUCAUUUUUAACGUUCAUAUCGGAAAGCCUAUUAAAAAAUUUCCACCAGCACAAAUUCCACUUUUAAUAGGUUCAAAAAUUCACUCACAAAUUAAUCCACAAAUCCCAUUAACAAAAAAAAAUAGAAAAAGCAGAAAGUUCUCAACGGAACUUCUAUACUGCGUUGAUGCACCGUACGUUGAUUCUGACAAAUGCUCUGCACUUCAUCUGCAGAUGUGACACGUGUUGGUUGGAGAUUACUAGAUGGGAGUGGGGUGCAAAGGUGGUAUUUUAGUAGUGGGUUUAAGCCCAAAAACCACCGGUAACAAUGGUAUUGACCCAAUUUCUAGUGGAAUUGACCCACAUAAAUUGUGAAAGAUUAUUUUCUCAGUCAUUUAAGGCAAUUUCUGAACAAGAUUUAGGCCUAUAAUAAAGAAAUUAAAGAAAUUAUCAACCCCAACCCCCAAUAUGCUAAUAUGCAAUUGGAAAAAAUUAAAUGAAUAUUUACUUGAAGUAAAGAAACGGAUACCAAUCGGUAGAAAGUGUUUAUAACAUACUCUGAAAUGCCAAAGGACUUCCCAAAAAGUGAGAAGCAGGACAACAUCUGAAAUAGGGUCCAAGUUUGAAGUACUUUAUGUCAAACAUAUUUCAAUAUAGAAAAAAAAAAUUUACCGGUUAGCAGAUGUUUGUGCGCACUAUUUGUUGAUUGGGAGACGGUUCUAAGGAGGCGGUUUUGCAACAAAUAAGUAAACGGGGUGUCGAUUACUUGGAGUUGUAUCUUAUGUUGGAAAAAUAAUUAGAUAUGUCAGUUAAGAAAUAUUUCAAUUUAAAUAAAGUUAGUUAGGAACUAGAACUCGUAACAUGGUUGGAUAUGGUUAGUGAAUAAGAUAUGAAUGUUGGGGGAUACAAUACAACUAGAAUUACUAAGACAAAUUAAGCUUGACACUUUGAAUUCAAAUUUUACUAACAUUGCAUAAUAACACCUUUGACUGAUAAUUUUUUUUGAUAGAAAAACUGGAAAAUUUUUAUUAAGAAGAGGAUAGAUCCGUAUUAAUUGCGAAAGAAAGAAAAAUUGGUGGAGAAAAUCUCCAACUAUAAAUACCUAAAAUAGAACUAGCAUUACUAUCUAAGAAAUGAGUAGGCACAAUUAGAUUCCUAGAAAUCCAAUCAGCCUCCCAAGUGAUGAAAUUCUGUAAACUAAAAAAGAUAUCAUCUAAUAGCAUUCCAUAAGCUAAAUCAUCGGAUUCUAUAUUUUUAAGCAUGUUGAUGAUCUUCAAAGAGUCACCCUCUAAAACAAUCUUAGGAACCUUCAACUGAAGUAACGAGGAAAUUGCAGAUAUUGCAACAUAGGUUUCAAUUACUUUAGGAGAAAAGAUACCUAAGAUUUUGUGAAAAAUACUAGUAACAAAUUUGUCCCAUUCAUUCCUCACAACAAUUCCAACUCUAAAGUUGUCGUCUUCAUAGAAUAUUGCACCAUCGAAGUUUGCCUUUAGAAAUCUUGCAGAGGGCUUUAUCCAAUGAAGUUGAGCAGUGGAAGAGCAUAUUGGAAUGUUUGGAAAUGUGUUUAUUUCAUGGUAUUUCUAUAAGAAAAUGAUAGAGAGGGAGAGACCAAACUGAGAGGAUCACGAGAGGAACCAUCAAAUAAUGCAUCAUUUCGGUUAAACCAUAGAUUCCAAAGAAUUAUGGCUACCAAUUCCAUGUCCUGCUUUUUCAAAAGAUGAAGAAGGCCAGACAACCAAGACGAAAUUUGAUCGGUAGAGUCUAAUCUUAUCUUUAGUGUAAGAAAGCUAAGGGCCCAAGGUUGAAUUGCUACUGGACAGCACAAGAAAAGAUGAUUAACAUCAUCAAUAGGGGCCUUACAUAAAGAACAAGUAGGAUCAAAAUAGACUCCACGACUGUUCAACUUGGAAGUUAUAAGUAGAAUGUCUUUGCAAAUUCACCACAAGAAUAUUUUAACUUUACUUGGUAUGUUGAGUUUCCACAAGCAGGGCCAAAUAUCAUCCAUAGAACCAUUACUACAUGAAGCUACAUCUUGUCAAUUUGUAGAUUAUAUUUUGAUAAGAUGAUAGGCAAUUUUCACUGUGAAGGAGCCAUUUUUAGAAUAGUGCCAAAUGAGCUUUUCUUGAUUUCGUCUAUCACCCAAUGGAAUACUCAUAAUCAACUCGAUCACAUCUAAGGAUAGCAACGGGGGCGGUGCCCGCGGGGGGCUAUUAGGGCAGAGGUUGGGGCGGGGGGUGGGGGGAAUUUUUCCCCCCAUUUAGAAACGGGGCAGGGGGCCCACCCGUUUGGAAAAAAAAGAGAGAUAUAUAUAUAUGUACAUAAUUAUAUAUCUAAUGAUAUUAUCAAUUAUACAUGUCUAUUAAUAAAAAUUAUUAAUUAUUUAUACUAAAUUUAUUAAUACAUUUAUAUUAAAUUCCUAACUACACUUAAUACAAUAACACUUUUUUCUAAAAAAAAACACAAUAAUAAUUUAGUGAUUGUAUUUGUAUCAAAAGUAAAAAUAAUUAUUUUAGUUAUAUUGGUUUUAUCAUAUUAGAUUGUAUUCAAAUAACUUUUGUUUAAUUAUUUUUAUGAGUUUCAAUUGUAAAGUUACAAUGAAUAAUAAUUUGGUAAUGUGUUGAUAUUUUAGUACUUGAUUACUUGCUCAAAUUUAAUUAUAAUGAAAUUAUAUAAUAAUUAUUUUAACCCCGUGGGGGAAGCGGGGCGGGGGCGGAGGACGGGACGGGGACGGGGGGAAUUAAUAGGCAACGGGGCGGGGGUGGGGGAGGGGUCACCCCUAAUCACAUCCUGCCAAAAAAGCUCUUGAAGCAAAUCAUAUUUCCAUUUCCUGCUAUUUUCAUCAAUUAAACAAUCUAUAGUGGAGAUUUCUAGUAGCACAUCAAAACGAGAUAUAAUUUUGAAAUUAGAAAGACGUGGAGUCCACCUAUCUUUCCAAAUUUUGAUAUGAUUCCCGUUUCCAUCUCACCAUCUACUACCAAAAACACCUUUGAUUGAUAACUAAAUAGUUAAAAAAAUAUAUCUACUUAUUUUGUUUACUCAACAGUUAUGUGAACUAAAACAUAAAAAAAGAAGGUCAAUUAUUAUAUUAGUGUUAUAUUUGUAAUAUUAGUUCCCUAUAUAGUAGGUUGCCGAGUUGGGCAUAUUUAUAUUCUACCAAGUAAAUGCCCUAUCUUUUCGAAACGUGGCAAAAAAUUUGUGUUUGUUUUUUUGGUAGAUUUCAUUCUUUUUCUUUUUUGGUAACAAUUAAUUUACUAUUCAUUUUCACUUCAUUAUUUAUAGUAAAUUUCAAUCAAUCAUCAAUUACUUACCCUAUAUGCAUUUCUAUUAAUUAUACCUUUAUUUUUUUCAAUCAACUUAUAGCUUUCCUUUUUAAUUAGGCACUCGUUAAUAUAUAUAUUAGGUGUUAAAUUUUUAGAAAUAUAAGAUGAAUUAGGGAAAGCAUAUAAAUGUAAGGGAAUUAAUUAGAAAAAUAUAUAAAUAAAAGAAAAAGUAGUAAUUGUUACGUAUAUACAUGGCAGGUUAGAUGGAAUGCAGGUGUGUUAACGAUUACCCAUAGGUCACCCAUUAGAAAUACUCAUCAAAAUUUGGAUUAAUUUUUUUUUCCUUUCAUUGCAAUCAUUACUACCAUUUUUCCUAUUAUUUAUUACUAUACCUUCAUGUUUCUAAAUACCAAUAAAUGUAUUACUCUCUUACUUUUUAUUUGAUUGUGCUAAUUAUAGCUUUCCUUUUACUUAAUCAAUUAGUCAAUCGAUCAAUCAACCCAUGAUUUUAAUUCUCUUUUCAAUCACACGAUCUUUCUUUUAUCCAUCAUUAGGGAGAUUUACAAUUAGUCACAUAUUUGUUAUGUGUACAAUAAUUAUGCAAUCAUAAGCACAAACUAAUGCAAUUUUAAUAAUUUUGCAUAUAUGCAUUCAUAUUGUAUUGCAACACCUUUAAUAAUUCAUUAUAUGGUUAGAAAAGCCAAAAAAAAUCGAGUAUUACCUAGACCUUAGAUAGUCCCCAAUGUAUACACUGAUACUGUAUGAAAUGAUUUAAAACCCGUUAAUAUAUAUACUGAUUGCAUAUGAAGAUUCAUCCCUAGUUUAGACCUCUUAGAUAGUUUGCAAGCAUUAUAUUCCCUUUUUUUAAUUUCUUAUUUAGUUUACCUUAUUACCAUUUAUGAUUUUUUUUUUAAUUUAAGCAACAUCUUCCAAUAUUUUAUCACCAUUUUAAGUUAGUUCAUUUUUAGGAGAUAGUAGUAUAAGUGUGGUAGUUUGUCCAAAUAACUUUGAAUACGCAUAUACAACCCAAAAACAAAAUGAUAGCUGUUUAUAUUCUUAUCACUCAACGAUGAUAGUGUUAUGUAAUUUAAAUGAUUGAGAUCUAUCGCCAUCCAAAUAUAAAUUUAAUAUGAGGGUAUGAUAACUAAAAAUGACUAUAGAAUCCCCCUAAAUACUAAAUAAUGCGAAUAGAGAUAUUCCCUCAAAAACUUGUAAAGUACUUAAUGUGUAUACGGGUAAAUUCUUGCAAUAGUGAAAGGAAAAUAUCUUACUAGCCUUGAAAUUUUGGCCCGUGUACUGACUUUUGUUAGCUAAAUUAAACUAUCUUGGAGUGAAGACAUAAAAUCGGCGGCAAAUAUUGAGAGAAUUGUGAACAUAGCUAACUUAUCUAGCGUACACAUUUUUUUCCGAGUUUGAAUUCUCUCACUUACACUACAAAAAGAAAAAACUAUCAUACAUUUAACUUCCAACUAACAAUGAUGUAUAGGUAAUAAAUUAUAUGCAUGGGAUAUUCCCAUAAAUAAAUGAAAUAUAUUUACACGACAAAGAGUAAAUUCUUAAAUUAAGAAGAAAUAAUAUUAUAGUAGCUGUCAAUUUGUUUAUAUGACUUUUUGGUUUGUCAUUAUUCAUGACAACCAAUUAUGUUAUUUUGAUGUAAACAUAUCCAAAAACGGUUGAAUACAAUGUGGGACAUUAUUAUUAUUACUCGGAUACCUCAAUAUUUAUAAAAUUGAUUAAAUUGGAAUCCAAUUGGAUUCAACAGUAUUUUGAAAAAACUAUUUUUGUUGUUCAAGUCUACAGUGAUAAACUUUAAAAAUAACCUCAAAAAUAAUUUAAAAAUACAACAUAUCUCAAAUACAUUAAAAAAAUAAUUAAAAAAUUUCCCUAAUUCUUCUUCCCCACACUACCCACUACAACCACCACCACUACCCAUCACUGUCCACUACCACCGCCAUCACCCCCACACCCAUGACCCUCCUUCCUCUCUCCUCUCUCUCUCUUUUUCUCCCUUUCUCUCCUCCCUCCUUCCUCUUAUUCUCCUUCUCCUUUCUCCUUCCUCCUCUCCCUUGUCUUUCCUCCCUUCUCCCUUCCCUUUCCCCACCCCCUAAUCCCCCCUUCCCUCUACUGACUGUGGGCUUCUUGGUCGUGACCAGAAAGGUUGCAGCUAGAAGCCGCGACUAGUGGCUUCUGGUUGCAACCAAGAAGGUCACAGCUGAGGUCUCAGAUGGAGUCGCGGUUACCAUCCACGAUUAGGAGAGGGGUUUGAGGGUCGGAAACGAGAGGGACGGGGGAGAAAAGGAGAAGAAAGAGGAGGGAGAAGGAAGAGGAAGGGGAGAAAGAAAGGGAGAAAGAGAGGGAAAAAAGAGGGAGAGACAAGAGAGAGGAGGGAGGGGGUGAUGGCGGUGAGUGGUGGUGGUGGGUGGCGUAAAAUUUUUUAAAAAUACCCCAAAAAAGUUGUAAAUUAUAAAAAUAUCCCAAAAAUGUAUUUUAAAAAGCCCUAAAAAUACUUUUAAAAAACCCCCCAAAAACAUCUAUAAUACAAGUUAUUUAUAUAUAUAGUUACCGUAAAGUUUUUAAAAGAUACCCCAAAAGCAGUUAGUCCAAAUGGAGUCUUGAGUUUUGAGGUUAAGGUGUAAUGAUUGACCACAAUUUAGGUCAAAGUAAAACUUGGCCAAAAGUUUAGUGGGUUAAAAUAUAAUUUUAAAAAUUAAUCAUCUUCCCUGAUCCUCACAGUUGCAAUGGUGAACUGUCAGCCCCUUAGGACGCGUUCUAGAUGGAACGCGCGCAACCGUGGUAGAUUUCGGUCAGUCAUGGUCAAGUUGGAAGGCUGAAGGUGAACUGGUGGGGAAAAACUUGGACAUGUGUUUGAUGAUGUAUUCCAUACCUAUGUAUGGGUUUGGAAAAGUUUCAAGGCUAGGAAAUGUCUCUAAAUUAGUGGGGAAAUGAGGGGUGUCUCUACUAGCGGUCCGAAAUUUUUAGCUAGGACUACUAUAGAGAGGGAUAACUAUAACUAAGCCAAGUCAAUACCAAGGGCUGGGGGCUAAGGCUUUAUGGGUUAUUUCGGAUGGUUCCAAGCAUUUGGAGCCGUGGUGCCUAAGUUGCUAAGUGUUGGGGCAAGUUGGGCACGGAACUAAGCAAAUGGCGAGAAGCUGGGUGCGCGAAACUGUGUGACCAUUGCCUAUGCGCUCCAAAGAUGAACGUUGGGACUGUCUGGCAGUUGCUAGUCGUUUGCUGGAGUUGCGGAUGGUUAUCAGUCAACUCAGACACGUUCUUAUCGGUUUCCUGACUUCAUGUACAUUCGGGUCGGACCAACGGUUGGGUCUUGUCAACUAUAACAAUGCAUAUAAAUAAAUGGCUAGGUAAGGUCUAAAGGUAGAUAGUGAGAAACACCCUUAGAUGUUCUGCACGCCAAAUGUUUGUAGAAUUGUCCUUGUAAUCUCUAUAGUGAAAUACAAGGUUGGCCGUUUGGUUGUAACUUGUGCAUGUUGUUCCUUUGUUUUUGCCUAAGUAUUCUAAGUUGAAUACUUGUAUGCAAGUGUCAAUGUAAGGGCUGACUGGAAGCGCGGCUUAUCAAUGUCAUUACAUGCUUGUUAGGCUAGCAAGCGUAAACACCUCGUAAUAGUUUGGUAUCAAAGCACGGCUUUGAUCUAUUAGACUGUGCUUUUGUUAUGUGUUUUGUUGGUUAAUGAUGGUUGGACACAGGAAUUCUAUUGCAAUGCUAGGAAUGGUUGCAAUGUUAGGAAUUUGCAUUUGAGGACUUGAUGCAGUGUCUGGGAGAUGGCCCAGAAGGCUUCAACGUCAUAGAAGUUCUAUUGCAGACUAGAGAGAUGAUCAACACCCUGACUGCACAGAUGGAUGAAACCAAGCAGACAGUUUCUUUCGUUGGAGAUGUUGAGAUACUAAGGAAUGAAAUGACUUCGUCCCAUACAAAGAUCGUGACUUUACAAUCGAAGAUCAAUGUGUUAAAGAAGGCAGUCGGCUCUUGUAACACACAGACCUUUCAAAAAUCUUCGAAGGGAAAAGUGAAAGUCCUAGAUCCGAAACCGUACCAAGGUAGUAGGAGUUCUAAGUAUUUGGAAAACUUUCUGUGGGAUUGUCGAGUAGUACUUCAAGGCUAUUGACAUUCCUGAAGUAGAAAAGGUAUCAAUUGCAUCAAUGUACCUUAGUGGUGAUGUAAAGUUAUGGUGGAGAACAGUGCAAUCAGAUCUACCAAAUCCAAGAUCGGCACUUGAGAAGUACUGAAGGAGGAAUUGAAGAAACAAUUCCUUCCCACGAAUGUUUCAUGAAAAGUUAGAGGUGUAUUGUGAAACUUGAAGCAGAAUAAGAGCAUACACGAGUACUUACAGAGUUCCAAGCCUUGAUGUUAGAUGUAAGGGAAAUGUCUGAGGAAGACAGACUCUACAUCUUCAUCCAUGGACUUCAACCGUGGGUACAGAUGGAGUUGCAGUGACAAAAUGUUCAGACCGUGUCUCAAUCACUUGCUACUGUCGAGAAGUUGAUAGACUUCAAGUCCAUAGGAUCCAAAAGUGAAAAAAAAAGAAGGGCAAGGAUAAGGCUAAGGGCUCGAAAGGUGGUCAAUUCUCAAAGAAGAAUAAAAAGAAACAGACAGUGACAACGACCGAAACUAGCGGUGUUUCCUCUUCUAAGAAGAAGCAAACAUCCAACCCUAAAAAGGAUGGCUGCUAUACCUGUGGAAGACCACACUUAACUCGCAAUUAUCCAAUAAAAAGGACCAGAACAUUAGUGCCUUGGUGGCAGAAGGCAAUAGUGACCAGUUGGAGGUCCAGGAUGCACGGGUCAACCCCAUGUAAUUCUUGAACGCCAUCACAGAUACUAAUGUCCGUACUCUUUACAAUGGUUUGAUGUAUGUGCAAGUUACAUUGAAUGGUAACCAUAUAUUGGCGAUGGUUGAAACGGGAGCAUCAUAUAGUUCUAUGAUGGAAAAAGUGGUGAGUCGGUUCCGGUUACAGUUGAAAGACUUGGGUUUCAAAAUUGAAGGCCGUAAACUCUAAAAUCAAGCCAGUGCUAGGCAUGGCGACUGUAGAAUUGGAGUUGGGGCCAUGGAAGGGUUGGUGCAAUUUCAUGGCAAGUCAAUGGAUGAUUUUGACUUGAUUCUAGACAAAGAUUUCAUAGUUGCAAAUAGGAUCUAUCCAAUUCCGCACUUGGAUGGCGUCAUGGUGAAUGAUGGCUAGAGUCCAGGCUUUGUUCCUGCAGUAAAGUUGCAGAAACAAAAGAACAAUCAACAAAAGAACAUGGUAUCAACGAUAGAGAUUGAGUCAUAUCUUCUGAGGCGUGGUGAAGUUGUGCAUAUUGCUGCAUUGGUGGAAACCAAACCUAACAUGUACCAGGAAGUACCCAACGCCAUGGCCCAUGUUCUAGAGAAGUUUACAUAUAUCAUGCCUGCAGAGUUUUCGAGAUAGCUUCCUCCAUCCUGUGCUGUGGAACACAAGAUCGAGUAGGUUCCAAGAGCCCAACCACCUACCCAAACUUCUUAUCGCAUGUCCCCGAUAGAGUUGGCUGAGUUGCGAUACCAACUUAAUGAAUUGCUAGAUAGCCAAGCGCUGAGACCGUCAAAGUAUCCGUACAGUACUCCAGUGUUAUUCCAGAAGAAGGCUGACGGAACGCUGAGGUUCUGUGUAGACUAUUGUGCCUUGAAUAAGAUCACGAUAAAAAACAAGUACCCAUCCCAAAUGUGUACAACUUGUUCGACGAGCUAGUGAUGGCACGAUUUUACACUAAAAUUGAUUUGCGGUCUGGGUACUGGCAAGUCUGAAUAGCCCCAGGAGAUGAGGAAAAGACGACGGUAGUGACGUGCUAUAAUUCCUUUGAAUUUCUCGUUAUGCCAUUCAGUUUGACGAAUGCACCUGCUACCUUUUGUGGACUAAUGAAUGAUGUCUUGUACGAUUUUCUUGAUAAGUUUGUCAUAGUGUACUUAGAUGAUAUUAUUGUGUAUUCGAAAUCCUUGAAGGACCACAUAGAUCAGAGGGUAGUAUUCUGCAAGUUGAGGGAAUGCGAACUCCAUGUAAAGCAAGAAAAGUGUGAGUUUUGCAGGGAGCAAAUCAUUUUUCUUGGCCAUGUAUUGAACAAUGGUCGGAUCCAGAUGGAUCACAGAAAGGUUGAGGCGAUCCUUGACUAGCUUGCACCCCAGAAAGUCGCAUAACUAAAGUCAUUCCUUAGUUUGGCCAACUACUACAGGCACUUCAUCCAGGGAUACUCAAAGAUGACCUACUAAAGAAGGAUAGACUGUGGCUGUGAGAUUAUGAGUGCGAAGAUGCAUUCAGAAUGCUGAAGAAAGCGGUUGCUUCUGUGCCAGUGUUGCAACUUUCGAAAGCUUUUGAAGUGCAUACUGAUGCUUCAGAUCGUGCGAUUGGAGGAGUACUUAUGCAGGAGAAGCACCCGAUUGCAUUUGAAACUAAAAAGCUGAAAGAAUGCGAGCAAAGAUAUAGUACGCAUGAGAAAUAAAUGACAGUUGUUGUGCAUUGCCUCAAGAUAUGGAAGCACUAUCUAUUAGGAACCAAGUUUGUGGUGGUGACUAAUAACAUGGACAAUAUUUACUUCAAGACACAGAGAGAGUUGACCCCAAAGCAAGCUCGUUGGCAAGAGUUUCUGGCUGAGUUUGACUUUGACUGGAUUCAUAAGUUAGGAAGGGAGAAUGCAGUGGUCGACGUACUUAGUAGAAAGUAUGUCAAAGAAUACAUUGUUGUGCUUAGUACUGUUGAGACGGACUUCGGGGACAAGAUUAAGUGGGAGUCCCCGAGUGACCCAGUUUAUCAAAACUUGGUGUUCGUGAAGUCAAAGUUCGUCGUUAUUGGCUGGAGGAUGACUUACUCUUUGCCAAUAGUGGUCAAGCAUAUGUUCCAGCAGGAGGGGGACUUAGGCGAAAGUUACUACGAGAGACUCACGAUGCUUCUUGGACUGGUUAUUCUGGAGUUGAACGAAUGCGGGCAUUACUGUCGCGUAGCUUCUAUUGGCCAAAGAUGGAAGAGGAUAUUGAAGCAUACGUGAAAACUUAUCUUGUUUGUCACCAAGACAAGGUGGAGAGGAAGAAGGAGUCAGGCUUGUUGCAGCCUUUGCCAAUCUCUGAUCGACCAUGGCAAUUAGUUUCUAUGGACUUCAUUUCGAGAUUCUCUAAGGUCGAUGGUAUGGCUUUUGUCUUUGUAAUUAUUGACAGAUUUUCUAAGUAUGCUGUGUUUGUUGGUACACCAAAGGAGUGCUCGGUUGAUGUUGUCGUUGAGUUAUUUUCAAACAUGUUAUGAUGUAUUUCGGAUUACCCAAAGAUAUCAUAAGUGACAGGGACAUGAGAUUCAUAGGUAGAUUUUGAACCGUGAUGUUCAGGUUGCUAGGUUUCAAAUUGAAGUUCUCAACUGCCGCAUAUUCUUAGACCGACGGACAAACGGAGACGAUCAAUACCUUGUUAGAAGAACACUUAAGGCAUUACGUGACGACAAGUUAGAAAAAUUGGUUGGAGUUGCUGGAUGCUGCAUAGUUUUACUACAACCUGCACAAGUCAUUCGCAACUAAGUUGAGUCCAUUUGAGUUAAUGAAUAGGCAACAACCUCUGACUCCACCUGAAGUUGCUCUUCAAGAGAUAGUUUGUUGAUGAUACAACAACGCAUGAAGAAGUACGCAAACCAACAUAGAUCGGACUUAGAGUUCCAACUGACUCCCCAGAUUUGAAAGAAAGUAAAUAACAAGACAGUCCAUCGUGGGAUCAUCCCUGAGUACAAUAGACCAUUUAAGGUAAUCAAGAAGGUGGGUCAUAUAGCUUAUCGUUUGAAACCACUUGACAAGCUCAAGAUCCACCUGACCUUCCAUGUGAGUUUUCUGAAACCCUUUUACCAAGACGCGAUGGAUGGAGGACGGAGGCAAGCAAAGUGUGCCCCGCCAGUGAUUCGUAAGAAAUUUCAGAAAGAUGUGAAGGCUGUGCUGGAUUACAGAAUGAUGGGACAAAGAAAAAAGAAUAGAUGGACAAACUAUCUGAUCCAUUGGAACGGUGAAACAAAAUUAGAUGCUACUUGGGAAUGGAAUGUUACCUUGUGACAGUUUCAAGAUAAGAUUGCUGAGUACUUGAAGAACGUGCGAAAGCAAACCAAGUUGACGAGGGUGUCAACCUCUUUAGGUGGGGUGGUUUAUUAGCCCCUUAGGGUGCGGUCCAAACGAAAAGUGCACGACCGUGGCAGAUUUCGGCCAAUCAUGGUCAAGUUGGAAGGCCGAAGAUAAAUGGGUCGAGAAAAGUUUGGACACAUGUUUGAUGAUAUUUUUCAUGCCUAUGUAUGGGUUUGGGAAAGUUUCAGGGAUAGAAGAUGUCUCUAAGUUAGUGGGGGAAUGAGAGGUGUCUCUACUAAUGGUCCGAAGUUUUUAGCCAGGACUACUAUAUAGAGGAAUAACUGUGACUAAGCCAAGUCAAGGCCGGGGGCCAAGGGCGUGGUACGACUAGACUUUGUGGGUUAUUUCAGAUGGUUCCAAGCAUUUGGAACCGUGGUGACAAAGUUGCUAGGUGUUGGAGCAAGUUGGGCACGAAACGUAGCAAAUGGUGGGAAGCUGGGCGCGCGAAAUCGUGCGACCGUUGCCUGUGCUCGGAAAGACGAACGUUGGGACUGUCUGGCAGUUGCUAGCCGUUGUUGAAGUUGCGAAAGGUUACCAGCCAACUCAGACACGUUCUUAUCGAUUUCCUAACUCAUGUACAUUUGGAUUGGACCAAUGGUUGGGUCUUGUCAACCGUAACAAUGCCUAUAAAUAAAUGGCUAGGCAGAGACUAAGGGCAGAUACUAAGAAACAUCCUUAGAUGUUCUGCACGCUAAGUGUUUGUAGAAUUGUCCUUGUAAUCUCUAUUGUGAAAUACAAGGUUGGCCGCUUGGCUUUAACUUGUACGUGUUGUUCCUUUGUUUUGUCUGAGUGUUCUACGUUGAAUACUUGUGCACAAGUAUGAGUGUGAGGGCUGACUGGUAAUGCGACUUACCAGUGCCAUUACGUGCAUGUUUGGCUAUCAAGAGUAAACACCUCGUAACACGAACACUAGUUGCCUAUCUUCAACCACCAUCUAACACUUCUUUUCAAGAUCAAUUUUUGCCCAACACUCAUUUUAUUCGCUUGAGUCAUGAUUAUGGCAUCAUUUUUCUUCAGUUUAAACCCUUUGACGAUACAAAAAUAAGGUCAUAAUUGAAAUUCUGAUUCGAAAAUUUGAAACUUUCGGGAUUGCCUUCUGCUAUGGGCUUUUCUCAAACUCGAUCAUAUGCCCAAACAAAUUCAUCAACCAACACUCACUUUGCCUUUGGGGCAUCUAAUUAACCCCUUUAAAACAAUUUUGAAGACACCUGAAACUAGGGUUGGGCAAAAAUACCUGUUAAUCCAAAAAUCUGCCACAUCCGAUUCGAUUCGAUUCAACAAAUAGGGUUCCGGUGUGUAUUAUUUGAUCGAGUCAAAAGAAAGUUGGAUAAUUACUUGUAUGCGGUGUUAGUUGGAGUCACCUGAUUAAGAAUCCGUGGGAACCCGAUUCUUCCCACAUAUAUAUUUUUUAUUUUUACACACAUAUUACAAAAUAAUACUUUUGGAGGUAAAUAAGUAAUUUCAUUAAACAAAAUACAUUAUAAAUAUGAAAAAUUAAAGUUUAUUUAUAAGAUUCAUUUAUAGAUGUCAUGAUUUCUUUUUUUUUUUAAGGAAACAGUUUAAUUAAUGUAGAACAUAUAUUUGGAAAGAGGUAUUAUUUAUUUGAAUUUUCAUUGAUUUUGAAUUCUUUUAAUUUUCUUUUCUCGUAUUCUCUUUGCAUGUUCAUUUUUUUAUUGAGAAAAAAUCUUUAUUAAGUUUUAGAUGAAUAUUCAAAAUACAAAAUUAAAUUACUAUAAAUUAUUUUUAAAAAAAAUUAAAUGAUAACCAGCGUGAUGCAGAUAUCUGUUGACUCAACCCUACUUUAAUGGAAACCCACUCAUAUACGGGAUGGUUAAAGAUCAGAAGAUAGCUGUCUUGCAAGGUACGGGUCUAGUCAGCCAAAUGAAGCAUAGAAUGAGUACUACUUGACCUGUACCCACCCCUACCCAAAACAAAUCUUAAUAAUCAUAAAAUAGCAACUUGAACUUGCAAAAUCCAAUUUUCAAUUUUCUCCUCAAAAUUUAGCAUCAAAUUUUACAAAAAUUACACAAAAACAAUCCAAUCAACAAAUAAAUACUCAAGCACUGAAUUGACAUUACACUGUAUUUGUGCAGCACCGAAUUGACAUUAUUUGACUUGUAUGUAUGGCAAAAUAAAGGAACUAUGAAUAGGAUGGGGAGGAGGGAGAAGGAUGCUGAGAGUAAGGGAGGAGAUGAAUCGGAAAAUUUAGAUAUUUUUUUUUAAUUUUCUAUAUUUUCUAUUAACCUGAUUUAUAGGUAACUAGAGCUGUUAAUCGAACCGGGUAGCUCGCGAGCCGAGCUCGACCCAGCUCGAUAAGGGCUCGGCUCGGCUUGUUUACAGAGAGAAACGAUCCGAGCUCGAACUUUACUCAAUAUUCGUUUAAUACACGAGCCGAGCUAUGCUCGGUAGGUUCGAAGAGUAGGGGCAUUAACGUCAUUUCAUUGUGUAUGUGGUACGCUAACCUAAGUCAUUCUCUCGUUUGUAGCCCUAAUUUUUCUUUCCUCUUUUGGUCUUAUUUUCUCCCGUUCCACAGCCGUAGCCACAGUCGCACACCCACACCCUCCAUUUUCACCACCGUCACCGACUCACCAUUCACCAAUUCAUCCAUUAUCUCACCUCCAUCAGGACCAUCAUCUAUCCGUCCACUAUCUCACCACCAGGCGCAAUCCCUAAUUUUUUCUUUCCUCUUUCGAUCUUUCAUUUUCCCGUUCCACAGCCGCAGCCGCACCCUCCAUUCUCACCACCGUCACUGACUCACCAAUCCAUUCAUCUCACCUCCAUCACCAAUCCGUCCACCAUCUCACCACCAUCAUUCAAUCCACUUCUCGUGAAUCCGUGAGCAACGCCAUACGGAGCCACCUCGGUAAAGCCAGGGGCUUCUACCAUAUCCCGAUUCGCUGCAUAAUCUGGUAACCAUUUCUUCUCAAUUUUUGCAAUUUAUUUUGGUUUUAAGAGGUUGUGUGGAUUUUGGUUAAUGGUGGAUAGCCCCGUAUCCCGUAUGGCUUCCCCGUAUCCUGUUGGCUUCUUGUGUUUUAUCUCUGUGUUUUAUCCCGAAUUUCACCUGCACGGAUUGCUUAGGGACCGCUUAGUGGAUUUUUGGCUUCAAAUAGCAUGUCUUUUACCAGUUAAAUAGCCUUUUUUUUACCCAUUGUUCUGGAUUGUUGCAUAAGUGUCAAAUUUCGCCUGAAAUGCUCACAUAUUCUUUUAUGCGAUUACGUGCAUCACUACUGCGUUACCUUCCUUCGACACUUGAAGCGGGGUUUGAUGUUUCAUUUCGUUCAGACCAUGGAAUAGUUGCUGCGAUUAAACUUGUGUCUCUAAGAAAAUAAAGAAGGAAACAUCACUUUUUGUCUCUGUGCUCUUUGAUUUCUACAUUUUCUAAUCCAUGUUAUAGAACUGACUGUUGAUGAUACCAAACAUUUUGUUAAAAGAAAGCCAAAGUAUUCAAUUCCCAUACAUUUAACUCUUCCUGGUUAAAAUGUAACUUUCUCUAUUGAUGUCCAUAAAUUUCCUCGAAAGAGCUUGCGAAUUGCAAAAGUUUCCACCAGUCGUCUUAAAAUGGCAUUCUAAACCGUCUGCUAUGAUACUUCUGAUAAGUACCAUGGUUGUUAAAAUUGCGAUCCGGAUCGUAGGAUCGUACGAUCCUACGAUCUGGAAAGGCAAAAUCGAUCCGGAUCGCACUUAGAAUCGCAAACUCCUUGAAUCUACGUAGGAUCAAGGUAGGAUCGGUAGGAUCGCAUAGGAUCGUACGAUCCUACGAUCCUACUUCGAUCCCACAAAAAAGGGCUAAUUUGUGAAAUACAAGGUUCAUUUUGCAAGUAAAAAUCAACAUUUGGGGUAGGCUUGUAGUUUAUCAAGAAAUUGCAGGCCUUAGUUGCAAUGUUUUAACAAAUUUUGCCUCAAAGUCAAAAGGUUCCGUCAAAAAGCUUCGGUCUUCUUCAUCUUCUCCUCAAGCAGACCUUUGUCAUUUCUCUUCUCCUCUCCGCUGCCCAAAUCAAAUCCCUAAUUUAAACCAUCAAACCAUCUCAAGCUUCGGCUACAGCUCUUACCAAGACCAAGUACUAACAAGACAAAUUGCUGCGGCUUCUACCAAGAACCCACAAGCUACAGCCGACAGCUUCAAGGCUUCAAGCUUUAAAGCUUCAAGCUCCAGCAGCCAUUGCUUCGGUAAGAAUAUCAAGCUACGAAAUCCUCUGUUGCCGCUGGAUUUUGGCCGUUUCAAGCUUCAAAGCUUGAAGCUCCAGCACCCGUUCUUCUCCAAUUUUCGUGCUGCCAGCCUGCCACCACACUGAAGCUCAAGCACCAGCACUUCAAUUAAAGUCAUAUGUGAGUGUGGUUAUUUUCUUGCUUAAAAAUUGAUACUUGGGGAGAUAGUGAUUGAUAAAGUUGUGAUUUGUAUUUGGUUUUCUUGGUAUUUGAACAUAUAUUGCUUUUGAUUGAAUUGAGUUGAAGUUGAAGGGAAUUAUUGACGGGUCCAUUAGGAUUUGUGAAAUUUUGGUUUUCUUGCUUGAAAAUUAUUGACGGUUCUGAAGCACCAGCACUUUGUCUUAGGAUUUGUGCUCUCAGAAUCAUUAACGGGUCCAUUAGGUACACUUUUUUUUGCCUUCUCCAUAGGAAGCUCUGAUAAUCGAGACUCUGCUACCACAUAAAUCUUCCCAUUGAACUUGUUGAAGAAAUCAAAGUUAGGAGUAUUAUUAUUUUGUAAUAAUGAAUUAAUGAGAACUCAUAAAAUUAUUUAAUAUAACAUCGUUUAAAUCUUCCCAUUUUGUCAUGCAUUUUGCAGCAGUUGGACAGUUGAUUUUUCAACUGUUAUCUUUACAGUAAAACAUGUCAGUUGAUAAUUUUUCUUUCUGUUACAUGACUCCUUAAUAAUCUGUUUUCACAGGAUUGUUUUUCUGUUCUACUCUAGUCCAGGUUAUUCCUUUGACUAAGCUAUAUUAAGUUGUGAUCCCAAAGAUGCUUCAUGUACUAUAAGAACUCUGUACUGAUCUAGACAUCAGUACAGGGUAUGAAGGAUCACUAAGGACACAUAAAAGAAUUCCCUUUUCUGGUAGGACGCAUAGCAAAGUUUUAUUUUCCAGAAAAAUUCACACAAAUACAAAUGUUUGCUGUUCAAGCAUUAAUUUCUAAACUUCUAUUGUUGCUGCUGUUAUGUCCUUUACCUAUGUUUUCAUUGGAUUUGCACUCGGCCUUGCAAAAAUCAUUGGUAAUAAGACUGAAUUUCUUGUGCUGGUCUGGUCUGGCUUAUUUUUUGAAUGCUAGCUUUAUUUUCUUUUAUCAAGUGCUGGUCUGGUCUGAAUUUCUUGGUUUUUUAUGAAUAUUCUAAUAUAUUUGGCAGUGCUUAAAUGUCUUCAUCCGCUUCAAAGAAACAAAGUACAAAAAAUGCACCGGGUGCUCGAUUGGAUCCCGGGUGGGAUCAUGGAAUUGAAAUUGAUUCUAAUAAAAAACAAUUUCAGUGUAAAUACUGUGGAAUUACUCGAGCUGGUGGUGUGUAUAGGCUUAAGCAUCAUUUAGCUUGUACACAUACAAAUGUUGAACCAUGUCCUAGCGUUCCUGAAGAUGUUAGAACCCAAAUGUUUGAUUUACUAAGUGCAAGUUCUGAGGAAUCAAGGAAAAAAAAACAAAGGGUUAGUACCAUGUAUGAUUUAAAAGAAGAAGAAGGUGAAGUUAAGCAGCAGGCUAAAAAAUGUUCUAUGGACAACUUUGUUGUGAGAAAAUCUGGGGGGUUGAAUGUGAGACAAACAACCAUAAAUGAGAAAUGGAAGAAACAAGAUAGAGAUGAAGUUUGUCAAAUAAUGGCUAGGUGGUUCUAUACAAGUGCCGUUCCAUUUAAUGCUGUAAAUAGCCCAUUGUUUCCUUUAAUGAUUAGGAAAUUGGGAGAAUAUGGAAAAGGAUUUAAACCACCUUCAUACCAUGAAAUGAGAGUGACCUUUUUGAAAAAAGAGGUGCAAGAGACAUUGAAUUUGCUCAAUAUGUACAAAAAAGAGUGGAAAAAAAAUUGGCUAUACUAUUAUGUCCGAUGGAUGGUCUGAUCAGAGAAAGAGAACAAUGAACAAUUUUCUUGUGAAUAGUCCAGCUGGUACUGUGUUCUUAUCUUCGGUAGAUACCACUGAUAUUUCAAAAACAGCUCAAAAAUUAUUUGAAUUGUUAGAUGGUAUUGUGGAAAAAAUUGGAGAGGAUAAUGUUGUGCAGGUCAUCACCGAUAAUGCUUCUAAUUAUAAGGCAGCUGGAAAAAUAUUGAUGGAAAAGAGAAAAAGAUUGUUUUGGACCCCUUGUGCUGCUCAUUGUAUUGAUCUAAUGUUAGAAGAUUUUUAAAAGUUUGAUUCUCUCCACAAAGUUACUAUACAAAAAGCGAAAUCAGUGGUUACAUAUAUUUAUUCAUGGGGUACAGUUAUUAAUUGGAUGAAACAGUUCACUAAUGGCAAGGAGUUGAUUAGACCUGGAGUUACUCGUUUUGCUACUUCAUACUUGACCAUGAGACGUCUUAGCGAGCUGAAAGGGAAUUUGUUUAACUUUUUCUGUUCGGAUAAAAAGAAAACAAGCAUGUAUGCUAGGAGAAACAAGGGGAAAAAAAUUGAGAGCAUCAUUUUUGAUAAUCAACAAUUUUGGCCAAAUGUGGAGUUAUGUUUAAAGAUAGCUUCGCCUCUUAUCAAAGUAUUGAGGAUGGUUGAUUCUGAUGAAAAACCAGCCAUGGGCUUUCUCUAUAAAGCUAUUGAUCAGGCAAAAGAAGAAAUCAAACAAAAUGUGAACAAUAUUCGAAAGAGGUGAAUUUUAAAUAAAUUGUCAUAUUAAUUAUGAGUUCAUUUAUAAUUUCUGUGUUGGAUAGUAGAAUGAAUUUUUUUAGUUAUUUUUUUAACCAAACUCAUGUUUAUGUGCUAGAUUUGAAUCGGCAUUUGCUAUCAUUGAUAAAAGAUGGGAAGAUCAAUUGAGUCAUCCUUUACAUGCCACGGGUUAUUAUUUGAAUCCUCAAUUUCAAUAUAGUCCAGAUUUUCAGUCGGAUGCAAAUAUAAAACGUGGCCUUUAUGAUUGCAUUGCUAAGAUGGUUCCCGAAUCUGGUGAAAGGGUGAAGAUUGAUUUGCAAUUAGAUGAUUUUCGACAUGCAAAUGGAUUAUUUGGUCAUGAAAAUGCUGUACUAACAAGAAACAAGAAAUCUCCUGGUUAGUUACUAGUUGAACUUUGUGUUUUUAUUUUUAAAACCUUUACUAAUUUGUUAUUUAUUUUAAUUUCCUACAGCUGAUUGGUGGGAAUCUUAUGGCGAUGAGUGUCCAGAGUUGAAAAAUUUUGCCAUUCGAAUUCUCAGUUUAACUUGUAGCUCUUCUGGAUGUGAGCGAAAUUGGAGCGCAUUUGAAUUGGUAAUAAUGUUUUCAUAUAAUAUAAUAUCUCAUUUAGUAUAAUAUUUUGUUUAGCAUUUGAAUUUAAGUUCGUAGUAUAACUGUAUAAGUUCUUUCAAUUUCAAUAGGUACAUUCUAAGAGAAGAAACCGUUUGGCUCAAAAACGAAUGAAUGACCUUGUGUUUGUGAUGUACAACUUGAAGUUGAGAGAGAGACAAAGGCAAAGGCAACGUGUUAUUGAAGAAAUUCCUUUUGAGAAUUUGCCUUCAGAUGAUGAAUGGGUGACAGAGAGAGAAAAUCCAACUCUUCCAAGAGAAAAUAGCUGGUUACGAGUUCUAGAUGACAAUCCCAAAUGUGACACUUCAGAUGAAGAGGGAAAUGAAGAUGAUGAAAUUGAAAUACUUACAAGAAAUGUGCAGAGAGUUUGUAAGUUUCUUUCUUUCUUCCAAUUUAAGUAUAAAGUUUAUCCUUUUUUUUGUUUUUAUAGUUUUAUUUUUCAAGUUCUCUUGUUUUUGGUAACUUUCAUUAUUAUUGUUUGUUUAUUUAGAUGAUCAUGAAGAUCGUCAAACCCAUGUCCGUCGAAGACAAGUUAAUAAAAUGAAAGAGAUUCAUGUUAUUGAUGAGGAUGAUGGGCCUUCAACUGAAUUCGACCGCCAAGAUGAUGAUUAUCUUGAUAUGGUUCCCGAAACUGAUCUUCAAAUGGGAACUAAUGAUUUGGAUGAUACUAAUUUGGAUGGUGAUUAAGAUAAUGCCGAAGAUGAAUUCCAAGAGAAUUGGGAUGGUGAAGAUGAUUGGGAAAAUAAUGAUUUUGAUAAUAUGGAUUAUGGGAAUAAUGAAUUUGAUUCAAACGAUGAAAAUGAUUGGUUAUAAAUUAAUGUAUUUCUGAAUUAUUAUGAUACUUGAAAAUGAUGAAUUGUUGCUAUUUUAUUUUUUAUUUUUUCAUGUUUGUUUAAACAUGACAGAUGACAUUCUAGUAGUUAAUUUUGAUCUUGAAAAUCUUUUUGGAUGUUUUGCUUUUUAGUAUUUGUGAAGGUUGAUGAUUAUUUUAUAUUUGAAAUUAUGAUUGUGUAAACUGUGAAGCAUUUGAUUUUAAGAUUUGAAAUCAUGACAGAUAACAGGUUUACAUUCUCUUCUUUAUUACUUGUCAGAUAGUAAGUAAAAAAUACUAUAUAUUUAUGAGUAACUUAUUUAUUUGAUAUCUUUUAGGAUGUACAAAAUGAUAUAUGAAUUUCAAAUUCAUUAAUUUAGUAAAUUUAGGAGUUUUUGGUAGGAUCUUACGAUCCUACGAUCCGAUUCUGUGAAACUAAAAUCGAUCCGACGUGGGAUCCCGAUUUUACAAACCUUGAUAAGUACAGUUAUACUACCAGGAAGGGCAAGUAGGCAUGCAUCAUGGACCAUGAAAAUGCCAAUUUUCAGAAAUCAAUUACAGCUUUGAUGAGCUGCAAACUUCUUGGACAAUGAAAAUGCCAGUUUCUAGCAAUGAAAUGAUAGCUUUCACGAUCUGCAACUUCUUAUUGAUUAAUGAACACUAAAAAGUACGUAUCAGCUCAAUAUUGCCUCUCUUCGUAGUACCUGGAAAAGAUGUAAUAGUCAACCAUAAGUGACAGAACUUUAACAGCGCUAGCCAUAUAACAAACAAUGGACAAAACUUUAAUAAAGCUAGUCAUCUUCUUUUCUUUAGCAUGUGAUAUUUCUUCAUGUUUUGCACUUUUGUUUAAGCUUGACAGUGAAAGCAUUUUUCAACCUAGAAGAUUCUGCAAGGCAAAACUUUCUUCAUUUUAGUUUCUUCAUUUCAGCAAAACUAACUUUUUGUUUGGAUUACCAUUUUAAGAGUUUUUCACUGUUAUUUCAUUAAUCUGAGUGCAAGCUUGAGAAUUGAGAUAGGAACAAGUUAAAGAAAUGUUAAAACUGGCUUGAAGUGGGCAUUAUUUCUUGGAAUCUGUUUUAUUACUUUUGUACCUUAUUUCUUAGAAAUGUUAUUCGAAAUUUCUGUUUUAGCUAAUCAGAAUCUGUAUUGGUUAUUAAAUGUGUUUUGACUAAGGAAUGUACAACUCUCCAUUCAACUCAUUUCAAGAUUCAUCAUCAAGUCCUGUGAUGAAGCAAAACAAUGAAGACGUGGAACAAUUGAACUACAACAAAGAAAGAGCUGAUGAGAUGAGUGAAGAAGAGAUAGAAAUGAUAGAAAAUGAGGGCAAUGAAAGAGGACAGCAAGAGAUGGAGAUGAAGGAGCUGGUCCUUUUGAGAAAAAACAAAGGAAGAAGAAAUCUAGUAUAUGGGAUGAAAUGACAACAAUAGUGCUAGAUAAUGGGACGGUCAAAGUGAAGUGCAACAAUUGCAAGGGACUUUUUGUCAAGAGUGCAACCGGAGCCACAUCUCAGCACAAGAGACACUUGAUUCUUGCUUACAAAGAAAAAUAGUCAUUGGAGAGCAAAGCAAACAAAAGCAACAAGUGCUGUCAUUCAUCGAAGGCCCAAGUAAUUGUAUCACUUCCAUCACAAAUUUCUUGUAUGAUCAUGCCAAGGUAAGAGAACUUGCAUCACACAUGAUUCUUGCACAUGAGUACCCCUUUUCUAUAAUGGAUCAUGUAGUUUUCAACAAAUUCAUGAAAGCAACUUCUCUAUUUUAUAAAAGGAUUAAUCGGCAGAUUGUUAAGAAAGAUUGCAUUAGUACUUAUACAAUUGAAAAAAGGAAGCUGAAAUCAUUGUUGAAAGGUGCUGGUAGGAUUAGUAUUGCCACAGAUUUGUGGACAUCUGGUCAAAAAAUUCAAUAUAUGGUUGUGACUGGUCAUUUUGUUGAUUUUGAUUGGGUGCUACAAAAAUAUUUGUUGAAUUUUUGCAAUGUUCCUCCUCCUCAUACUGGAGUUAUUAUAGCUGAUACUCUAAGUAAGUGCUUUAUUGAUUGGGAGAUUGAGAAUAAGGUUUUUAGCAUAACUGUUGAUAAUGCUUCAUACAAUGAUGUGUGCAUUAGGAGAUUUAGAGAGGAUUUUUCUCUAAAAAAAAGAUUAAGUAUUGGAGAAAAAAUUUUCAUGUUAGAUGUUGUGCACAUAUACUUAAUCUCUUAGUGCAAAAUGGUCUUGGUCAACUUGGUGGUGUGAUUGAUGUUGUUAGAGAAGGGAUAAAGUACUUGAACAAUUCUGAAUCUAGGCUUCUUGAAUUUGCCAAAAUUAAAAAACAGUUUCAGUUGCCCUCUAGAAAGCUAAUUUUGGACUGUCCAACAAGGUGGAAUAGCACCUAUUUGAUGUUAGUUUCGGGUUUAGAGUUCAAGGAUAUUUUUCCAAGAUAUGCAGACAUUGACCCCGGAUUUCACUAUGUUCCUACUGAUUUUGAGUGGAUGAAAGUGGAAGAAGUGUGCAAAUUUCUAGGAAUAUUUCAUGAAAUCAUUGAUAUGAUUUCCGGGUCCGAGUAUCCAACAGCUAACAUUUUCUUGUGGAGCUCUAUAGGAUUAAAGAGCUUUUAAAUGAAAAAGCUCUUGACCCUUUUUAGCAUAUUCGGGCUAUGGCUGGAAGUAUGUCUGCUAAAUUUGAUAAGUAUUGGGGGAAAAGUAAUGUGCUGCUAUCUUUGGGUGCAAUUUUGGAUCCGAGAUACAAAAUAUUUCUUAUUAAUCAUGCUUUUCCGGUGAUUUAUGGUGAGGAUGCAGCUCCUAGAUUCGUGGCUGAAAUUAGAGACACUCUUUAUGAGCUUUACAAUGAAUAUGUUGAUUGUCACAUUGUUUCCCAUUCUGAACAACAACAGAGGCAGGUUGUAAAAGGGAAACAAAAUGAAGGUUCUAGUUCUUUUAGUAAGAAACAGAAAAUGACUGGACCUGUCAUUUUAACUGGUAAAGAAAAGUUGCACAUGCAUGUGAGUGAAAUUAACAGGGCUCCACCAGAAAAAUCAGAUUUAGAUGUUUAUUUAGAGGAAAGUAAGUAUUGUGACGCCCCCACUUCUCCCUAAGACGAACCAAAAGAUAUCCACGGGACGCCUGCCCAACUCUUGCCAGGAUUCGGUACAAUUUCCGUUCAAACUUAUUACAAUACUAGCUAUCAAGACAAGAUAAAGUAAGAAAGAUAAGUCACUUCCAUAAAUAACAUUCAAACUUACACCAAGAGUUCCAAAAUACAUCAAAUUUCCAAAAUAUACAACUGUCAAAAGUCUAGUCGAUUACAUUUGGAACCCUAAUACAAAAGUACAACAAAAGGGUUUCUCCGAGUUUCACUCCAUGUCCAUGCCUGUUAAGAAAAAUAAAUCUACGGGGUGAGCAAUUGCUCGUGAGGCCAAGAAACACACAUAUAAGCACGUUGUCCAAUUAACAAGAAAAUGAUAAUAUUCGAGUAAUUAACAAUUCAAGUGAAAUGUAAAUAGAAACAAUUCAAGGAUAUGGGAGCUCUCAGGAGCUAUUGUCCACUGGCACGAUCAAGAACCUCCACGAGUUGACACUCCGUCAAUCGGAUAGGUCAUAGUCCGUAGAAGCUUCACUUACGCGUUCCCCGUCCACCAUACAUACCGCACCGGCCCCGAACGUCAUUUAUAAGGUGAUACUCCACGAGUAUGCCAAGUGAAAUCUCUCCAAUAGAUCAAGUUUAUCAUAUUAUUCUCAUGACUCACCAAGAUUCCCGACCAAACCCAUGCCAGCUCGAUUCCCAGGUCAGUUUAUGAGUUUGGGCGUCCCCCAUGUAACAUUUGUAAGUCGAGGAGAUUCACUCCAACGACGUAUACAGCCAUAGCAUACCAUUUCAUGCCAUUCAAGCAUUCGAUACAUUCAAUCAUUCAUUUCAUUUCAAUCAAGUCAUUCAUGAUCCAUUCAUUUCAUUUCAAUUAAUUCAAUCAUGAGUCAUUCAUUUCAAAUGAAAACGAGUGCGGUAAAGUACACACUGGACUCCAUUUUCAAAAUCUCCAAUCAUUAAUAACAGUUAAGCAUGUAUCAAGUUCACAUACACUUGACACUCACCAAGUAAUUCAAGAAGUAAAGCACAAGCGGUUGUUUAGGCGUCUCCUGUGAGAUUUUCUUGAAAGUCCUCUUGAGUGCCUGAGCAAUAAUAAUGAACUAUUACACACUAUCGUUUAAAACCCCUACUUAUCGAGAAAGAUUGCACUCGUGUACAAUCUAAGAAGAUAUUAUGAGAAUGAGUCUUAAUUACUUGUAAAUCGAGGCUCAAAAGUGGGGUUUUAAUAAUACAAGGAAAUUCGAUUUUCAUCUUUGAAAUCAAGUGUAAAAUGAUCAAGCAAUAUCGAGGAAAAUGGUGAGUUCUCAAAACUCAAUUUCCUUUAAAUUCGGAAAUUUCAGAUUUGACAAGUAAUCUUUGAAAAAUUGUAUCUCACUUUCUGUAGGUCCAAAAUUCGAAAAAUUGGUACCGUUGGAAACUACUUCUAAAGUACUAAAAGUUCCUAGAAGAUAUUUUUCCAUGAUUCCAAAUGAAUGACAUUCAAAAUUUGGCUCAAAGUUGCUGUUUCGGGCUACCAAGACAGUUUCGGGGUUGGUUUUUGCCAACUUUGAAAAUUCGGCAAAAUUCACAAAAUGUAAACUAGCCUCUGUAAUUUGGAACUCAAUUAUAGUUAUAAACAAAGUUUAAAACACAACAAACAGAACAAGAAUCGGAGUUUUGAGCGCCAAGAUAUAGCAGCUCAAAGUUGCUGAAAUUUUCUCAUUGAAUAAGGAUUUUCCAGAUUUGAAACAUGAACUUUGGGAUUUCAGUUGAGCAUCAAAAUGAACUUGGAAUGGCACCAAAUUUGGUAGUAUUACCCUACCAUAGAAGGGCUAUUCCUCUGUCAAAUUUCAUGCAAAAAUUCGUACGGAAGGUCAGUUGACAAAGCCGCUAAAAUUCCAAGAAUUUCCAAGGCAAAUCUGCCUUGUACUUCCGUUUUCCUUUUUCAAGCAUUUGGCCAAUGAAAUCUUCUCAAACAUGGUUCAUUUAUGAAGACAAGGUCUAAGAAAUAUCCAAAAUGUGUUUGGUAGGUGAUUAACACCAAGAGUUCCAAAAUAACGAGUCCCAAUUCGAGUUAAGGCAUUCAACUAGCCAAGAUUAGGGUUUCCUUUCACUGACACAAGUCUGGAAUUCGGCCACAACUCAUUCAAUUCAACUUGGAAUUGGGCAUGGUCAGUGGUGUUGGAAACUACAUUCAUAGGGAUACAAUUUCUCAGAAGAAAUUGUUUGGAAAUUCUGUCCAUAACUAGUUCAUAUUCGAGCAACAAGUUGCAGCACACAAUAGGUUUUCUAACACAGCCGAGAAACAGGGCAAGUGAAUUUGAAAGGCUGGUACGGCUCACUCAAGUGGAAUCAGGGGAUGUAUUUUAUACUGUUAGAAAACUAGAAGUGUCUAGUUUCUAAUCCCGCAAACAGCACUCGAUUUUGACGUUGGAGCAAAGAGUUAUAGUGGUUUGAAAUUCGCUGCCAGAGCAACUCUGGACACGUUUUCCAGCCAUGAAGAAAUUUCGAAAUCCAAACAUUUACCCAAUCAAAUCAAGUGAUUUUUGGUGGAAACUUUCCAAACAACCUAUAAAACAUAUAUACACCGAAAUAAAGUCAAUGGGACCACAAAAAAUUGCACCAAGAGGCGCGGCAAUGACAGGGCAGAUCUGGCCCUUCUUCCAUUUCAACUUCCUUAGAGUUUCUUUCCACUCUUUCAACUUAAAUCCACUAGAUUAACACUUAAUUAACAUAAAUAACACUCAAAAUCAUCAAAUCAGAUCAUCAAGUCCAUUGUGGGAUUUGAUAGAGUCCACUCACAUGAUUUUUAAUAAUCCAAAGCUACCCGCAUGAAGUUACAAGUUUCUAAGUGUAAUCUAACUUACAAAAGCUAAGAUUUAAAGGGUGGAUGAUCAUUACCUCUUAGAUGUUGCUAGAGCAGAAAUUUCGGUCCUUAGAGCUCCAAGAAAACCAUGAGAAUGAAGCUCUUCUCCUAGCCCAAGAUGGUCUCCAAGUUAUUUGUAAGGUGUGGUAUGAAUUUGAGAGGAUUUGGUGCAAGAUUGAGAGAUGAAAUGGUGAAGAAACUUGGUCUUCUUCUCCUUGGUGUUGCACAGCUGCUUGAGGGAGAGAAAGAGAGAGUUGUGGCUGAUGGAAAGCUUCUCUUGGAAGCUUAAGAGUUUGCGGUCAAAAUUACUCCAAAAGUCAACUAAGAAUAAUGCGCGCGUUUCGUGCUCGUUUCCUCUCGGCUUUGUUUUACUUGUGCACUAAAUCUCUAAUGCACUUCCAUUCAUACUAUUAUUAUUCACUCUUAAUAGUCUAAAAAUAAAGGUUUAAAGUCCCUCAAUUAAUCGCGCGUGCGAAAAUGCAGACUUCCGAUUUGUGCGCGAUAGAGUAAAAUUUCUAAGAAAUUCUUACAACGAUAUUAUAACUGACUAGUACUUGAGUACUUAAACAUAAAAAUACCUAUUUUGAAACUAAUGUAUGAGUCUUCAAUCUCCAAGCUCACUGUAUUUUCAAAUCGAUUAUUGUCUCCAAACGCGUAUUCACUAUUCUCACUAAACGAGUUUUCAAAAAUUAAAUUUUUGCAACAAGUAAUUUUAAAAAUAUAUGUAAGUCAUAAUUCCAUAUAAUUGAGUCUAAAAAGGUUGGAAUAAAAUAUUUGGAGCAAACGGGCAAUUAAAUAUUUAAAUAAACUAGUAAUAUGAAUUUAAAAUAAGUAAAUUUGUGGGUCCUCACAGGUAUGCUUGUGAUACAAAUGCAAAUCUGGAUGUUUUGGGUUGGUAGAAAUAGGAAAGAUUGAGAUUUUCUAUCUUGUCGAGGAUGGCUGCCGAUAUACUCUCCGUUCCUGUUACAACUGUGGAUUCAAAAUCUACCUUCAGCGCCAGAGGUAGAGUAAUUGAUGAUCGACGAGCUUCUAUGUCAAUUGAGAUGGUGCAAAAUGUUGCUUUGCGGCAACGAUUGGAUCCGCAGUCUUCAUGGCCUAAAGAAUAAGUCUCGCGUAAGUAAUUGAUUAGAUGUUUUUGUUAUUGUUACAGUUUCUUUAUAUCUGAUUUUGAAGAAUUUUAUAACUUUCAUACUUUUGUUUUGUAGGAAUCACUUGAUGCGACCGAAUUAAUCACAUUUGCGAAAGUUGAACUUCCUGAAUCAUUCACAACCUGAUUUGACGGCUGUUGAUGUUGCUUGGUUCAAACUGAUUCAUUCACAUGUUGAUUUCGUUCAAAAGCUGCAUCGUUCACAAGUUGUUUUCAUCCAAAAAAGUUGUUUUUAACUCUUGGUCUAGAGUUUAAACAUUUUAGAAACUGCUUAAAACGUAUUGAUGGCUGAUGUUUAAUUGUUUGGACUCUUUUAUGUAAUUUUCAUUUUGUAAUCUGAUCUGGUCUGAUGUCGAGUUUGGACAUUUUGUUCCUCCAUUUGAUAGUUUGAGCUGCAAUUUUAACUUCUUUUUCGCUACUCGUGCUUAUGAUGCUUCUGUUUUGCGUUGUCGAAUUGAGUGGAUGAUAUAUCAGGGAAUGUGUUGUUCUUUUUUUGUCAAACUAAAUAUGAGUGUAGAAGAAGCUGAUAUGCUAUCUUCCGUAAACGAGCUCGAGCUCUUCCGUAAACGAGCUCGAGCUCGAGCUCGAGCUUCGAGCUCGAUAAGCUCGACUCAAGUUCAAAAUCAAGUUCGAUCUUGAGUUUCGAGCUUGAUAAGCUCGGCUCACUUUUUGUACUCGAGUUCGAGCUCGAGCUCGAAUUUUCUACAUAGUACAUCGAGUCGAUCUCGAACAGCUUGUGAAACUCGAAUUACUAAUCGAACGAGCUCGAGCUAGCUCGAUUAGAUGUUCGAGUCGAGCUCGAUUGUUAUGUGCUCGAGCUCAACUCGGCUCGUUUAACAGCUCUAAAGUAACAUGCAUCAAAACAGGCUUAUUCUCUUAGUACUUUUUUUUUCUUUUUAUAAAACACAGGUGCAUUAACGCACGACAGAAGCACCCUAUCAAUCUAAGAUCCCAGCUUGCUUGUAGCUUUCGAUAGAGUCAACAAGAGUUUCUUCCACUGGCCUAUACCUCCAGCCCAGCCUCUCCAAUUUUUCUGAGCUAAUAUUCCAUCGGCUUUGAUCCUUCACCUCUAUAAGUCUGCGAAGAAAUGAGUUAUAUCAAGAAAAUAUGCAGACAACAUAAAUGGUUCUUGUAGAGACUCGUAGAUGCCACACUUUUGGAAAUGGAAAUCAUGACGGACAUGAACAAACAAGAAAAUCAGGACAAACGGGGUGUCUGAAAAAUGAGACAAUUAAUUUCAAAGAUGGUAAUCCACCUC
rnacentral:lncRNA from 1 species